rnacentral:lncRNA from 1 species
GGGGAGUACUAUUUUCCAUUUGGAGUCAUGAUGGAAAAAUGAUGUUUGAAAAUAUUAUUGAAGCUACUGCAAAUUUUGAUGACAAAUAUCUCGUUGGAGUCGGAAGUCAAGGAAAUGUUUACAAGGCAGAGUUAUCAGAAGGUUUGGUUGUUGCUGUGAAGAAGCUACAUCUAGUAACAGAUGAAGAAAUGUCAUGUUUCAGUUCAAAGUCUUUUAUGAGUGAGAUUGAAACCUUGACAGGAAUUAAACAUAGGAACAUCAUAAAACUUCAUGGAUUUUGCUCACAUUCUAAAUUCUCGUUUUUGGUUUACAAGUUCUUGGAAGGUGGAAGCUUAGAUCAAAUACUAAACAAUGACACACAAGCCGUUGCAUUUGAUUGGGAAAAGAGGGUGAAUGUUGUUAAAGGUGUGGCCAAUGCUUUGUCCUACUUGCAUCAUGAUUGCUCGCCUCCUAUAAUUCAUCGCGAUAUAUCAAGCAAGAAUGUUCUUCUUAAUCUUGACUAUGAAGCUCAUGUUUCCGACUUCGGGACAGCUAAGUUUUUAAAGCCUGGCCUACAUAGUUGGACACAAUUUGCAGGCACUUUUGGGUAUGCAGCUCCAGGUUAGAUCCAUUUCCCCUCUUAUAUAGAAAUUGAUAUUAUCAUUUUUCAUUUAAUAUUGAAACUCAUAUUGAUUUGUGCAACAUAUAACUUACAAGUACAUUUGUUUGUUUGCAGAGUUGGCACAAACAAUGGAAGUGAAUGAGAAAUGUGAUGUAUACAGUUUUGGAGUACUUGCUUUGGAAACCAUAAUGGGAAAACAUCCAGGAGAUCUCAUUUCAUUAUUUUUGUCACCUUCUACGAGACCGAUGGCUAACAAUAUGUUGUUAACAGAUGUUUUAGAUCAAAGACCUCAACAAGUAAUGGAACCAAUUGAUGAGGAGGUUAUCUUGAUUGCAAGGUUGGCAUUUGCUUGCUUGAGUCAAAAUCCACGUUUACGACCAAGCAUGGGUCAAGUUUGUAAGAUGCUUGCAAUAGGAAAAUCACCUUUGGUGGGAAAGCAACUUCACAUGAUAAGACUAGAACAACUUCACUAUGAAAUAGUCUACUGUACAUAGAUAAUAAUGAUACUAAGAUCCUUGUCUUUUGUUGUUUCUUCAGUUGUAAGCUUUGUGGUAAUAAGAGUUUGACUUUGAAAAUUUCAUAUGGAAAGAUUGUACAAAUGAACAAAUUUGCACCGAUUUCUUUCUCCCUUUCUAUUGCACCAAUUACUACCUCAAAAUGAACAUGAAAAACAGAUUCAUUCAUGAACAACAGUAGUAAAGGUUCAACAGCAGUAGUAAUGGUGAUAAAUUCAUCCUUUAAAUGCAAAAGUGCUUUUAAUAAAUUCAUCAUUUAAUUAGGUGUAGAAAAUUAAACCAAUGGAGAAGAAAUCAAUGAACGAAUUUAAUUUAGAAAUCAUGUCUAAAUAUUGAGCGAAUAAAAUUGAUCACACGGGGAAGAGUUUCUUACCUUUAUUUAUCACGACAUGCUUGGCUAACUGGCUCCCUGGAGUUGUGAUUUCUGUAAAAGAGUAGAAAAGCACGGAAAAUGUUGGUUACAAAUUGUGUAGAUGCGGCGAUGUAAUUUGAUUGGGCGUUUCCUCACAGACAGACACGGGAGAGUGCAUAUGUUGAGGGAAAACAAGGCAGGCGUAAGUUCUCCAGUUUGUGUCAAUUAAGGAAGCAAAUUUCUGAAGUUCCUAUUCCAAUUUUUUCACCAUCUUGAUGUCCAAAAAGUUUUGAUAGGAGGGCCAUGGUUUUUCAAUAAACAUGUUGAUAAUCGAAGAUAUGAACAGAGAAGAGGAGACGUCACAAGUGCAGCUGUAUAAGGGGCCUUUUUGGAUACAGAUCACAACUUAUAUCAGCAAGGCAUGUGACAGAGAAGGUGGGUAAGAAACUGGCGGAGCCGUUUGGGGAGUUCCUGCGGCAUAUGCCAACACAAGUUCUGCAUGCAUGUGUUUUAAAAAGAAAUGGAGAUGAUGACUUAAAAAUGGUGAAUCGAAAUUUAAAACUAUGAAAUAUCCUUUUAAAACUAUGAUGCAUGCGUCACAUUCCUUAAUGACGCAUGCUGAAGAUUGAAUAAUUCAUUUUUAUCUUUAGUCCACUAAGCAUUUGCGUCAAAUUAAUAACCUAGUCUACUAAACAAUAUUUAUCUAAAUACAUAGUACAUAUAAAAUCAGUGUGAAAGUUAAAAUAGAAAAAAAUACUUAUAAUUUCAAAUCACCUAUGGUUGUGCACGAUCUAUAGAUAUCACACUCUCAUAUACAUCAAUUAUUAGGGUACAUAUACACUAGUUAUUAUAAUACUCAUUACUAAGCACAUAUACUUAUUAUAAAACUCAUUAGACUACCAUACAUACCCAAGCAACAACAACAUUGAUGAAAUAACAAAAGCAAACUGGUAUAAUCUAAUAGCCAAACAUGCAUUUACAUAUGCAUCUACAUUUUAUUGUCAUAACUGAACCAACUCAGAAAUAAUCUUUCAUUUGCGUUGAACAGUAACGGGGCUCCUUACGAUGUGUUUUCCAUUUGUCCAUCUCAAUUCUCCAAAUUGGUAUUUCCUCCUUGGAAUCUCACUUGUUGCUUGAACAAUAACUUGAAAUGUCUUCUUUUCACCUAUUUUCUUGAAAUUCAAGGAACUUGGUACAACAGCAAUUUUAUAUCCAGGCAAUUGAACUUUAGCAAAAUAUGUACUUGGUGGCCCGACAUUGGUAACUGUACGAGUGACAGUAAUAGCAUUUAAUCCAAGAUUUGGUAAUGUGAUUGAAGGGUAAUUCAAGUCAUCUAUACUAUGAGUUCCUGAACAAGUAAAUGUCAUGUUGAAAUUAAGUGCUGAAAUGAGUUGCUUGUUGUAUCCAGAGGCACAUAAGAAGUUUAAGUAAUCCUUAAUCCCUAGAUCAUAAACAAGUCCAGGAUCUAUUGCACUGUUGGGUUGAAUAUGUCCUGAACCAUAAGCAAAUGGAUCUGCCAGUGUUUUAUCAAAUGCAUCGCUUAUAGGCUUGUUGGUGUUAUCUCUCGUGGUUGCUGCAAGCCAACAUAUUUUGACAAGUAAGUAAUGACUAAUCAUUUUAAAAACCAGAAAUCAUUUGGUUCUGACACCAUUUUGUGAAUGAUCCCCACAUAAUAAAGUGGUAAGACCCACAUGAAUUUCAAUGGAUAAGAGAAUGGAUGUUAGAAAGAAAAUGUUAGAGUGAUUGUUGAUAGGAUUACUCAUGAAUUUAUAUUUUCACUUUAUAAAUCAUAUAUAAUCUUGAUAAAUAAUCAUACAUAUGAAUAUGCAAUAUUUUCUAACUUAAACUUAAAUCCACUAUCAAUUACUAAUAUAUGAUUAGGAUUUGCUCUUAUAGGUAGCAUGUGAGUGAUGAGAGAGGAAAUACCAGUGGUCAUAAUAGCUGAUUUAAUAGCUGCUGGACUCCAAUUAGGAUGAAGUGUUUUGAUAAGUCCAGCAGUCCCAGCAACAUGAGGGCAAGACAUAGAAGUUCCUUGCAUUACAUUGAAGGGAAAACCUCGGCGAUUGUCUGUUAGUAAAUUAGAUGCACUAGCAAACAAUGAAUAGGCAGCAAGUAUGUUCACACCAGGUGCAGUUACAUCAGGCUGAAACAAAAAACAAAAGCAAAGCAAUAUUGAAAAAUUAACAUAAAUUAAAAAGGAGUGCUAUAUAAUGUUGAAACUUUCAGGAGAGCAACGCUGCAUAAAUUUAUCACAUUGGAUUAAGAGCAACUAUACAAGUAUAUGAGUGUUUUCAUUUAUACGUUGCUCAACGUCUACUUUUUCAUUCAAUAUGGACUUUCUGACUCACACUUAACAUGCAUUAUAUAGCGAGUAGAUAACAAAUCCAAGUGUACAAUAAACACCUUGAGUAUAUAUGGUUGAACUUGAUUUGGACCUCUAGAUGAGAAUGAAGCCAUAACUGGAGCUGGCUUUCUUCCAAUGAGUGUUAUUGCUUGGGAAAAUCUUAUUUUUGUACCCGACUCUAUUGUAUCCCUGCAAAUAAAAAUAUAUGAUUAUGUAUAAAUAGUUCCCUUAAUCUUGUAACAUGUGAUUUUAUGAUGUUACAAGAAGGGUACAUUUUCUUUUUUGAAGGAAAGAAGGGUGCAUAUAAUUUCACUAAAAAAAGGUUCAUGUAAUUAAUAAUUACGUGGCAGUUACGCCUAAACGAGGAGGUGCUGUAAUCGCUGCUUGCCCAUUUCCACCAACAGUAGACAAAACAUGAGGCUCAGAAAGAAGUGUAUUCCCACUAACUUUUGGUUGAUUUUCCAAAAACAUUCCCUUUGCACCUGCAGAUAAAGCUUCCUGACCCUCAGCAACUGAUUUUAUUUUCCCUUCUCGAGCACAUGCCACUAUUUUACCCUUCACUUUUGAAGGAUCAAGUGUUCUUGGUCUACAAAACCGACUGCAACAAUAUGUACAUAAAAAAUUAGUGGUAAGAAACCAUGAGCAAGACUUGUGUGAUCACGAUCAUAAUCGUGAACAUAAAAAAUAGGAGAUGAUGAAUACAAUUGAAGCUUUUGGAAUUUACACUUACGCAUCUCGGGUUGUGGCAUUGGAAAAUUUAGCAUCAAUAGAAUUCACUAGAGUAAAAGACUGGUUAGGUGGUAAGUCUACAAAAAGACUGGCUCCCUAAUAUAAAAUAAAGUAGAAAACAAUUAUUUCACAAGUAUAAUAAUAAAUUAACAGCAAUAAUAUCACAAUAAAUAUGUCAAAAAGAAAAAAAUCAGAAUAUUAAGAAUACCCUAAUUAUUUGGUCACCAAUGGUUAUGGUACUGCUGAAGUCUCUGUCAAUUGUACUAGCAGCAACUGUGAAUACCCAAGGAGCAACAUUAACAACACUUCCAGGGGUAGGUCCUUCAUUUCCCGCAGAUGCAACUAAUAAUAUAUUUCUAGCAAGUGCAUGAAAUGCACCUAUUGAAACCUCGUCGGUAAAAAUUUCUUCAGAAUUUGUACUAGAUGGGCCUCCAGCAGAAACAGAUAUUAUGUCAACACCAUCAUCAAUUGCUUGAUCAAUAGCAGAUAAUACAUCAGCACCAAAGCAACUAGCGGCAUCUGUUAGAGACCAGCACACUUUGUAGGUUGCAACUCUAGCUCUUGGUGAACCUCCUUUUAUGGUACCAUUUCCAAUGUUAAAUAUGCUUGCACCUGGUACGAAGUUUCCACCGGCUGUUGAUAGUGUAUGAGUACCGUGACCUACAAAGUCACGUGCUGUACGCUGCGAUGUGGGAAGUUUGCCAUUAUAUCGCUCAUAAGCAUCGCUGAAAAAUCUGGCUCCAAUUAGCUUCCUGAUAUGUAUAUGUAGUGCAGUUAAUCAACAGAAAUAUUGUUAGAGUAACUUCCUCUAUUGCCAUCAAUGUUGUUGCAACAACAUCAGACCGACCAGUUUAAUCGAUCAUCCAAUGCCGUCAAUAAUCUCCUUUUAAUAUAUUUUUUUACAGACGUUUUUAAUAUUAUUUAAACUUAAUGUGCAAUUUAAAAAGAAAAAUAGUACUAAGCAUAAUUGUAUAGUCAAAGAAAAUCAUAAAAAGGGAAGCAGGUUGAAAGAGAAACCUGUUACAAGGAACUUUCUUAGAACCUCUGAGUUUGUUAAUUUGACAGACAUUACCCCCACGCCAUUUUGCUGGAAUUGGGCCAAUUCCUCUGUCGCUAAAACUCCUUGAUUCCGGCCAAACACCUAAUCCAAACAGUAGGGUAAUACAUAUUUUGAAUAAUUAAGUCAUCUAAGUUUAAUUAAAUCAUUAAUAAAAAAGAAACAGAUCUUUCACAUGGAGAUUAUAAUAUUGAAUCUGUCAAUGUUAUCAUCUAUUUUAAUAAAAAUAAUUGAAAUUCUUUGACUCGUGAACUGUACUUGACUUAAUUAUUACCACGUGUAUGUAUUGUGAUAAAAUAAAAUAUAGUAUUUGGAUAACAAUGAUUAAGUCAAGAAAGCAUCUUGCCAACUCAAACAAAGCCUGUUGUUUUUGUCUAUUUUGAUAUCAAUUAAUUUCUCAAAUGAAUUACAAUAUUAAUCUGUUGCUUUUGGAAUAUAUAAAUUAAGAUCAUCUGUUAUGUGUUGAACAACAAAGAUGUAGAGAUGUGAAACAAGAUACAGGUGAGAUUGAUCCCACGAGCUACAGGACACAAAAACGAAAAUAUUUUUCUAAUUCAUUAAUAUGAACAGUGAGAUUUAUUAACUUUAAGUUUUAGAUUUGGUGUAAGUCACGUGAAAAUAUAGCCACCGAAGAUUGACCGGCAAAUGCAAGACAAAAAACAUAAAAACUGCAUGAAAAUCAAAGAAUUUUAUUUUAUAAACAAAAAAAAAAAAUUGUUGGUUUCUCUAAGUUAAUCUUGAAGAAUAGUGAUAAUCUAACAAGAAAUUAAAAGGAACAUGGGUGGAUUCGCAGGUUGAUUAAAAAUUAAUUUAUGAAUACCACUUAAAAAUUUAUCCAUGUGGUCAAUUUCUAUUAAUUUUUGAAAAUUUACACAAUUCUUCUAGGAUCAUACAUACCUCACCAGAAAUGAGAAUAUAAGAAAUAAACUAAAUUUGAAGAGAGAGAGAGAGAAAAAUUAAAUCCAUUUUUUUUAAAAGAAUAAGUCACCAAUUUCUGUUAUCAAUAAGAGAAACUUGAAACCUUAUACUUAAGACAUAAAUCUAAAAAAUAUAUCAAAAUCAAAUAUAGGAUCGAUGAUUCAUACACCAAUCCAAAGAAAGGUACACAAGGUUCCCUAUCCUAUCCCCUAUGACUGAUAUAUUUAUUUUUAUAUACAAAACCCUAUAAUUGACAAGAAAUAAGACAGUGUUAACAAAGAUAAAAAAGACAAAGAGAAUGCGGUGGCGGAGCCAGAAAAAAAUGUCAGAGUGGGCCACUAAAAUUAACUAUUGAAAAAUUGUUUAAAGUCUCGCAAAUUAGACCUGUAAUUGAUUUAUUUAAAUUUUUCGGGUGGGCCACUGCACCAAUUUGCGGGAAUUUGGAUCAACCGAAACCUAAAACCGACAUAAAAUUGUAUAAAAUCUCGCAAAAUAGACCUAUAAUUGAAUUAUUUAAAUUUUCGGGUGGACCACUACACCACUUUGCAGGAAUUUGGAUUAACCAAAACAUAAAACCGACACAAAAUUGCAUAAAAUCUCGUAAAAUAGACCUAUAAUCGUUGAUUUGGGCCCAGCCCAUGAAGGGCUCCGCCACUGAAGAGAAGGUGAGGUGAUAAGUUUUUGGUGUGAUGGAAAGACAGAUAAAAAUAAAAUGAAGUAUUGGUGGUAAUUAUUAUUAAAUAAACGAUUUUGAUUGGAUUAUAGAACAUUGAAUGUGGUAAAAUUAUAAAAUUUAGUACCUGUAUCAAUGUUAGCUAUGAUGGUAUUUUCACCAAACCUUCCCUUUUGCCAAGCUGAGUUGAUAUCAUUUCCAUGCAAUCCAAGAAAUUCCCAAGAACGUGUAGUGUGCAGUUUAUGCUCUUUGCUCAAGAACACAGACACCACCUUUGGGUUUUCUGCAUAUAUAUUGAAAAUAUCUUGUAGUGAGGUUUAAAAAUUAAAACAUUUAGAUAGAUCUACAAAAUUUGUUUUUCUGACUUGCAAGUUGUGCAGCUUCUUCCUCUUCAAGCAUAGCUGCAAAGCCAUUGAUCUGUUUAUUGUAAGAAUAAAUUAUUGCUUCUUUUGCCUCCUCUUUACUGUGAAUGAUCAGUAUACAAUAGUUAAUCAAUCAAUUUAAUUUCCUCUAAAGAAAAGCUUGAGCUGAAUAUUGUAGCAGUUAUUAUAUAUACCUUCCUACGAUUGAACCCAGUAAAUCAUAAUGAGAAGAUGUAGCAGUUUCAAGGUCAACAGAGGUAGGAGUUGGACCAUGUGAGUGCGCUCCCAUGUAAACAAUGUAGCACUGAAAAAGAAAAAAAAAAUAAUAGUAAAAAACCAAUAGCUUAUGAAAUUAAUGAAAGGAUCAUCUUAAUUACAAUGUACAUAUGUAAUUAAGAAGCAAAACUAGCUUACAUUUUUGCUGGCAUGAACAUGAUUCAGCAUCAAGAUGAAAAUAAGAAGUGAUGAGAAAAGAAGAUGAUGAAGAGAUAAAAUGUAGCGACCCAUUUUUCUGUCUAUGGAAAGUGGUUAGCUUAGCUUAGGGGAUCUAUGCUAAUUCAUUUCCUUAUGUAAUGAAAGGCACAAAUAUUUAUAGAGUUUUUCUAUCCGAUCAUUUGUAAAUUUACUUAUGGUAAAAAGUUCAAAAUUGUAAGUUUGUAUGAGAAAUUGUGUAUUUUAUAUCAAAUAUAUAAUUUUUUUAAUAAAUAGUUCUUGUUUUUUAAUAAAAAGUUACUACUUUUACUUAUUUUAACAUGUGCAAUGUUACAUGUGUUACUCAAACUUGUGCUUAUAUAUGAGAAUGGGAGAAAAGACAGCUCAAGAGUAUUCUUAUUCUUAGCUUUUUGGUAAGCUAAAUAAGAUAUUGUAUUAUAUAUAAAUAUAUAAUAGAAGACAGAUCAUAUCCUAAGUUAUCUAAAAAUUGUAACCAAUUUAGAUUGGUCAUCUUGGCUCCUUUAGAUGAAAAAAAUUUGGUUAGUAAAGACAAUUCACCUUGUUGACUUUAAGUUUUCCAAUGACUAACCACCAUUUAACAGCAAAGGAGGUUUAGUACCUGGCAGAUCAAAAAAUGAAGGGAACAGAAAACAGAGUAAAAAGAGGAGUGAUAUUUGAACAAUAAUCUGAAAUAAGUUUUGUGACAAAUUUUUUUUUAUUUGUCAAAAACAAUAGAGAGAAAUAAAAAAUAAAUAUAAAAACAUAAUGUAAGUAUGAGAGAGUUGUCACACAAUAUCUGUAUAAAUAUCAUUUCUCAAAAGACAAAACAGAAAUUCGCACCCCUUGCCACAUUCCUAAUUUGCAAUAGAGUGAAAAAUUUCACAUCAGUACCAACACCCUUUCAUACCAGCAGCUGAUUACAUACCUUACAUUCUUAAAGUUAGUAGUAGAUAAAUAUUAUCUACCCUUAAUUUAAAGUGUAUUAUACUUCCUCUACUUCAAAAAUUUAUUUAACCUUAUUUGUAAUCAGUAGUGCCUAAAUCUCAUUUCUUACAAUAAAUAAAUACAAGUUUUCGCUGAGACCAUAAUGCUUGUAUUAUUUUGGAUAUUGGAAUUCUUUUUUUGGAAAAUAGGUGUAUGAAGUGUUAGAGCAUCCACAACGGAAUCAUAUAUCUUUUGGUACUUAAGUACGACUUACAGCUUAUACAUUAUUCAUUUAUAAUUUUCUAACAGUUGUAUCUAAUAAAUACUCAUUUUCUUCAAUUCAACACUUUACACAAAUUUCGUAAACAAAAUUCAUUAAUCGUCAAUAACUCUAUCAUUAUAUUUUAAUAUUCUGAUAUUAAAAAAAACACGGAUCCUCUAAAAACUUGUUCCUCACUUGCUUGGCGUCCAUUUCACUUAAAUGAGGAGUCACAUAGGUUUCGACCAACUCAAAAUUGAACGUUGCAAAAGGGAAAAAAGUUAGGGGAAUGUUGUUUUUUUAAUAGGAGCCGAACUCAUAACUAGUGGAAAGUUAGGGGAACAAAAGUGUGUUUAAACCUAUUAUUUAAAAACGUCCUCUCCCUUUGAAUAUUGUUUUAAUUGCUUCAUUUUUAGCUUCUCAUGAAUUUUUAAUUUUAAGCUUCAUGUUGCUUCAUUUUAUUUCCAUUGCUCUUGUCAAAUGAAUAUUUUUUAAUUCCAAAAAAAGGAUUGUUGCUCUUUGUUUCAUAUUUGCAUUCUCGGCUAUAACUUUUGCAAUUCAUUGUUUGCUAACCAUAAUAUUCUAUCUUCAUCUUUCGACAAAUAAACAAUUUAAACGAGGAAAACAAAUAGAUUAAAGAAAUUAAAGCAUAUAAGAUCAAGAAUUCCAUAUCUAUGUUGGAUCUUGAAGGAUUUUUGGUAUGUUGGUUUUUGAAUAUUUUUGGUGAUAAGAUUAGAUGUUGUUGUUGAUGAUGGUGUGGUGAUGGGAUGCUGUUGUAAUUCUUUUUUCUGAGUUGUGGUGGUAAUGGUGGUGGCGUAUGAUUUUUUGCAGGUUAUGGUGGCGGUGUUGGAUUUUUUUCUUUCUUUUGGGUUAUGUUCUUUUAUUUUUCUGGACUUUUGUCCUUGAACUUGAUAAAUAAGGUAUGAAGUCCAUAUGAAAUCAAGAAGAAAUAGAAGGAAUUAGAUAAAGAAAAGUUGUGUUGAUGGUUCACUAUUAGAUUCAAUGAUCUUGCAAGGUUCAAUAGUCUACUUUGUUUUAGAAUGAUCAAAAUGUUAAAAUUAAAUAAAUUAAUAAGUUCUACGGUAUACCACCUAAAAUGUUGAUCAACCCUAGGCAUUUUAGGUUAAAAUUGACAAAAUGAGACCAAAUUAACAAAUAAAGAUGAAAUUGAGGGAUUAAAAUGGAACUUCUCCAGUCAAACUCUAUUACAAAAAUGUUGAUGUGGAAAAUUUGAUGUUGAAGCGCCGCUUCAGCCAGCAAAUUGUAUUUCUUCUUAAUUAUAAAAAAUUAUCUUCUUCAUUUGUUCAUUAAUCUUCUUCAUCAUCACCAUUUACCCAAAUCUCACCCCUUUUCAUUAAAAACCCUUUUCAACCCAUUUGUUAUAAUUUCAUAGAAGAGAAAAUAGAAAAAUAAGCAAACAAAAAGAGAAAUAGAAGGGAAUCGGAAACACUAGAUCUCAAUAUCGACCAAACAAUAAUAAAAAACACAACAAACACCCAUCAAGAUGAUUUCACCAAUAUCGAUUCAAGUUUCAUAGAAAACACCGAAGACAAAAUGAAAGAAAUUGCUUCAGUUCUUCCAAAAAUGGUCAAGGAAUAUCACAAGAUUCAUCUCAACACAUUUCGUUAAUAUAAAUAAGAAGAUAAUAGCUUUUUAAUUUUUUUUGGAUUUGAGUUUUUUUCUUCUGGAUUUUCUUCCUUGUUUGCCCUUCAUGUCUUCUUCCUUCAGCAAGGUGAUGUUAAGCUUCAAAACCAUUCCCCCUAUUCUUCACUUGUGUCUCUUCUUCUCUUUGAAUUCUCUAUUUUUCUUAGUUCUCGUGAUUUGAUUUUUACCUUUAUUGUUUUUCUAUGAAGUUGUUCUUCUGCUACUUGAAAGAUUUUGCGGGAAGAGAAAUGACGGUAGAACUCAAGAAUGAUUUAGCCAUCAAAGGAUUAAGUUGUUAGAUUUUGAAACUCUAAUAAUUUUAAUUUGGGAUUGUUAGAUUAUGAAACUCUAAGGUCCUGUUUGAAUCACUUUUGAUUUUUCCAUGUUUUUGGUUUUUAAAACAGAAAAAGUGAAAAGCAAACCAGCAUUUAUCUGUUUUUGUUUUUUCUGUGUUUUUGGUUUUUAAAAACAGCAAAAGUGAAAAUAGUUUUCAAAACCUAUUUUGCAAAACAAUCAAUUCAAACAAGUUUUCAAUUUUUUAGUUUUUGAAAACAGAAAACAGUUUUUAAAAAUUGUGAUCAAACAGACCCUAAGAAUUUAAUUAUGAACCUUGGUAGUGUUAGGUUUUGAAAAUGAAAAGAGAUGUUGAAUUUUUUUUAUUUUUUUUUGGUUUGAAUGUGGAGAUGAUCACUUUUUUGGAUUUGAAGAUGAAGAUGGAAGAAAGAGGAUGAAGAUGGUAUGAUGGUGGAAGGAAGAAGAUGAAGAUUGAUGAGUUUGUCGAGGUUGAAUAAAAAUAUUACUUUUUCUGUUGACUAGAACCUUCCACUUCAGCAUCAAAUUUACCUCUUGAUGACCACAUCAUCGUUUUUCAACGAAGACUGACUGUAGGGGAAAGGUGCAAUCAAUUAACAACUUAGCAAACCUAUUUGAAACUUAAAAAACUUAAAGGACUAACCUGAUAUUUUUGUUGAUCUUAAAGGGCCCACAAAGGUAUUUGGCCUAUCAGUAUUUAUUAAGUUUUAUUUAAAUGGCUAAAAUGGAUUAUAUUAACUAAAUCAAACAAGAUUUUUCCACCAAAGGCAGUAUCAACAAAGACUAAAAGUGUCAUUAUAAUGUUACAUACAAAAUCGAAAAAACAACCAAGAAAGAAAAGAAACAGUUAGGAGAUAGGUUUCAAACACGGGAGAGUAGUGUAUCUUGCUUUCAAUCACUAGGGUUAAGCCACCAGUUAUGCUAAUGGUAAACGGAAGUAGUGUAUCUCGCUUUCAAUCACCAACAAGACUAAAGCUUAAUUUUUUUCAUAUAAAAUAUGCAUAUUUUCCUCCCGCCAUGUGCUGAAAUAUGCGUAUGUUUCUUUCUUUUCAGGUAACCCACACAGAAGAGAGCGUCAAAUAAUCUUCAAACUAAAUUGAUCCUGCUUAAAAAAAAAAAACACCUAAACAUAAAAAAUGUUCAAGAUGUUCCGAAGUGUCGUCACGAUUCACUAUAACAACGCCUAACCAAUUUGAAACAUAGGACCAAAUUCGGUCAAAAUGAUCACAUCUUACAAAUAAUUGAUCCACAUCUUCAUUCAUACCACAACCUCCUAUACACCUUUGAUCAUUAUGAUGAAGCACCCAUCUCCAAACUAAAUCAGAUUUAGUUGAAAAACGGCUGAGAAGCAGACGCCAAGCGAAGAGACUAAUUUUAAGGGGAUCCACUUUGAUCAAAAUAAUAUUAGAAUUAACAAAUUGAAUUUUAUUAUUCACAACGCGAUGUCAAGAAUUAAUAAGCACUACUGGUAGAAAAAUGUUUCGACUGACGUAACUGUCAGACCCACCUAUUUUUCGAACCAUUCUGCAAAACAAUAGAUGUUAACAUUUCACUGCAUUCCCAACUCAUCUGCUCUUCCACACAAGCUAACAACCUCUUUCUCCACUUCCACACCUCUCCCUGGACCCCAACCCUAACAAGAACAUCUCCGCCACAAUCACCAGUUUAUUAAGUUUAAAAAUACGGUCUCUAAAUAUAUUUUUUGUUUCUCCUCUCAAUUUUCUUUGUUUCUAUCUCCUUUGUUUCUUAUACACAACAACUACUACAUUUUAUUUAUCUUUUACUAGACGAAGAGAAGUGUUAGGCUUUUUUCUGGAUGAUAAAAUAGUAAAUUGUUAGGUAUAUGUGAACCAAAUGACAUGAUAUAAUCUAUAUUUUGAGGGGGACAUCAUAUAAUCUAUUAGAAAUUAUAUCUAAUGAUGUAUCAUUUUAAUAAUUGGUUAACAAAGACUAUUGACCUGUCACAAAAUGGAUAUUCAGCAUCUCUCAUAAAAUUAUACCAAAUAUGUAUGAUAUACAAGAGUUAUUCAAAAUCAAGGAAAAAAUGAUGUAAAACCUCCGAAUCAGAAAAUGAAUGGCAUAGAAAACAGAAGAUAAAACAAAAUUGAACUCCUUGCCACAUAUUAAUAAUCUGCAGCAGGUUGGAAAAUUUCACAUCAAUCCCAAUACCCGUUCAUACUAGCAGCUGAUUACAUUACAUGCUUGAAAUUAGUAGUAAAUAAAAUAUUACUAGCUGUUAAUUUAAUGGUGUAUUACACUUCCUCGCCUAUAUCUUGAAAAGAGAUCCUACUAAUGUGAAGUAAUUUGAUCAGAAGAUAAUUAUGUCUGACCAAGAAUUGCUCCCAUCAAUAAUCAAACUCGGAUUCUCCUGAACGAUUAAUUUUAGAGAGAGUUCAUUAACCACUUGAGUCCAAUCACUUGAUUUAAAUAUCAUUUCUUGAUAAACACGAGUUCUCACCAAGACUCUAAAUAUGUGUAUGAGUUUGCAUAAUAGUAUAAUUUUUCUUUCAAAAAUACGGAUAUGAAGAAAGUCCUAUAGUUCCUACUAAGAUCAUACUAAUUGUAAUCAGGCCCGUUCCUAGAGUUUUAUGGGCCUUAGGCAUAAUAUGAAAAAAGGGCCCUUACAUAAUGCAUCAUAAUUUUUUUAGCGCAUUGUUGUGUUUUUUUGCUUUUCAUUUCGUUUUUUUAUUUUGCUUUUCACUACAAAAUAAAUGUUUUUUUUAAACAACAUCUGAAAAUAAAUUAAAUAUUCUAUAUACACCGAAACAAAAUAAAAAUACCGUAGAAGUAGAGAAAAAUAGCACAUGUGAAGUAGACUGAAAUUUUAACACCUUAUUUUCAACUAAAAUAGAAUUUGCUUUGUUACGAAAAUUAUCCCAAUUUCUUGGAUAAUAAAUAUCGUCGAUAUUUUUAAUAUUAGUGAAGUACAUUAUUAGGAGCAAAGUGCCCAAAAAAAUAUCACAAAUUUCUUCGAUAAUAAAUUUUUGAGCAUAUUAUCAAGAACAACCAAAAUUUUUUAUAGGAGUGUGUAUAUAGAAAAUUUUGUGUUACAUGGGAUAUAUAUAUAGCAAAUCUCACUAAAAGGGCCAAAAAUACUAACAGAUAUCAACCCAUUCCUUUAUCAUGUCAAUGUUUGGGCCUUUAAAGAGAAUGUUUCUAUAUAUACCCUCCAAAAUCCAAAUAUUUCUAUAUACACCCCUUACCUUAAAAAAAAAAAAUUGGGCCCCCUACCGGGAUGGGCCCUAGGCCGUCGCACUCGCGGCCUAUGCCUAGGGCCGGCCCUGAUUGUAAUUACGAAUAACUAAUGCUCUAUAUUUUGAGUCUGCGUUGUGAUGGUUUUGCUAUUGAUGAACUAUUAGAAAAUAUGCUUUCAAGUUUUAUAAUGAGAUAAUUCUUUGAGAGUUAUGGACAAUAAAGAUAAUUUUUUAAAGUAAACUACAUUUACAAUAGAAAAAUGAGAGAAAAUAUACAAAAAAAAUAAUUAUUUUGAAUUCAUUAUAAACUUGCAUAAUUUGAAAACUGAAAUUAUAGUUCUUGGUUUUUUAUUUUAUUUUACAUUAAUUAUAAACUAGUCUGACUCAACUCGCACAACUCUCCGGUCAAUUGAUGAUGCUAAUAGAAUGAAUCAACACUCUUAGAGGCUCUAUCUCGGGAUUGAAAAAAAAAAGUUUUUGUUGAAAACAUUGGGAGCAAUGAUGAUAUCUUGGUUGCUCAUUGUUAUAAUCAUGUUUUUUUUUUAAACUAAAGGUAUCUUCCGCACGCAACCGUAAAAAUUAAUCCCCUCGAAGUAUUGAGAUCCAUUUGAAAAGUUGACAUAUCCUAACAAAUAUUUUUCCACGCAUCAUACAUGAAUCAAACUCUGAACCAAAUAAUUAAAGGAUCCAAAUAUCUACCACUCAUGGCAAUGCACUAUAUUAUCAAGGUUUACUUAAGUCGUCCUAAAAUAUAUAAAAAAAAUGAAUAAAAAUAGAACGUACAUAUGUUUUAUUUCUAAUACAAGAUCUAGCUAGGGACGAUUCUCAUAAUACUCUUUAAUAUAGUUUUAUUAUUCUUGUUUUCUUUUUCCUGGAUUAGGUUUUUCCCCUUGGUUUUUUCAUUGAGUUUGUAAAUAUUUAGCUUAUUAAAAAAAUAGUCGUUUUCAUUUAUUAUAAUUAUAAGUUUAUAGUUUGAUUGCUAUUUAUCCAUGUAAAUGUAUUUAGUUUUGUUUUUCAUCUGUACCAGCAACUACCGAUUGGAUGCUGAUGUGGCACAUAAAUCUUAUGUACAUGUCAUGUAUGCAUGUCAUGUGGCUUUCUGUUUGCCACCCCAAACAAAAUAUAUUGAAACUUUUUUUUUUAGGGAAAAAUAUAUGGAAAUAUAUUGUUAGGAACUAAAAGAAUGGAAAUUUUCUCCUAAAAAAAGCAGUUAAAAUUUUGAAUUAGAAAACAUAACAUAAAAAAAUAUUGGAAGGAAAAAAAUCAAAUAAAUAUUCAUGCUACGAGGCCUAAAUGCGCAAUUAUUUAAUAAAUAAUUUAGCAUGAAUUUAUCAUUAUUUACCAAGUCUAAAAACAGUAUUUUUUUUAAUGUACUUUUAUUUGUUUCAAUCUCUAUAAUUUCUUAUUCACAACAAUAAAACUAUAUAUAUUUUGUUUAUUUAUCUUUUAAUACCCCAAGUGGAUUGUUAGUCUUCAUUUCGGUUGUUAAAUAUGUGAUUGUUUGGCAUAUGUGAAUCAAAUGACACUUUCUAAUCUAUCUUUUUUUUUUUUUUUUUUUGAAGGAACUGUCUAAUCUAUCUAAAUAGCGACAUAUACCAUUUUAAACAUAAACUUUAAGGUUCAAUUCAAUCAAUAUUUUUUAUCCAAUGAAGGAAAUUGUUUAUAUUGACUUAAAGGUUUUAGGUUUUAUUGUUGGUCUUCUUCCACAGCAUAAACCAUUUUGCCCUCUUCCAUCUAAUUUUCCUUUCCAAUUGACGCUUUUAUGUAUUUGUAAUAUUGAACUUACCCUCUUCAUAAAUUUUAUUGUUCAAUAUUCAUUCAUCAAAAUAAUGAAAGUUUUCUAAUUAUAUGUAAGAGAAAUGUGAGUAACUUAAUUAAAACAUCUUCGAUGGAGAAUUUUUGAAAUGGGUUUUUAAGUGGAUUUUAUCUAUACACAUCACUCAUUAAACAACAUUUGCUAAUAGUCAAAGAAACACGAGAUGCUCUUAAUAACCUACUCUUUUAUUUUUUUAUUUUUUUUAAAAAGACAAACAACUAUUUAAUUAAUGCAAACAAAAUGACAGCAACACCAACCACAGUUAAAUCAUGCCCCGUGCAAGGUUCUAAAAAAUGGAUCGUUAGGGAUAUCGGCUGGUACAAAACAGUCACGGAAGCCACCGAUACCGUAAUUGGGUGUUUUCAAGGAGUAAACAAAAAUCACAGGAAAGACGUCCUUACGGCCGCGACAAAACACCAUUACUAUCGCGAAACGUCGUUACGGCCACAAACUUCUCAGCUUUUUUCUUUGCAAUUUCGUUGUUACUUUUGCUUCCUCUUUGAUUCAAUUCAGCCAGCUUCAUCCUUUGUUCUUUCUAACACCAUAUCUCACCUCCGCUCCUAAAUUGGCAUAAUAAAUCUGUCUCACUCAUAUAUUAUCAGUUUAUGUUGUAGAUACAUUCACGCUCUGAAAAUUGAGAGAUAAAAUUCGGGUUUUACAUGAGAGCUGAGAUCAAGAGAUGAGUUUAACUGUGUGUUUGUGAAAUUGUGGGUGGAGGGAUUAUAGACGAGGGUGACGGACCACUAACGAAUGAUGCAGGUCAGAUACUUACAUAACACAAAUCCUAACGUUUAUUUGAAUAAAACAAACAGAAAGGACUAAAUGUAGUAACGGUGAGAAACUUAGAGGACCGAAAUAAAUCAAUUUUUAAUUGGAGGACCAAUCCAAUACCAAUUAAAUAGUUAGAGGACCAAAAAGAUAAUUAAGCCUUCAUUUUAUUAUUAUAUUUAUAUUAUAUUGGCUAAAAAUUGUGAUUGUCUACUUUUUAUUCUUAAAGAAAUAUAGAUACUCCUUUUAUGGGAAAAUGUUUUUUCCAGUUAAGCAAAUGCAUCACAAACGUUUCCCAACAGAGACACAGUUGGCAACUUUUAAUUGCAUUGUAGAAAAAAAUUAGCAAUUUGUGAGAUGUAAAUUUGUGACAAUAAGGUGAGAGCAUAUAAAAUAAAUAAUAUUAAAAAAUAGUCAUUAUCUUCAUAUUAAGACGGAUAAUCCGACCAAUAAUCUGAAUUUGAUCCAUGUUUCAUAUUUUUGUCUUGUUUUUUUAUCUGAUCAGAUCCUAUCCAUUGCGUUCAAUCAAGACAGGUUGUAAGAUUGAGUCAUAUUUUAUACACCCCUAAUAUUUUGACACAUAUAUUCAAAAUUUUAAAAAUUAGUUAUAUGAAUCAUAUAUAUGUACUUGAAUCUCAUGGGUUCUUAAGUUAUCAAACUCCUAAUACUUUGCUAAAACACAUGGCUACUGGACCAAUAAGUUUAAAGUUUGUUGCUGCUAUAUGGUGGAUAUGGCGCUGGAGGAACAACAUUGUAUUGGGUGAUAAAACUUGGAAAGCUAGUGAUGUGAUCCGACAAAUUAACCUCAUGGUUGAGGAUAUGGUUUUGUUAUCUACAAUUGAUUCAUGUGCAGCUAAUAAUAGAAGCAAGGUCAAAUGGAAAGCUCCCCCAUCGGGUAAUUUAAACUUAAUGAGGAUGGAAGUUGUGACCAAAGUGGUGUCAUCGGUUCAGGAGGAUUGAUUCGAGACGCUACAGGAAAUUGGGUGGUAGGAUUCUCAUCUAAUGAUGGUUGUGGUGAUGCGCUUAUUGCUGAGUUGUUUGGAAUUUAUAACGGUUUGGUCUUGUUGAUAAACAAUUCGGUCUUGCAUGUUGAGUGUGAGACAAACUCCACUGAGAUCAUAAACCUACUUAUGGACAGACAAUCUCACUCAUUCCAUGCUUAUGCUUCUUUACUAGCUAAAAUAACAAGUUUGUUGGAUCAUCUUCCAUGUUUGGUGUUCAAACAUGUGCUCCGUGAAGGCAAUGUAUGUGCAGACUUUUUGGAUAGGUUGGGGAGGAACUCUACUCUUGGAGUAACAACUUGGGUGACACCUCCUGAUGAGCUGCUCUCGUUGCUCAACUUUGAUGCUUUCGAUUUCUAGUUAGCUUUUGUUUUUUGUUUUUUUAUGACCUUCACCAAUAUAUAUAUAUAUAUAUAUAUAUAUAUAGGGGUUGUAUCAAGUGAGAUGACAUUUUAUAAUGAGAGGGUGAGAGGAUAAAAUAAUGACCCUUAGAUUAAAUUAGAUGGCUGUGAUUAAAUGUUACUUCUAUGACUCGUAUGAUACUCUCUUUUCCCUAUCCCCAGCUGAAACUGAAACGUUUGCUUCCUUCUCCUUGUAUUCAUCGUGACCCUCUCCUCUCAAUAGGUUUCUGAAACAUCAGCUUCCUUCUCCCUGUAUCCAUGGCUUCUCUCUUGCGCUCAGAUUCUUUCUUUAUUGUCACUCUCCUCUUGAUCUUCGUUUGGAAAAAGAUGCAUAGAUUAUAUUUUAGCAACAUGGACUGGUAAUAUAGAGGAAAAAAGCGCAGAGAAUAAAGGAUCCCUUUUGAAAACCAUGACUCCGCCGUAACAGCGUCGUAUCCUCCGACAACCGUUUUUUCGCCGUCGCCAAAGCAUUCACCAAACGUUUCCCUUUCGCCGGUAACCACGACGGAAUAAUCAGGGAUUGCACCUUAAAAUACUUACUGGAAGCUUUACAUUUAUGGCUUGUUAAAAGAAGAUUCACGUUAAUGGUGGAAUGUUCUCAAACAAGAUUAUCCAAUUUUUCUAAAAAUUAAAAUUAAUGGUAAAUUGCUGAAUUUUAGUGUUGAUUAAUUAUUUUUUUCACGUGUUAAUUAAGGGUAUUAUUUUUUGUUGAGAUGGAAAGGCCUGAGAAUAACGUGAAGAAAAUCACAUGAAAUGAGAGCAACAGGAGAGAGAGAAGACGAAGUGGAGAACAGGAAAGAUAGGUUACGGUAUGUGACCCUCUUGGAAGAACAAUUAACUCUAAGGCGUUGAUUUUGAUCUAACGGUCUAAAUUAAUUCCUCUCAUUAUAAAAUGUCCUCUCAUUUGAUACAUCCCAUAUAUGGGAUAUAUAUAUAUAUAUAUAUAUAUAUAUAUAUAUAUUUUGGUCAAGUAGUCUAGUGGCUAGAGCUCACACAAUUUAAUUGUGGAGAAGUGGAGUGUCCGGGGUUCGAACCGCGGCCCCUGCGUAUAAAGUGUAAUAUCCCUACCAACUGAGUUAAGCUCACGGGGAUUAUGAAUCACAUAUUUUAAUUCAUUCGACAUGAGUUUAACAUUUUCUUUUUAACAAAUUAAAAUGCAAUAUAUUGAUACCGACGGCCUAUCUCUCGAGCAAAAGGUGUGCCAAAGAGAAUAUAGUCCAAUAACUAAAAGGUGUGCCAAAGAGAAUAUAGUCCAAUAAUUACAUGUUAGCCAUCACCCAAAACAUAAAAAUGGAUUCCGACAUCAUUUAUGAAAUUUAUAAUGAUAAGCCACAAAUUGAGCCUUAUACCAUCAAAAGGAAAGAAGUUUGAUGUUCUCCAAAAGCUAAUAAGGAGUACUUUACUGAGCAUUGCAGAAAAUUAUGUUUUCCCUUUAUACAUACCAAGGCCGUCCCAACAACUCGAAGGCUCGGUUAUAUAAACUUGACAAUUUUCAUUUAAAAAAUGUUAAAAAUCAAAGUCCAACACUGCUUCUGAUGACAAACAACUAAGUUGUAGUUAAAUAUAAUGAACAAUAGUAAACACACGAUUUUUACCUACAAACAAAUAGACAUUUUCCUAUGAACAAUGCAUAAUUGACAACAAAAUUGUUGUCUUCCAGACUUUUAUCCACCAAAAAAAUAAUAUUUAAUGACAGGUUUUGUCAUACACGUUUUUUUUAAUUGAGGCACAUCUAAGUUUGAGGUACAAGUUUCAAAAAUUUAAAGCGCCUCUGACGUCUUAUGCCACGUGGCCUUGUUGCGCUCGCACAAGACAGAACAUGUUAUAUAACUAGUGUAACGCCCCGUGCCAACCACGAGAUACAUUUUAUUUAUAAUUUUUUAACAAGGUUUACACAUAAAUAAGUUUUUUUAGAUAUUAUUUGACUUUUUUAGUUUGAUUUCAUUCAGAAUUUCAAUAUUAUGUAGUACUAUCUUCAUAUUUAAAAUUGAGACAGAGUUGGCAGGGACAUGUCAACUUUGCUUAAAAUAGUGAGAAAAAGUACAACUACGAUGUACCUGUAACAACCCGAUUUUUACGAUGUUGCUUAAAAAUAUAUCUAAUUAAUAAGAGGUAUGAUUACCUCUGUUAUAAUCUACCAUUAUGGCUCUGCCUCCUUUUUUCCGAAACGUUCAUCACUUACGAUGUACCUGUAACAGCCCGAUUUUUAGCUAGAUUUAUUUUUAGGGUUAAUAGUGUUUUUCACCCCUGUAAUAUAUGUCAUUUCUGGUUUUCGCCCCUAUAAAAUUUUCGGUUUGAUUUGCACCCUGGUAAAAUUGUUAUUUUUCGGAAAACACCCUUAAUAGGUCAUUCAAAAACCAAAAUUUCUUGAAAAAAAAUUUUGAAAAUGGCCUAUUAGGGGUGUUUUCCGGAAAAUAAAAUUUUUACGAGGGUGAAAAUCAAACCGAAAAUUUUAUAGGGGCGAAAACCAGAAAUGACAUAUAUUACAGGGGUGAAAAACACUAUUAACCCUUUAUUUUAAUUACUUUUAUUAUAUGUUUAUAUGUAUUUGUGUGUGAUUAUUCAUCAUUGAGUGCAUUUUUCAUGGAUUUCCGUGUUAAAAGUGUAUUUUAAUCAUUUUAAACUUAAGGGUAUUUUAAUCAUUUUAAAAUAUUUUAAUCUCUCUAUUGUAGAUGCUCUUAUACCAAUAUUUAAAUCAAUCUAAUGGAGAAAUAAAUCCCCAUAUUAUGUGUGGGGACCGCUUCAUUUAAAAAAGAAGAGAAUUGAAUAACAUAACCACUCAAAGAGUAUCAUUAAGCUCCCGUCCAAUAAUAUUCAUCGGAUAAUGUUUUAAUUUUUUGGGUCAAUGGUGUUUUACCCCCUGUAAAUUUUUUUUUUUUUGGAAUACCCCCUUGUUAUCAUGGUUUUUGGGUGCCAAGCCAUUAAUUGGACUUGAACCUUUUGACCGUUGAUAUCUCUCUUUUUUCUUGGGAAGGGUAAAAGGAGAAAAACCCUUAAAAAGUUCUAGAUUCGGGGGUCGUUUUCGCUACGGGAAGGUGUUAGGCACCCGGAGCGAUUAUGGUAUUCCAUAAGAACCGCUUUCCUAAGUUGAUUUCUACGCUUUAGUUUUAUUGCUAUUUUGUAAAAAAAAGGAGGUGUGAUUAGUUAAGAAUGGGGGUGAGAAGAAGUAGAAUUUUGAUUUUAUUUCGGCUUGGAGGAGUUUUGACUCAUUGCCUACGUACCCUUUUAAGGGAUCAAAACCGAUCGUAGUUCAUUCUCAAAAAUGGUUUUUUGUUUUUGUUGGUUGAUUUUAAGUUUGAAAAGAGAUUUUGAAGAAUAGAGAUGAGAGGCCUCAAGGGCAUAAGAUUUGGAAAGUGUGAGGUGGAAUUAGUCAUUUUGCAAAAAUAAAGUCCAAGGAGGAUUAAGGUUUAUUGAAAAUUUUACUUAAGAAAAAAAAUAAAAGGGAAAUAAGGAGUUUUGACUCCUAUUUUAUUUUCAAAAAGGUUUUCAAGUGAGAUUAUUUGCAUGUUUUGGAAAAAGGUUGAUUUUUUCUAAGUGUUUAAACCUAAGCGCUUAUCGAACCAUACAAUCCUAUGCAUACAUCUAAGGUGAGUGUGUGCGUGCCGGUGCGUCAUAGUGUACAUAGUCCAUAUUACAACAUUGCCUAAAUACAUUCUAUGGCCUCUUUGCCAAGCUACAAACCAAUGGUAAAAUAUUACAUCACCGAAUGAAUUACAAUUUGUAAAAAAAAGAAAACUAAACUAACGGAGACAAUAGUGAAGAUAAUGAAGUGCUAUGAAGUGAUCAACAUGAAAGGAAAUGUUAGUAGAAAAUGGUAAAAAAAGAAUAUGGCAUAAAGCGAUAGAAGAAAGUAUGGCAUAAGACGGUAAAGUGACGAUGAAAAUAAGCCGGAAACAUGUGAUGAAUAAUGCGCAUGAUGCAAGAAUAAAACUCAACACAUCAAAACAGUGACAUAUGCAUAGCAAACAGUAGCAAAAUUCACAUGGAAUAGUAUGCAAAUCAAACAUGACGAACACGAACAUUAUGUACAUGAAGUAACGGGUAGAAAUGCGAGAAAAAUGACUUAAAAUAGUAAAAACCCUUGACAAAACAACACUAAAAUUUUUAUCAACUUUUCCAAGUAAAAUACCACUGAAAAUUAUCAAGAAAAAUAGUAAAAUGACAUAGUAAAUUUCUUGGAAUUUAUUGAUAAAAAUUAACAUGAACAGAGGGUGCAAACAGUAGGCAAGUAUGGUGCAAGUAGCAAAAAAAGCAAAAAACGUGAAAGAAAACUAAGCCCAAACCCAAAGCCCACACUCAAAACUCAGAUUGCACAGGAGCCACACGAUUGAUCUAGGAUUCUGAAACCCUAGAUCAAACGGCCAGGAACAAGGGGGACUGGACCGGAAAUAAACCGGUCCGGUUCACUGGCUAUACAAAGGGGGAAAUCCGGUUUUUUCCUCAUUCUCUUCCUCUCCUUCUCUCUCUUCUCUCAUCCUAGUGAGAGAAGCUCCCACUUCUCUCUUCCCUCUCUCGCCGGAAACCUCAAGGAGGAAGAUGAGUUUCACGUGUUUACCUGUGAUUUUUGACUGGAGAUUUUGAACAAGAUCUUCGGAAAACUUGAUUGUUGGUGCGGUUUGUUGAUUCUCUGGCUUGGAUCCGAAAAUAAAUCGGUUCUUCUUUCUUUCUCUUUGCUGGUCCGAAUCGGUUCUUUCCCUCUUCUUCUCAAACUUUCGGAUCCUUCGCGAUCGUGCUUGGAUUCGUUGCUAUUGGUGACGGAUCCGCACCAGAAUUGUGAAGGAUUCGGUUCGAUGAUGAUGAUUCUCCAAUGAAUCACUGAGAACUGUGAUCUGGAAAAUUUUCUAGGGUUUUUGUUCUUGGUGUUCUUCUAUGAUUUUUCUGUUUUGAUCUGUAACUGAAUGGAGAGAGAAAAGAAAUCUGUUUGUGAUGAAUUUCUGACUUUUUUUUUUUUGACUGUGCAUUGAAUGCGCCUUUUAUAGGCUGCCAUGUGUGCAUUGGGACCAAUAGGAAAUUGACACCUGGACCUGGAGAAGAAAUGGCACGGCUUGGAAAAAAAAAUGAAAUUUGGACCUUUCUGCAAAAAACAAAAAAUUUGAGGACUAAACCGCAAAAUUAAUAAAAUAAUAAAAAAACCUGAAAUGAAAUUAAACUGUUUGGACAAAAAUGCAAUUUUGGGACCUCAAUUGAGGGACCAAAAUGCAAUUAAAAAUAAAAUUGAGUAAAAAACGUAAUUUGACCAAACGUAAAGCGAAACAAAAAAAUAAAAUUGACAAAACGGACUAAAACGAACCAAUGGCCUAAAUGAGGUACUUCACAGUAACCUCCCUAUGCCAAAAUUUUGUGUGAAAUGACCAAAAUGCCCCUAGGGCUAAAAACGACCUAAACAGAUUGAAAUUGACUUGACACUGACUCAGACGCAAGUUUGAAAUGAAUUUUAACAAGGUUUACUGAUGAAAUAUUUAAAAAUAAUCUGAAAAGACUCAGAGACAGUCACAAGGAUGAAAAUGGGUCCCACUGCAGGAAAUGACCAAAAUACCCUUCUGUAUGACUUUUUGCAAAUUUUGAAAUAAACUGUGGUAAAAGCAAUGUAAUGAUCCGGAGACACUUUUGAAUGACUUAUAAGACAAGUAAAGAUAUUUCAAAAGGUUUUAUGCAAGAAAAACAUAGCUAAAAUUGUGAUUGGAAAUACUGCGAGGCAGAGACAAUUUGAACUGUGCAGUUGAAAUUUGAUAAUUGAUAAAUUUUGAAAUGAAAUUGGGCCCAGUAUUUUUAGGUCCAAAAACAGGGUAUAACAGCUGCCCCUAUUUAAGUUUCUUUGUCUGGAGAGUCAAGAGACGGAGUCUUUGGCUUGACAGGACGAAGAUACUUAAAUAUUAGCAUUUGCACUGUGUUUGGACGUAAAAAAUACGCCUACCCAUUUUCAAAUAAUAUGCAUGCCAUGCAUCAUUUGGAUUAUGAAUGCAAGACCUCAUGGGGAUUGGAAUUAACAAAAUAUGUCGCAUCCAUUGCGGGAUUGGUAGACAUUGACAAAGAUAGUGAAUAGCAGAGUAACGGGAAACUAGAAACAAGUUGGACAGGUAUAAGUUGUUCUUGGAUUCAAACUAGCCACUUGACCGGGGAUGAGACAAACAGACAACUGCGAGUUGUUCUUAUGGAUUCGAACUGGUCACUCCACAGGGGAUAGAGGUUACUGGACAAACAUGAGUUGUUCUUAUGGAUUCGAACUGGUAACUCACUUGGGGAUAUUGGAAAGUGCGAGUUGUUCUUAUGGAUUCGAACUGAUGACUCGACUGGGAAAAAGAGAAAAUUGGCAAGUACGAGUUGUUCUUAAGGAUUCGAACUGGUCACUCGACUGAAAGCAAGGCAAACAGACAGGUGCGAGCUUGUUCUUGGAUGCGAACUGGUUACUCCACCGGAGACAAAUACAAAAUAGACAGGCGCAAGCUGCCCUUGGAUCGAGCUAGCCACUUGACCGAACAGAAACAGAUAGACGGGUACAAGCUGUUCUUGGACUUGAACUAGCCACUCGACCGAUAACAUAAGCAAAUUGAUAGGUACAAGCUGUUCUCGGACUUGAACUAGCCACUUGACCAAACAGAAACAUAUUGACAGGUACAAGCUGCUCUUGGAUUGAGCUGGGCACUCGACCGAUAACAUAAGCAAAUUGAUAGGUACAAGCUGUUCUUGGACCUGAACUAGCCACUUGACCAAACAGAAACAUAUUCACUGGAGGUUGGUUUGGUUGACAAAAUAUAGAUUGAGAUUGAUUUGACAUCGAUUUGAAUUGAAAGGUAGAAAUUGACUGAUAACAUUGGCUCACAAGGUUUUGACGGAGAACCUGACAUGAGUGUUGAAUUGAGACUGAUGUUGUCAUUGGAAAUGCAAUAUGCAUGGAUGAUAUAACAGUUUCAUUAAAUGCAUGGGCACGUAAUAUGCAUGAUUAUGCAUGUAUGAAUGCUUGUAAUGCAUGACUAUUGGCAGUUUGUAGGCACGACUUCACGGGGAAGACAAGACAUUAGAGUAUUGGGCACGUAGUGGCUCGUGCUAUAUUACACAUUCUUGGAAAUCCUCUUUGGAGAUGACGUCGUUGGGAGACGUAUCGGAACCAUGGCUGAGGGCAGGUAGCUAAACAACUUGCUUGGGGAUAGAAUCUUGAGAGACUCCACCGGGGAAAACGCCGUUGUGCUGGGCAUGUCAGCGCUGGGUAUGUCGUAGAUAUCGCAUCUGUGGUCAAUGCUUUUUGCAUGUUAUAUUCUCAAUUUUCAUUCAUCAUUUUUGCAUCCCAUUUUUGCUUGGAUCGCCCUUUCGGGUUUUCGACCCACCGGGGAAAUAGAUUCUUUUCAAUGCCCCAUUUUUGCCUGAACUGCCCUUUCGGGUUGUCAAUCCAGCGGGGUGCUCAUUUUUGCCUAAGCCGCCCUUCCGGGUUUUCGACUUAGCGAGCCUAUCUAUUUUCAUGCAUUUUCAUUCUGUUUUUUCAUUCCUGCCAUUGACCACAGAUUAUCUUGGAGGAGAACCUGCUUGUAACAUAUAUUGAAAUAGACAUCGACAUACUCUCGCUUAUGCAUGUUUCGUUUGAAUGUACCCUGUUGCUCAGGUUUGCUUUUCAAAAUAGACAAAAAAAUUUCAAUUUUCAAAAAUGUUUGUUUCAAGCAUUGCCAUUAUCAAAAUAGAAAGAAAAUGUUUUGUAUAUAGCUUUGAAAGUAGAAGAAAAAUAGAAUUUCAAACAAAAGCACAAGCUCAAAUUGAUGUAUAAGAGUGGUGGUCAACCGAAGGCGUGACUCCACGGAUUCACAAAGCUUGGAAAAUGGUAAUUUUUAUUGGUUGGUGGUACAUUGAACACAGCAAUCAUUACAUUUCCCAAAAACUUUGAAUUCACAAGUACAGAAGCUUCAGAUGAAGAUGGUCAUUAACAGCUGCAGAUGCCCCAAGGGGGACGGUGGUUAGCCAGAUAUAGUUACUUGCCUUUUGUUUCAAUCUCAUUUUUGCAUGAACCGCCCUUCCGGGUUUUCGAUUCAUCGAGACGCUCAUUCUUGCCUGAGUUGCGUGCAAUCUCAGCGAGCUUUUCAUAUUUGUUUCUUUUGUCCCUUAUUUUUGCCUGGACCGCCCUUUCGGGUUUUCGAUCCACCGGGAGGCGCAUUUUUGCCUAGGCCGCCCUUUCGGGUUUUCGACCUACCACGCUGUUCUUUUCAUAUUUCUAGGCAAAGUAUUUCUUGACUAUAUCGGCAUUCACUGGAUUUGGAAGUUCUACACCAUCCAUGUGUGUAAGGAUUAAAGCACCACCGGAGAAGGCCUUCUUGACAACAUAAGGACCUUCAUAGUUAGGCGUCCACUUGACCCUUGGGUCGGGUUGCUGGCUUACCCUCCUUUUCAAUACAAGUUCCCCUACUUUGAACUAUCGAGGAUGAACUUUCUUGUCAAAAGCAGUCUUCAUUCUUGCUUGAUAUGACUGUCCACGAGCCAUGGCAUCCAUACGUUUUUCCUCAAUCAAAUUCAACUGAUCAUACCGGCUUUGGCACCAUUCAGCCUCAGAUAACUUUGCUUCCAUGAUCACACGGAGAGACGGGAUCUCCACUUCCAAAGGAAGAACUGCUUCCAUACCAUAUACAAGAGAGAAAGGGGUUGCCCCGGUUGAACUGCGCACUGUAGUACGGUAGCCAUGCAGAGCAUAGGGUAACAUCUCAUGCCAGUCCUUGUAAGUGGUUACCAUCUUCUGGACAAUUCUCUUGAUAUUCUUGUUGGCGGCCUCAACUGCACCAUUCAUCUGAGGUCUAUAGGGAGAAGAGUUAUGAUGCUCAAUCUUGAAUUCUUCACAAAGAGCUUGCACCACAUUGUUGUUCAAGUUGGUACCAUUGUCAGUAAUGAUCUUGCUGGGAACACCAUAUCGACAGAUGAUGUUGUUCUUGAUGAACUUAGCUACCACUUGCUUGGUCACAUUGGUAUAAGAUGCUGCUUCAACCCACUUGGUGAAGUAGUCAAUUGCCACUAAGAUGAAACGAUGACCAUUUGAAGCCUUCAGUUCAAUUCUUCCAAUCAUGUCGAUGCCCCACAUUGAGAACGGCCAUGGGGAUGAAAUAACAUUGAGAGCGUGUGGAGGCACAUGAAUCUUAUCAGCAUAGAUUUGACAUUUGUGGCACUUUCUGGCGUACUGAUAGCAAUCAUGCUCCAUGCCCAUCCAGUAGUAACCUGCUCGUAACAACUUCCUUGACAUAGUAUGCCCUGUAGCAUGGGUCCCGAAGGUACCGUCAUGUACAUCAUGCAUUAACUGCUCUGCUUCAUGUUCAUCAACACAUCUUAACAAUACCAUGUCAUAGUUUCUCUUGUACAGAAUAUCCCCAUCUAACCGGAACCUACUGGCCAAUCUUCUCAGGGUCUUCUUAUCUUGUUUGGAAGCACCCGGCGGAUACUCACGGCUCAGCAAGAACUGUUUGAUGCCAUAAUACCAGGGUCUAUAGUCAACCACAUUUUCACCAGCCUGAUCGAUCACAUCCCCAAUAGCAAACACAUGCGAAGGUCUUUCAAGGCGUUGCAUUUUGAUUACUGGCACAUCAUUCCAAUGGUUUACUCGAAACAUGGAGGAUAGAGUAGCAAGAGCAUCAGCCAUUUGGUUCUCAUCACGAGGAAUAUGGUGUAGCUCAACCUUUGUAAAAUAUGUCAGCAAACGUCUCGCAUAAUCACGAUAAGGAAUCAACUUAGCAUGGUGGGUCUCCCAUUCACCCUUUAUCUGAUUGAUGACGAGCGCAGAAUCCCCAUAGAUGUCGAGGUGUUUGAUUCUCAUGUCAAUUGCUUCCUCGAUCCCAAAGAUACAGGCUUCAUACUCAGCCAUAUUGUUGGUACAUUCGAACAAAAUUCGGGCUGUAAAAGGAAUGUGAUGCCCCUGUGGGGAUACAAUGACUGCCCCAAUUCCUUUACCAUAAGCAUUGACAGCACCAUCAAAGACUAAACCCCACUUGCUAUUGGGAUCUGGACCUUCAUCAAUCAACGGUUCUUCACAGUCCUUUGAUUUCAAAUACAUGAUCUCUUCAUCGGGGAAAUCGAACUCAAUUGGUUGAUAAUCAUCGAGAGGUUGGUAAGCAAGAUGAUCGGCAAGAAUGCUACCUUUGAUUGCCUUUUGAGUUUUGAACACAAUAUCAUAUUCAGACAGAAGCAUCUGCCAGCGUGCAAUCUUCCCAGUAACAGCAGCUUUCUCAAAGAUAUACUUUAUCGGAUCCAUUCUGGAUAUCAACCAAGUUGUAUGAUUCACCAAAUAAUGACGCAGGCGUUUAGCGGCCCAGGCCAAAGCACAACAAGUCUUCUCAAGCAUUGUAUACCGAGUUUCACAGUCGGUGAACUUCUUGCUUAGAUAGUAGAUAGCGUGCUCUUUCUUUCCAGUUUCAUCUUGUUGACCAAGUACGCAUCCCACAGAUUCAUCAAACACUGACAAAUACAAAAUCAAAGGCCUUCCUUCCACGGGAGGGACAAGGAUAGGGGGCUCCAGCAGGUAAUUCUUGAUGCUAUCAAAAGCUUCUUGGCAUUCAUCGUUCCAUACAAUAGGCUGAUUCUUGCUCAAGCAGUCGAGUGAUCUCAUAUGGUAUAUCAUCAUCCUCUUCAUCUUCGGCUUCAUACACAGGGAAUUCAAAAUUUGGAGGAACCGUAGGAUUACUGUGUUCAACGGGUUUAUUAUGGUUCAAACUGCAUAGAAUGGUUGAAUGAUUUUAGAAAAUGGUUUUUUUUUUUUUUUCUUUUAUGCAGUUCUUUGAAAUUGAUAAGAAAAAUAAAGAUGUUUUGGUUUUUUCUGGUAUUACCAUUAUUUCCAAGAAAAAAAGAAAAAAAAUCACUAAAAAAUAAAAGUCGUGAAAGAAACGACGAUUUUUGUUAAUAACGGCGAUGCCGAAACAAACACGCCCUUCCAGAAAUAUCACUUUCGCUUCGGGUAGAGCGAGAGGAUUGUUAUUUUGAAAAACAAAACACUUAAGCAACAAGACACAUUAUUCGGAAACAUGCAUGAUUGAAUGAAUGUUGAUGGCAUCACAAUUUCUCGCAAUGCCUCCUGGUAUAACAAACAUAGGCCUAGGACUACAUCCAGUCGCCUCUUCAGUAAUUGCAUUGAUAAACUCAGCACUGUAAAAGAUUCCUGUGGAGACUCCUGAAGUUGGGGAAUAUCCGAUACCCUCUUUAUGCUUAUUCUCAAGGAGUUGUAUUAACUUGCCCCAGCCAGCAGCUUGUCCUUCUUGGAUGUCAUUGACAGUCAGAUAAUUGUCGUUCAUCAGUCUCUGGAUGUCAUUCUGAACAACGUAGCAACCCCGAGGAUUAUGGAAGCAUUCUGGGCAACUGGCAUGAUCAUGGUCAAACAGAGAGGCUUGGCAUAACUCGAUGUGUAGUGGCACCAGAGGAGUUGCAACGUUACAAACGUCCGAUCUGGGAGCUUCCUCAUAUACCUCAAUCAUGUUUACAGCAGCGUGAUUCGGAAGAGGAUUGUCGACGACAUGAGGGACGUUAUUCUCAAAGGUCAAUUUUCCUUGGUCUAUGAGUUUUUUUACAAUGUACCUCAACGCGUAGCAUCCUUCGACAUCAUGACCCAUAGCACCUUGAUGGAAAUCACACUUGAGGUCCGAACGGAACUUGGGAGGCGAUGGAUCAGGUGGAGGCUUGCCCUGUCUGGUUGUGCAGUGCCCUUUGAGAAGUAGAGUCGGGAGUAAUUCAGCAUAUAACAUUGGUAUCAGAGGAAAGGUAGGUCUAGCCUGUUGCUGCUGUCGUUGUUGAGCUGGAGGCUGUUGUUGCAUUCGCUGGACGACGGCAUUAACGGGUACCUGAGGUUGACCCGAUGGCAAAGGAUACUGAUGAUAGAAUGGUGGAAAGAAGGGAUGCUGAGAGUAUUGCGCAUACGUGUACGACGGAGGUAGCUGAGCAGCAUUGAUGUCCAUGACCUGGAACGUGAUCAGAAAGGUUUCGGGACAGAUAGUUAUUGGCAGAUCUAUCUCCCCAAGAAUGUUCUUACGGGAUCCGUCGAAGGCUUUAACCAGAAAGGUGCUCAUUCCCAAGGGAGUUCCCCGAUAGCUCAAUCGAUCCGGAGUGGCCGUUGUCUGAGGCAAGCUGGUAUUGACAGAGACAGGGUUCGUCCCAGGAAUCUGGCCAUUAUUGACAGUACCAGAAACGCCAGCUGCAGUACUAGGAGUGAAAAACGGUGGAAGCCCAUACGGAAACCCAGCUGGCAUAGCAAAGCGAGCGUCUGCAGAUGCGAUUGGGAGCACGCUUGUAGUCACCGGUACAGCUGUGACUAUAGGGAUAGCCGUAGCUGAUUGUUCUUGAGCGGCUAGCAGAGCAGUCAUGACAUCAUUAGCUUUAGCCAAUUCCUCCCUUAGAGUGGCUAACUCGGUACGGAGCUGAGCGUUCUCUUCUUCCAUAGCCUUUUUCCUUCUUCUGUAUUCUCUGGUUCGAUCGAUUCUAUCGGGUUCGUAGACCUUCUGAGCACGAGCCACUUUUCAAACUGUGGCAGAGGAACCAGGAGAUAGUGAGCACUUGGAAGCCUUUGUGACCGAUGCAUGAUGCAUAUGAUGCAUGAUAUGCAAAUGCAAAUGCAAAAGACUUAUUUUUCAUCGAAGGAUUUUUAAACAAAUUAGAAACCUUGCAAAUAAUCAAAACUACAUAGCAUUUUCAAAAGGAAGACUUUGAAAUUUCAAUGAGGUAAACAACUGAAGCCCUCAAGCAUAGGAAGUAGUCGGAAGAUCAUCGGACUCGGAAUCUGAAUCACAGUAUCUGUCAAAGAAGUCUCGUCGUCCUCUGGCUCUCUUGGAAUCCCUCAUAAGCAGCUCGUCUUUCUCUUCCAAUUCCCUCCGGGCUUUAGCUAGCUCCUUCUUCAACAUCAGAUUCUCAUGAGUCUUCUGCUCAUCUCUACCAUCCAAAGUCAUGAUUAGAUUCUCAGCUUGAUCGUACCGAGCUUUCCAUACUUGCUUCUCACGACUCUCCAUAGCUAGAUGCUCCUGAUACAUAUCCUGAGUUGCGGGGAGCAAAGGUAGAGGCAUAGAUGGGGUAGAUGAAGACACAUAUCUCAUAGCUGGAUAAGGCAUACCAAUCUCCUCAGCUCGAUCUAUCACCCACUGAGUAUAGGCCUCAUGAGCGACACCGGACCUCACACCUAGAUGCUUCACACUCUUCCUUCGAACCUUGGACCAAGCAUCCAUGAAAGCUUUCCUUUGUCCGGUAGGAGCAUUCGUGUAGAAGAAGAACUCUGGAGAUGUAGCAAGAUUGAUGGGCUUCGACUUCAUGGGGAAACCAAACUGUCUCAUAGCAAGCUCGGGGUUGUAGUUGAUUCCCCCACGGGUACCAAGAAGAGGUACAUUGAGAAAAUCUCCACAACCCAUAAUGAUUUCCUUCACCUGAGCGGCAGGAGUGAGCCAGACGACCUCAUUAGGAGUGAGGGCCAUAAUCCGCUGCGAGUAGGACCAAUUCUCCGAGUUGUCAUGGAAGGAACUCGGAAGGUGCGAAAUAAACCACCUAUACAAAAGAGAUGUGCAGCAAAGAAUAUAUCCACGGCCCUUGAGAGUCCUGUCAUGAAUGGCGUGGUAAGUAUCUGCUAGCAAAGUAGGAACCGGGUUCUUGGAAUGAAAGAUCUCGAUAGCAUUCAUGUCCACGAAGUUGUCGAGGUUCGGAAAGAGGAUGAGCCCGUAGAUAAGCAAAGCAAGAAUAGCCUCGAGUGUAUCCUGACGAGUAGUACCGAGAUUAGCCUGAUCAAGAAGAUACUUCGAAGUGAAACCCCGGAUGUGAGACUUGGUAAUAAGAUGAUUGGAGACGUCGGAAGUCUUGAGGUAGAGAUCCUUAGCAAUAACCAGAGGAGUAAGAGAAGUCCCGGGACCGGUGAAAGGCGUCUUCUCGGCUAUAGGUAAACCCACUAGAUUGGAGUAAGCCUCGAGAGUAGGAACCAACUGGAAGUCCGGGAAAGUGAAGCAGCGGAAGCUCGGAUCAUAAAACUGUACUAGAGUGUGCACUAGCUUCUCGUCCACAUCGGUUCGGAGCAAAGUAAGCAAUCCCCCAUACCGAAGUCGGAAACCUGUUUGACUCCUGACCUUGAGUGCCAACUCUCUCAAACUAACCAAAUCCACUUCCUUGAACUUGUAGCACUUAGUCUUCUUCAUACCUGUGAUUAUUUACAAAAAUUUCCAUUUGUUUAAACCCUUCGAUGAAUGCAUGAAAAAUGUUUAUGCAUGAAUGUAUGUAUGCAUGGUUGUGUUGUUUAGUUACAAUGUGGGUUGAGAUUCAAAGUAACAGGGCCACGGAUGGACACGGCGUCCGGUGAACUAAGGCUUUGGAUAAUAGUAACCAAGGUUCUAACACAGUUCCCAAACUGCAACCUCUCUCACAUAUAUCAUGGUAGUACAGGACAACACCCGUUCCAUGAUUAUUUGUGAGAAGGUCUAGUUUGAGUGUAGUAUCGCGUGACGACUAAAGUUUGAGACAACACUCAAUUUAGCCACCGCACUACGUCAUAAAAAAGGCUAGGAUGGGUUUGGUAACUACGGUUCAUAGCUUCGUCGAACAAUUGAAAGUGAAGUGUCUAAGCAUGACAACACACGCCGACAAUAUCACCUUCAAAAUGCCUCAGCUAUGUGAGAUUGAUCGCAUAAUCCAAUACACGAGGCAACCCCCGGAUCGAAUUGUCGAUUAUAUCUCUACCUAAACAUAAGUUCACUCAGCCCGGGUUAGGACUUUUGAUAUUCUCACCCCACACGUUAAAUGAAAGUAAACAAGUAUUCACACAUGUAAGCGAUAAAACAAAGCGUAAAUAUAAACUAAGGAAAACUAGGCGCGACCCGCUAAAAAAAAAAGUCCCCAGUGAAGUCGCCAUUUCUGUUAUCAUGGUUUUUGGGUGCCAAGCCAUUAAUUGGACUUGAACCUUUUGACCGUUGAUAUCUCUCUUUUUUCUUGGGAAGGGUAAAAGGAGAAAAACCCUUAAAAAGUUCUAGAUUCGGGGGUCGUUUUCGCUACGGGAAGGUGUUAGGCACCCGGAGCGAUUAUGGUAUUCCAUAAGAACCGCUUUCCUAAGUUGAUUUCUACGCUUUAGUUUUAUUGCUAUUUUGUAAAAAAAAGGAGGUGUGAUUAGUUAAGAAUGGGGGUGAGAAGAAGUAGAAUUUUGAUUUUAUUUCGGCUUGGAGGAGUUUUGACUCAUUGCCUACGUACCCUUUUAAGGGAUCAAAACCGAUCGUAGUUCAUUCUCAAAAAUGGUUUUUUGUUUUUGUUGGUUGAUUUUAAGUUUGAAAAGAGAUUUUGAAGAAUAGAGAUGAGAGGCCUCAAGGGCAUAAGAUUUGGAAAGUGUGAGGUGGAAUUAGUCAUUUUGCAAAAAUAAAGUCCAAGGAGGAUUAAGGUUUAUUGAAAAUUUUACUUAAGAAAAAAAAUAAAAGGGAAAUAAGGAGUUUUGACUCCUAUUUUAUUUUCAAAAAGGUUUUCAAGUGAGAUUAUUUGCAUGUUUUGGAAAAAGGUUGAUUUUUUCUAAGUGUUUAAACCUAAGCGCUUAUCGAACCAUACAAUCCUAUGCAUACAUCUAAGGUGAGUGUGUGCGUGCCGGUGCGUCAUAGUGUCCAUAGUCCAUAUUACAACAUUGCCUAAAUACAUUCUAUGGCCUCUUUGCCAAGCUACAAACCAAUGGUAAAAUAUUACAUCACCGAAUGAAUUACAAUUUGUAAAAAAAAGAAAACUAAACUAACGGAGACAAUAGUGAAGAUAAUGAAGUGCUAUGAAGUGAUCAACAUGAAAGGAAAUGUUAGUAGAAAAUGGUAAAAAAAGAAUAUGGCAUAAAGCGAUAGAAGAAAGUAUGGCAUAAGACGGUAAAGUGACGAUGAAAAUAAGCCGGAAACAUGUGAUGAAUAAUGCGCAUGAUGCAAGAAUAAAACUCAACACAUCAAAAAAGUGACAUAUGCAUAGCAAACAGUAGCAAAAUUCACAUGGAAUAGUAUGCAAAUCAAACAUGACGAACACGAACAUUAUGUACAUGAAGUAACGGGUAGAAAUGCGAGAAAAAUGACUUAAAAUAGUAAAAGCCCUUGACAAAACAACACUAAAAUUUUUAUCAACUUUUCCAAGUAAAAUACCACUGAAAAUUAUCAAGAAAAAUAGUAAAAUGACAUAGUAAAUUUCUUGGAAUUUAUUGAUAAAAAUUAACAUGAACAGAGGGUGCAAACAGUAGGCAAGUAUGGUGCAAGUAGCAAAAAAAGCAAAAAACGUGAAAGAAAACUAAGCCCAAACCCAAAGCCCACACUCAAAACUCAGAUUGCACAGGAGCCACACGAUUGAUCUAGGAUUCUGAAACCCUAGAUCAAACGGCCAGGAACAAGGGGGACUGGACCGGAAAUAAACCGGUCCGGUUCACUGGCUAUACAAAGGGGGAAAUCCGGUUUUUUCCUCAUUCUCUUCCUCUCCUUCUCUCUCUUCUCUCAUCCUAGUGAGAGAAGCUCCCACUUCUCUCUUCCCUCUCUCGCCGGAAACCUCAAGGAGGAAGAUGAGUUUCACGUGUUUACCUGUGAUUUUUGACUGGAGAUUUUGAACAAGAUCUUCGGAAAACUUGAUUGUUGGUGCGGUUUGUUGAUUCUCUGGCUUGGAUCCGAAAAUAAAUCGGUUCUUCUUUCUUUCUCUUUGCUGGUCCGAAUCGGUUCUUUCCCUCUUCUUCUCAAACUUUCGGAUCCUUCGCGAUCGUGCUUGGAUUCGUUGCUAUUGGUGACGGAUCCGCACUAGAAUUGUGAAGGAUUCGGUUCGAUGAUGAUGAUUCUCCAAUGAAUCACUGAGAACUGUGAUCUGGAAAAUUUUCUAGGGUUUUUGUUCUUGGUGUUCUUCUAUGAUUUUUCUGUUUUGAUCUGUAACUGAAUGGAGAGAGAAAAGAAAUCUGUUUGUGAUGAAUUUCUGACUUUUUUUUUUUUGACUGUGCAUUGAAUGCGCCUUUUAUAGGCUGCCAUGUGUGCAUUGGGACCAAUAGGAAAUUGACACCUGGACCUGGAGAAGAAAUGGCACGGCUUGGAAAAAAAAAUGAAAUUUGGACCUUUCUGCAAAAAACAAAAAAUUUGAGGACUAAACCGCAAAAUUAAUAAAAUAAUAAAAAAACCUGAAAUGAAAUUAAACUGUUUGGACAAAAAUGCAAUUUUGGGACCUCAAUUGAGGGACCAAAAUGCAAUUAAAAAUAAAAUUGAGUAAAAAACGUAAUUUGACCAAACGUAAAGCGAAACAAAAAAAUAAAAUUGACAAAACGGACUAAAACGAACCAAUGGCCUAAAUGAGGUACUUCAAAGUAACCUCCCUAUGCCAAAAUUUUAUGUGAAAUGACCAAAAUGCCCCUAGGGCUAAAAACGACCUAAACAGAUUGAAAUUGACUUGACACUGACUCAGACGCAAGUUUGAAAUGAAUUUUAACAAGGUUUACUGAUGAAAUAUUUAAAAAUAAUCUGAAAAGACUCAGAGACAGUCACAAGGAUGAAAAUGGGUCCCACUGCAGGAAAUGACCAAAAUACCCUUCUGUAUGACUUUUUGCAAAUUUUGAAAUAAACUGUGGUAAAAGCAAUGUAAUGAUCCGGAGACACUUUUGAAUGACUUAUAAGACAAGUAAAGAUAUUUCAAAAGGUUUUAUGCAAGAAAAACAUAGCUAAAAUUGUGAUUGGAAAUACUGCGAGGCAGAGACAAUUUGAACUGUGCAGUUGAAAUUUGAUAAUUGAUAAAUUUUGAAAUGAAAUUGGGCCCAGUAUUUUUAGGUCCAAAAACAGGGUAUAACACCCCUUAUAGGUCAUAAAAAAACGAAAAAAUUCUGCAAAAAUAAAUAAAUAAAGUCGCUUUUUUUUAUGACCUAUUAGGGGUGUAUUCCAAAAAAAUAAUAUUUUACAGGGGGUAAAUAAAAAAAAAAAAUUUACAGGGGUAAAUCACCAUUAACCCUAAUUUUUUUAUGACUUUAUCAGAGAAUGUUAAAGUGUGCCCAAGACACAACAAAUAAAUUUGAAUAAGGGGUCACUUUGGUCUUUACUUUGCACGUUGUUGUCACGAUGGUCUGUAACAUAUUUGAAGACUAGUAUUUUGUAUUUUAUUUUGAGUUAGCGACUAUUUGACAAUGAAGUAUAAAGUUAUAGACCAAAAUGACCAUUUAUUCAAUAAAUUUUUAUAAAAAGUAUUGUAUAAUUAUUAUUUGAUCAAAAUAACAAUUUUGUAUUUUUAAAACAAAGUUUUUAUUUUUGAAUUCUUUAAUCAAUGCUCCGAGCAUUUGUUGCCUACCAAAUUGUUGGCAAUACUCAUCUCUUAUUCUUAAACAAAGCACUGUCGCCCUAAUUAUACCUAAUAUCUUCUUAAAUAUUAAAGUUAACAAGUAAGCCCUAAUUUUAACCUAAACCCUAUUGCAUAAUUUUACUGUUUUAACCCUAAUGUUCACACCUAAUCUCCUAUUUUCAUGAACAAUCUUCUUAUAUAUUAAAGUUAACAUGUAAGCCCUAAUUUUAACCUAAACCCUAUUGCAUAAUUUUACUGUUUUAACCCUAAUGUUCACACCUAAUCUCCUAUUAAAUAUUAAAGUUAACAUAUAAGCCCUAAUUUUAACCUAAACCCUAUUGCAUAAUUUUACUGUUUUAACCCUAAUGUUCACACCUAAUCUCCUAUUUUCAUGAACAAUCUUCUUAUAUAUUAAAGUUAACAUGUAAGCCCUAAUUUUAACCUAAACCCUAUUGCAUAAUUUUACUGUUUUAACCCUAAUGUUCACACCUAAUCUCCUAUUUUCAUGAACAAUCCUAAUGCUCUCUCCUAAUCUUCUUAUAUAUUAAAGUUAACAAGUAAGCCCUAAUUUUAACCUAAACCCUAUUGCAUAAUUUUACUGUUUUAACCCUAAUGUUCACACCUAAUCUCCUAUUUUCAUGAACAAUCUUCUUAAAUAUUAAAGUUAACAUGUAAGCCCUAAUUUUAACCUAAACCCUAUUGCAUAAUUUUACUGUUUUAACCCUAAUGUUCACACCUAAUCUCCUAUUUUCAUGAACAAUCUUCUUAUAUAUUAAAGUUAACAUGUAAGCCCUAAUUUUAACCUAAACCCUAUUGCAUAAUUUUACUGUUUUAACCCUAAUGUUCACACCUAAUCUCCUAUUUUCAUGAACAAUCCUAAUGCUCUCUCCUAAUCUUCUUAUAUAUUAAAGUUAACAAGUAACCCUAAUUUUAACCUAAACCCUAUUGCAUAAUUUUACUGUUUUAACCCUAAUGUUCACACCUAAUCUCCUAUUUUCAUGAACAAUCCUAUUGCUCGCACCUAAUCUUCUUAUAUAUUAAAGGUAACCCGUAAGCCCUAAUUUUAACCUAAAUCCUAUUGCAUAAUUUUACCGUUUUAACCCUAAUGCUCACACCUAAUCUUCUAUUUUCAUGAACAACGCUAAUGCCCACACCUAAUCUCCUAUUUUCAUGAACAAAGCAAAUCGGCAUCGCUUUAUUUCCCCUAUUUCUUCAAAACAAAUCGCCCUAUUUCUUCAACAAAACAAAUCGCCCUAUUGGAAUAAAAGGGUUUUGAAAGAUUAUAGCAACAUUUUUUUUGUUAAUAUUACACUUUUCAUCCAAAUUAAAACCGAACUCUCUUUGUUAAAUAUUUACCACAAAAUGCACCUGAAUUUUGCAAUCUAUAUAAACAGGUGGAAGAAACAUUUCAACAAACAGUUAAAGGGUAUCAUUUACGGUAAAUGCCAAAUAUUCGAUAAAAGGAAAAUUAUUUAAAUAAAACAUUUUACAUGUUGAGGUUAAGAAUGAACUAUUUUUAGGUACAUAAUAUAACAUUAACAUAUAAUUCUUACAAAAGAAUGAAGUAACAUUUUUUCAAAAAAAAAAAAGAAAAAUAAGAAGUAACAUACCAAUAAUAUAAUAUUGACAUAUAAUUUUAACAAAAGAAUGAAGUAACACAUCUUCUUAUAUAUUAAAGUUAACACUUAAGCAUAUUUUAACCCUAAUUUUAACCUAAACCUAUGGCAUAAAUUUACUAUUUUAACCCUGAUGCUAAAUUCAUUUGUUUAACCUUAUUGAAUUUUGCCCCUUCUCAAUUUCUCGAGACAUCUUCUUAUAUAUUAAAGUUAACACAGAAGCAUAUUUUAGCCCUAAUUUUAACCUAAACCUAUGGCAUAAAUUUACUAUUUUAACCCUGAUGCUAAAUUCCUUUGUUUAACCUUAUUGAAUUUUCCCCCUUCUCAAUUUUUCGAUACAUCUUCUUAUAUAUUAAAGUUAACACUUAAGCAUAUUUUAGCCCUAAUUUUAACCUAAACCUAUGGCAUAAAUUUACUAUUUUAACCCUGAUGCUAAAUUAUUUUGUUUAACCUUAUUGAAUUUUCCCCCUUCUCAAUUUCACGAUACAUCUUCUUAUAUAUUAAAGUUAACGUAGAAGCAUAUUUUAGCCCUAAUUUUAACCUAAAUCUAUUGCAUAAAUUUACUAUUUUAACCCUGAUGCUAAAUUCCUUUGUUUAACCUUAUUGAAUUUCCCCCUUCUCAAUUUCUCGAUACAUCUUCUUAUAUAUUAAAGUUAACACAGAAGCAUAUUUUAGCCCUAAUUUUAACCUAAACCUAUUGCAUAAAUUUACUAUUUUAACCCUGAUGCUAAAUUCCUUUGUUUAACCUUAUUGAAUUUUCCCCCUUCUCAAUUUCUCGAUACAUCUUUUUAUAUAUUAAAGUUAACUAAACAUAUUUUGAAUCAAUUAUAGAAAUUUCUUUCAACCUAAUUUUUGUCUUUUGGCAAAAUCUCUUCUGUUAUUAAAUUAUAGAUUGCUGCUCAAUGUCACUAAAAAUAUUUUGAAUCAAUUAUACAAUUUCCUUCUAUAGUUGUAUUUAAAAUUAUUAAAGUUAACUAAACAUAUUUUGAAUCAAUUAUAGAAAUUUCUUUCAACCUAAUUUUUGUCUUUUGGCAAAAUCUCUUCUGUUAUUAAAUUAUAGAUUGCUGCUCAAUGUCACUAAAAAUAUUUUGAAUCAAUUAUACAAUUUCCUUCUAUAGUUGUAUUUAAAAUUAUGACAUUAAAAUUAUAAGUUGGGACUGUAUUAUAAAAUGUUGCUUUUGUCUACUACACUUACAAUGUAUAUGACCCGUGCGGCAGCACGGGUGGACGAUCUAGUUUUAACCUAAAAUUGUAGCCAUUUUUUCCUCCUUCAAAACCUAACCAUAUUUCUUAACUCCCCUCCUCCAAACCCUAACUAUGAUCUCCUAAUUUCCCUCCUCCUAAAACCUAUCUAAUUGAUUUCCAUAUUUUAUGUAGCCAUAUUUUUUUCCUCACUUCCUCAACUGAUUUACCCUAAUAUAUUAUUAUUCUCAUUAAUCUCAUAAUAAAUUGUACUUAUUUUCUGGUUUAACCCUUUAUGAGCUUCCUACUCUUUCUCCUUGAUCUUAAACAACUUAUGCGUUUAACACUUAUCAAAACCGAAAUAUCAUAAUCCUACACCUUAAUUUAAUCAUUUCUCCUAAAUCGAAAUCUCUUUUCAAAACAAAUACCUUUCUCUUAAACCGAAAUUUCUUAUUCAACAUGGCUUCCAGAAACAUUGAGACUUUGCUGUCAUACCACUGCCUCACUGGUAAUCAUUCCUUUUGCACCUAUUCCACACUGGUUUAAACUAUAAAUCAUGCUUUCGAAUUAACAGUCAUUAGAACUUCUGGUUUAUACUAUUAGUUAUUUGUCACUUUUAAUGAAACUGUGUGUAUGUAUUUAUAGUCAUUUUUGGAUAUAUUCAUCGAUAAUAUAAUUGUGCACUCCUUAUAAUUUGCCUUGGUGCUAUUCCUUUGGUUAAAGUAUUUUGUCAUAUAGAAUCUAGAAACACUAGAGGCAUCUUUGAACAAAAUCAACCAAAACACAUUUUUUCUUGUUGUAUUAAUAUAUAUUCAUCUGAAAGAAUUUCCAGAAAUGUAUUUUAUGUUUUCUAACGUGACUAAUAUGCUCUUAUAUUAAUAUAUAUGUACACUUUAAUUUACAAAGCAUCAUCAAGUCUUUCGUAGUAGCCCUCAUGGUAAAAUUCACAUACUUGAAUUACAGAAAUAUUUCUUUGUCAAUUUCAAAUUUCGUUUGUCACAGUCAUGAUUAUACUAUAUAAAAAAACCAUAGUGUUAUCCUAAUAAAAUGUUAUAGUAAAGCGAUUCGUGACUUUUACAGAAUCGGUCUUGGUGCCUAGAUUACCUUGGUUUUUGUGGGUGACAGACAGUUUGAUAUACGGUUGACUGAUAGGUUUCACAAGAGUAUCCCAUACCCGGCUUUUGAUCCCUCUAUGCAUUUCCUUCUUGACAAGAUGAAUUUGCAAGCAACUUUCGAAGACUAUCUCCCCCCAAUAACAUCUCUUCUCGCUUAUCGUCACAAUAUCAGUGACAUGGUUCUUGAUUUCGAAAAAAAUUAACUGAGUAUGAUGUUACUAAAGGUUGCGUGGUAUGAUACACUUUUCGUGUCCACCUUAACUUUUUUUGUUCCUUUUCCGUUUAGUUGAUAUAAGUUACAUGGAUUUCUAAUUUUGCAGAUUCUACUUUACACCGGCAAUGUUCCACAGAUGCUUGAUACACUCUUAACAACUGUGAAUAUUAUUGACGAUUGCGGUAACAUAUGGGUGUGUGAGCUAAGUUUUGCAACUAUUCCUUGUGAACACUUCAAGAUAGGAGGGCGUUGGAAAAGGUUUGUGGAAGCUCGCAAGCUCCGUGAAGGUGUGAAAAUCAGAGGGGGUGCUCUGAUGGUUGGGUCACAUGAUACCAUUUACCUUGAUGUUAUUUACAAUUAGUCCAUGUUUAGAUAAAUUGUGCAAGACCUUUCCAGUUUGAAUUUUAAGUUUUAGUUUUUUAGAGUUUUGGAAGCAUCUAAUUUUUUUGUCUUUGAAUUUAGCAAAUGUCCCUUGAAUUUCAUAAAUAAUUUAGUCUUACUUGCUUUUCUUUUUGAUUUAUAUAUUUGUGUUUGUGUUGCUUAAACAAUUUAGUAACGUGAAUUUUGUUAACAAGGGAAACUUAUAUGUGUAUGUAUGUUUUUGUGUUGUUGAAUCAAUUUAGUAGCAUGGUUAUGUUACUGAAGCAUUUUAGUAACAUGGCUUUUAGUAACAUUAUUAGUAACAAUUACUACCUUUUGGUGACACUCUUAGUAACAUUAUUAAUAACAAUUACUACCUUUUGGUGACAAUUAUUUCCUAUUAGUAACAUUCCUGAAAGAGCAUAUUUUGAAAUAAUUAAUUUUCUUAUUUGGAAUAUGUUAAACUCAAAAUGGGAAUUUUUAGUCAACAUUAGAAUCCUUUAAAAAAUGUAUUGCAAACCUUUUUCACAUGGAGAGUUGUACGUCGCAAUAUCAUGGGUUACUUUGAGGGGUGGUUUAAAGAUAUUGAUUAAUGACGAGGACGCGAUGAUACCGAUGUUGGACAAAUGUGGUCUACAGAUAAGUUUUCCGUAAUGUGUAGGACUUUUUUGUAUACUAUUCAUUUUCUUACUUAUUGAAACUAUUUGCAUGUCAACGAACUUCAGUUUCCCUUUUAAAAUUAUAUGUUAUGUUAAAGUAAUAGGAACUACGUACUAGAAUUAUGGAACAAUAACAAAGCCUAUGAUAAUUGGCGUUAUGCUUUGAUUUACGACAAUUUUUACAUUCAAGCGAACUAUAUUAUUUUAUUUUUACGGUGAAUAUUAACUUCUUAAAAUGACCUGUGCGUUAGCACGGGUCAAUGGUCUAGUAUUUAUUCAGUUGUGCACUGUGUCUCUGAGACAGGCUAAUUUGACCACCAAGUUUUUUUUAAUCAGAAACAUAUUUUCAAAAAAUGUAAUCAUAUAUUCACACUGUAAUAAAAAUAUAUUCACAGUUGGACAAAAAAAUAAAAUAAGUAUAUUUAUUAUAUUCACACCUAUAGUAUACCCACGUGGUUAUCUUUUUCUAUAAACUCAAACCUAUAUAUAUCUCAUAUAUACAGAUCCGUGAAUAAUUUGCAAACCUUCCACUAAUAUUUAUUAUAAAUCUGCUACAUCAAUAAUGGUACUACCCACGUUCAUCAUCAUGAUUCUGUGUGUCCUUCCAACACUUUCUGUGGCUGAAGACAGUGAAGCAAAAUUAGCACUCUUAAAAUGGAAAGCUAGCUUUGACAACCAAAGUCAAAGUAUCUUGUCAACUUGGAAAAAUACCACAAAUCCAUGCAGCAAAUGGAGAGGAAUUGAGUGUGACAAAUCCAAUCUCAUUUCUACCAUAGAUCUUGCAAAUUUAGGACUAAAAGGUACACUUCACUCUCUCACCUUCUCUUCAUUCCCCAACCUCAUAACCCUAAAUAUCUAUAACAACCACUUUUAUGGAACCAUUCCUCCACAAAUAGGUAACUUGUCAAGAAUAAAUACAUUGAAUUUUUCAAAAAAUCCUAUUAUUGGUUCCAUCCCUCAAGAAAUGUACACAUUGAGGAGUUUAAAAGGCCUUGAUUUUUUCUUUUGUACACUAAGUGGAGAAAUUGAUAAAUCCAUAGGAAAUUUAACCAACCUAUCAUAUCUAGAUUUAGGAGGUAACAAUUUUUCUGGUGGUCCCAUUCCUCCUGAGAUUGGAAAAUUGAAGAAAUUAAGGUAUCUAGCAAUUACACAAGGUAGCCUAGUUGGUUCCAUUCCACAAGAAAUUGGUUUGUUGACAAACCUUACUUAUAUUGAUUUGUCAAACAACUUUCUAUCUGGUGUUAUCCCUGAAACCAUAGGGAACAUGAGCAAAUUAAAUCAACUCAUGUUUGCUAAUAACACCAAGUUGUAUGGACCAAUUCCUCACUCCUUGUGGAACAUGUCUAGCUUGACCUUGAUCUACCUUUAUAACAUGAGUCUUUCUGGUUCAAUCCCUGAUUCAGUACAAAACUUGAUUAAUUUGGAUGUACUUGCACUUUAUAUGAAUAACCUUUCUGGAUUCAUUCCUUCCACAAUUGGAAACUUGAAAAACCUCACUUUAUUGCUUUUGCGAAAUAAUCGACUUUCUGGAUCAAUUCCUGCCUCUAUAGGAAAUUUGAUCAAUUUGAAAUACUUUAGUGUCCAAGUAAACAAUCUCACAGGAACUAUUCCAGCUACAAUCGGAAAUUUGAAGCAGCUCAUUGUCUUUGAAGUAGCUUCCAACAAACUUUAUGGUAGAAUUCCAAAUGGACUUUAUAACAUUACCAAUUGGUAUUCCUUUGUUGUGUCCGAAAAUGAUUUUGUUGGCCAUUUGCCGUCUCAAAUGUGCACCGGGGGCUCAUUAAAAUACUUAAGUGCAUUUCAUAAUCGUUUCACUGGUCCAGUACCAACAAGUUUAAAAAGCUGCUCUAGCAUUGAAAGAAUCAGAAUUGAGGGUAAUCAAAUCGAAGGAGAUAUAGCAGAAGAUUUUGGUGUGUAUCCGAAUUUGCGAUACGUUGACCUGAGUGAUAAUAAAUUUCAUGGCCACAUUUCACCAAACUGGGGGAAGUCUCUUGAUCUUGAAACCUUCAUGAUAUCUAACACUAAUAUUUCUGGUGGUAUACCAUUAGAUUUUAUUGGUUUAACCAAGCUAGGUAGGCUUCAUCUUUCUUCAAAUCAAUUGACAGGGAAACUUCCAAAGGAAAUACUAGGAGGCAUGAAAUCAUUAUUAUAUCUCAAGAUUAGUAACAAUCAUUUUACAGAUAGCAUCCCAACAGAAAUUGGAUUGCUGCAAAGGCUUGAAGAGUUGGAUCUUGGAGGAAAUGAGUUAAGUGGCACGAUACCAAAUGAAGUUGCAGAGCUACCGAAGUUACGAAUGUUGAAUUUGAGCAGAAACAGAAUUGAAGGAAGAAUUCCAUCUACGUUUGAUUCAGCUCUUGCUUCAAUUGAUCUUAGUGGCAAUCGUUUGAAUGGAAACAUACCAACAAGUCUCGGAUUCUUGGUGCAGUUGUCAAUGUUGAAUCUCUCACAUAAUAUGCUUUCAGGAACCAUUCCUUCAACUUUUAGUAUGAGUUUGGAUUUUGUUAACAUAUCAGACAACCAGUUAGAUGGUCCACUUCCAGAAAAUCCAGCUUUUCUUCGUGCUCCGUUUGAAUCAUUCAAAAAUAACAAAGGCUUAUGUGGAAAUAUCACAGGUUUGGUUCCGUGUGCAACAAGCCAGAUCCAUAGUAGAAAGAGCAAAAAUAUCCUUCAAUCGGUAUUUAUUGCUUUAGGAGCUCUAAUAUUAGUGUUGAGUGGAGUUGGAAUUUCGAUGUAUGUUUUUUUUCGGAGAAAAAAACCAAAUGAAGAAAUCCAAACUGAAGAAGAAGUACAAAAGGGAGUACUAUUUUCGAUUUGGAGCCAUGAUGGGAAAAUGAUGUUUGAAAAUAUCAUUGAAGCUACUGAGAAUUUUGAUGACAAAUAUCUCAUUGGAGUUGGAAGUCAAGGAAAUGUUUACAAGGCAGAGUUGCCUACAGGAUUGGUUGUUGCUGUGAAGAAGCUUCAUUUAGUAAGAGAUGAAGAAAUGUCAUUUUUCAGUUCGAAGUCUUUUACGAGUGAGAUUGAAACCUUGACAGGAAUCAAACACAGGAAUAUCAUAAAGCUUCAUGGAUUUUGCUCACAUUCUAAGUUCUCAUUUUUAGUUUACAAGUUCAUGGAAGGUGGAAGCUUAGAUCAAAUACUAAACAAUGAAAAACAAGCCAUUGCAUUUGAUUGGGAAAAGAGGGUGAAUGUUGUUAAAGGUGUCGCCAAUGCUUUGUCCUACUUGCAUCAUGAUUGCUCACCUCCUAUUAUUCAUCGUGAUAUAUCGAGCAAGAAUAUUCUUCUCAAUCUUGACUAUGAAGCUCAUGUCUCCGACUUUGGGACAGCUAAGUUUCUUAAGCCUGACUUACAUAGUUGGACACAAUUUGCAGGCACUUUUGGGUAUGCAGCUCCAGGUUAGAACCAUUUCUCCUCAUUUUUAAUUUACACAAGUUUCGUUAUAUACACUAGUAGCAGUGGAAUCUGUGUAAAAGAAUAUGCGCUAAAAUACAUUUCCAACUGAAAAGAAUCAUUUUUUUAAUUAAAUAGAUAAGUUAUGUGGAUGUACCAGAGUCCAUUUAAAGAAUACAUGGCUUCAUAUUGUUUUGUGCAAAAUAUAACUUAAAAAUUAAUUUAUUUGUUUGUUUGCAGAGUUGUCCCAAACAAUGGAAGUGAAUGAGAAAUGUGAUGUAUACAGCUUCGGAGUGCUUGCUUUGGAAAUCAUAAUAGGAAAACAUCCAGGAGAUCUCAUUUCAUUAUUUUUGUCACCAUCUACAAGACCAACGGCUAAUGAUAUGUUAUUGACAGAGGUUUUAGAUCAAAGACCUCAAAAAGUUAUAAAACCAAUUGAUGAGGAGGUUAUCUUGAUUGCAAAGUUGGCAUUUUCUUGCUUAAAUCAAGUUCCACGUUCUCGUCCAACUAUGGAUCAAGUAUGUAAGAUGCUUGGAGCAGGAAAAUCACCUUUGGAAAAUCAAUUUCACACGAUCAAACUAGGGCAACUUCAUUAAGUCGUUGAAAUACUCUAUUGUAUAUAUAUAUAAUAAUAACCUAGUCUUUUUCUUGUUUCUUCUCUUGUAAGAUGCUUGGAACAGGAAAACCACCUUUGGUGGGAAAGCAACUUCACAUGAAAUAAUCUAUUGAACUAACUCAACGAAAUAAUCUACUGUACUAUAUAAUAAUAACAUCUUUUGUAUUUUUCUUGCACAACAUUCUCAAGCAAUUUCUUCUUUUCAUUGCACCAAUUAAUACUUCAAAAUAAGCAUGAAAAACAGAUUCAUGAGUAAAUAGUCAUUUUGGUCAUUGAAUGUGUAAGAUGUUGUUACUUGAUACUAUAAUCUCUGAAUGUAUCAAAAUUACAAACACAUUCUCAAUGUCUCUUUUGUCAGUAAUUUUAUAGACUAAAUGGACCAUAAAAAAUACUAAUAUUUCAGAAAUUUGUGUGCAUUUUUUGAAACAAUAAAAAAUACUAAAAAGAUUGCUUUUAUUAUUUAGAGAAAUGCAACACCUCUAACUAAUAUAUCAAUGUUCUUUUCAUUACAAUGGUUCGAGUCUCACAUUUUCCUAUUAACAAGUUUUAUUCAUCACAAUGAGUCACGCCUCAUUUCAAUUUGGGACUGAUCAUGUCUUGCUUUAUAUGUUUUGCGUUUAGGAGUCCUUGCAUUUUCCGUGAUCUGCAAUUUCCUUUCUUGUCUUGAUCUCUGGUGUGCAAUUACUGAUCAUGAAUUCUAGGUCACAAUGUCUGGUUUCCGUGCAGGUUGUUUGUGUUCUCAUCGUUGUUUGUGUGGGGUUCAUCCAGUUUUGUGUGUUCACACUAUUGUUCGCGUGGGUUACAUUAUCACUAUUGUUCAUGUGGUCCUUUCUUAUUCUUGGUUGAACUCUCAUGGCCUCAAAAAGGAAAGAUGCGAUUUAUGUGUCUGUUUCACCAGAAAAUAUUACCCGACUAGAGAAUUCAGUUCAAGAUGUAUGUCAACUGGAAAGGAUUAUGGAAUCUGUUGUGAAUUCGAACACAAAACUCACACCAAUAAAACUAUGAUGUGUGGAGUAAAGGAAAGUAGUAAUCAAUAUCAAAGUAAACACAAGCAACAACAAUAACAACACCAAGAUCUAAUCUAGGAAUCAAAGUGAAAAGCUCAAAACCACAAGCAAAAAGAUAAGGAGAGAAGAGAAACAAACAGACCAAGAAAUGUUUACCCAGUUCGGUCCAACUUGAUCUACUCUUGGGGAGAGAUUUAUCUCUCCAAUCCACCAUCAAUGAGUUCUUACAAAAAGAUACAAAUGGGUUACAAGAAAUUAGCUUCAACAAGCUCACAAAGAAAAAAUCUAAUUUCUACCCAUUUUCCCAAUCUCACAAAUGAACAAGACACUCAAUGAUUUUCACUCACCCAAGGUGUUUACAAUGUUUCUCACCCCAAGAUAACUAUAAUCAAAGACCCUCAACCCUAAAGUUACCUCCUUUGAUUUCUCAAGUUUUCCUCUCUUGAAGCUCUUCCUUAAAAAAGAAGAAUGAAACCUUACAUAGUGUUCAGGAUUUCGCACCAUCGUACUACGAUGGAGCAAAUAAUAGUAUAAUACUAUGCCUUAUCCAACAAAAUCGUACUACGAUUUCUCCCAUCGUACUGCGAUUUUUCCAGUGCCUACACAAACCUGAACUAUUCAAAAUCGUACUACGAUGCCUGCAAUCGUACUACGAUUUUUCCAGAACUUCAACAUCCAAAUUUUGAGUCAAUUUUCAAGAGAAUCAUAUGAUGGGCUUUAAUUUCUAAAGCGUUGGAAGGGAAAGCUACCUUAGAGUUAGAUGUGUGGGAAGUCACAGAUGCUAAAAUUACAUCUUGAAUUCUUAGUACUAUUGAUCUCCAUGUGAUCAAUAAUUUGUGUUCUUUUACAACUGCUAAAAAAUGUGAAACAACUGACGCUGCAGGUAUCCCCAUAUGUUGUAUUGCAGUUUCUCUUAUCGAGUGAAUUUACACAUUUCUCUCCAUUCAUCACUUAAACAAGAUAUUAAAUCGAACCCAUCAAAAUGCGGUACAAAGUUUAUGGUUGUGCACAAUAUAGGUCGCAUUGCUCCCAUAUAUCAAUUAUUACGACACAUAUAUAUACUCUUAAUUAUUACAAAACUAUUACACUGUCAUACCCAAACAACAACAACAAAAUCGAUGAAAUAACAAAAGCAGACUAGUAUAAUCCAAUAAUAACACAUUAAAUCCUUUCAUUUGCGCCGAACAGUAACAGGACUCCUUACAAUGUGUUUUCCAUUUGUCCAUCGCAGUUCCCCAAAUUGGUAUUUCCUCCUUGGAGUCACACUUGUUGCUUGCACAAUAACUUGAAAUGUCUUCUUUUCACCUAUUUUCUUGAAAUUCAAGGAACUAGGUACAACAGCAAUUUUAUAUCCAGCCAAUUGAACUUUAGCAAAAUAUGUACUUGGUGGCCCAACAUUAGUAACUGUGCGAGUGACAGUAACGGAAUUUAAUCCAAGAUUUGGUAAUGUGAUUGAAGGAUAAUUCAAGUCAUCUAUGCUACUAGUUCCUGAACAAGUAAAUGUCAUGUUGAAAUUAAGUGCUGAAAUGAGUUGUUGGUUGUAUCCAGAAGCACAUAAGAAGUUUAAGUAAUCUUUAAUCCCUAGAUCAUAAACAAGUCCUGGAUCCAUGGCACUGUUGGGUCGAAUAUGUCCUGAACCAUAAGCAAAUGGAUUUGCCAGUGUUUUAUCAAAUGCAUCGCUUAUAGGCUUGUUGGUGUUAUCUCUCGUGGUUGCUGCAAGCCAGCAUAUUUUGACUAGUAAGUAAUAAGUAAUCAUUUUAUAAAUUAAACUUAUUUAUAUAUGAGUGACAACGUGUCAAAAAUAAUAUAAAAAUAAUGCUACGCAUAGUGCUUUUUCCAGCCAGUGCUCCUUUUAUAGAGUAUGUGUGUGUGUGUGUUUGGUGCCACUUGAGAGAGAAAAUACCAGUGGUCAUUAUAGCCGAUUUAAUAGCUGCUGGACUCCAAUUAGGAUGAAGUGUUUUGAUUAAUCCAGCAGUGCCGGCAACAUGUGGACAAGACAUAGAAGUUCCUUGCAUUACAUUGAAUGGAAAACCUCGACGAGUGUCUGUUAUUAAAUUAGAUGCACUUGCAAACAAUGAAUAGGCAGCGAGUAUGUUCACACCUGGCGCAGUUACAUCAGGCUGAAACGAAAAAAUAAAAACAAUUCCAAUCAACACAAAUUACUAAGCAGUGUCAUUUAGCUAGUAGAUAAGAAAUCCAAGUGUAUGAUAAACACCUUGAGUAUUGAUGGUUGAACUUUAUUUGGUCCUCUAGAAGAGUAGGAAGCCAUAACUGGAGCUGGCUUUCUUCUAUUCAAAGUUUUUGCUGGUGACAUUCUUAGUUUAGUGCCUGACUUUAUAUCCCUGUAAAAUAAAAAUAGAUAUGAUUGUAUAAAAAUGGUGCUUUUCAUUUGUAACAUGUAUUUUAAUUAAUAAUGUCACAAUUUUUAAAAGCUUGUUACAAGAAAGGUAUGUAUAAUGAAUUAUUACGAGGGAAUUAUGUCCAAACUACGUCCUGUUGUUCUUGAAUGAUUUCCAGGAUAGCUGAUAGUAGACAAAACAUGAGGCUCUGAAAGAAGUGUUUUUCCAUUAAUUUCAGGUUGAUUUCUCAAAAUAACCCCCUUUGCACCUGCAGAUAAAGCUUCCUGACCCUCAGCAACUGAUUUUAUUUUCCCUUCUCGAUCGCAUGCCACUAUUUUACCAUUCACUUUUGAAGGAUCAAGUGUUCUUGGUCUACAAAAUCGACUGCAACAAUAUGUAUGUAAAAAUAUAUGUUAGAAACAGUCAUUAAGCAAAUGUUUUAUUGGAUUUUUAAGUCAUGUAAUUUUACAAUGUACUUUAAAGGAUGACCGUGUUGCUUUAAAAUGAAUUGAAAAGCAAAAUCGUUAACUUUAAAAAAUAGUUGACCAAAAUUACAAUAGACAAUGUUUUUAUCAGUACUGAAAUAAUGCUUUUGGAGUUUACACUUACGCAUCUCGAUUUGUUGCAUUGGCCAAUUUAGCAUCAGUAGAAGUCACUAUAGUAAAGUCCUGGUUAGGUGGCAAGUUUACAAAAAGACUGGCUCCCUUUUUAAUAUUAAAAAAUAAAAAAGAACACAAUUAAUUCCAAUCCUAUGAUAAUAACAACAAGAAUAAUUUGUCACAGAAAAAAACAAUAUUACGGAGAAAAUUAUCAGAAUAUUAAUUAAGGAUAAUACCGUGAGUGUUUUGUUACCAAUGGUCAUGACACUGCUGAAGUCUCUGUCUAAUGUACUAGCAGCAACAGUGAACACCCAUGGAGCAACAUUAACAACACUUCCAGGGGUAGGUCCUUCAUUUCCCGCAGAUGCAACUAAUAAUAUAUUUCUAGCAAGUGCAUGAAAUGCACCUAUUGAAAUCUCGUCAGUAAAAAUUUCUUCAGAAUUUGUACUAGAUGGGCCUCCAGCAGAAACAGAUAUUAUGUCAACACCAUCAUCAAUUGCUUGAUCAAUAGCAGAUAAUACAUCAGCACCAAAGCAACUAGUGGCAUCUGUUAGAGACCAGCACACUUUGUAGGUUGCAACUCUAGCUCUUGGUGAACCUCCUUUUAUGGUACCAUUUCCAAUGUUAAAUAUGCUUGCACCUGGUACGAAAUUUCCACCAGCUGUUGAUAGUGUGUGAGUACCAUGGCCAACGAAGUCACGCGCUGUUUGUUGUGAACGAGGAAGUUUUCCGUUACGCUUCUGAUAAGCUUUGUUGAAAAAUCUUGCGCCAAUUAGCUUCCUGGUUUUUGAAGUUUAAUUAAUCAAGAAAAAGAUUUUUAGAUACAUUAUUUAACUAGUUAAGUUGUUCUCAAUGGCUAUAUAAUAACAAUUCUCUAUUGAUCGAAAUGUUGAAAUUGGCUUCAAAUUUGUGGUUUGGAAGAACAGAGAAAUCGUGACACGAUUUUGGCAUCGUGGCACGAUUUCAAGUGCCUGUAAGCUAAGUUUGCAGGACGCCAAAUCGUGGCACGAUCUUGGGAAAUCGUGACACGAUUCAGAAACUUGCUGGUUAAGUAUAACUGAUAAGGACUUGUCUGCCUUGGGGCCGUUGCAGAUCGUGACACGAUCUAGGGAAAUCGUGGCACGAUUUCUUCAGAGGAAGACUAGUAUAUAUUGUGUUCUUGUGCUUUUUUGAAGAUAAACUUAAGAGAGAGCUUGUAUGAGCUUAAGAGAGAAAAACUUGGAUAGCAAAGGAGGGAACCAUAUGGGUUGAGUGUCUUUGUUGAGAGUGUCUCUUGGGUUGGGAAAAACAUUGUAAUCACCUUGGGUUUUAGGGUUCAUAGUGUGAGAGUGGGAAAAUAUCAAAGGGUAGAAUCUAGGGUUUGUUCAUGUGCAAAGCUUGAAGGCUAGAGUCUUGUAACCUUUUGUAACACUUUCUCAUAUUGGAUUGGAGAGCUGCUCUCUCCCCUAGAUUAGGCCAUAUUGGCUGAACUGGGUCAACAAUCUUGUUCGGUGUUUUGUUCUUCCUUUUCUUGUUUAUCUUGUUUAUGCUUUGGAAUCUCUUGUGUGGUUUUGCUAUACACUAGUUAGGGCUGUUUUGUUGUUGUUGGCUUGGAGACCAUUUGUUCUCAUUGAUUAUCACUAUCACUUGCUGCACACAUCAUUGUUUAUUUCAUUGGUGUGAAGGUUUCUUUGGAACCGGAUUCACAACAGAUUGAUAUUAACUUUAUCUAAUCAAUGCCUUCUACCAAGAAUAGUAAUUAAUAAUAUACUUAUAUAAAAAAAUAGUAAUAUAUACUAGUUUAUUUUUCUUUCCUAUAGUGUCACAAAUGUUGUUAAAACAACACUGAAUUGGGCGGUUUAACUGAUUGAAUUGAGAAUCGGUUAAUCUGGUUUAACCACAAUUGGGUCAUAGUCCCUACAUAAUUGGAUUUAACUGUAGCUGAACUGUGGUUGGUUCAACCUAUUUGCCAUGAUUCAAAACCAUUUCAAAUUCAAAUACGUUUCUUAGAACAUUGAAUGUCAUAUUUUACAUCUCAUCAAAUUGUAACAAUUAUUUGGUUAGUCACUUAUAUUUCACUAAUAGUUUCUGGUCUGAUAUUGAGAUGGGUGGCAGGUUACACGUUUUGCUCUUAAUCAGAUUCAAAUAGGACUCAUUAGUGCAGAGAUUUUUGUAAUAGGAGUGUAAUUGUGUUAAAGCUAUGGUUUACUGAUAAUGAUCUCCAACAUUGAUAAAAAUUUGUUUGCAUAGUUUCUGCAAGUUUGUAUUUUUUAAAAUUAUGUUUCCGCUGUAUUUUUGGGGUUAUUUGCUUAUAGUUGUUGCCUUACCAAUUGUUGUGCCUAAGGUUCUACAUUCAAUACAGUCUUUUUGCUUACACAUUAUACAGUUUUUAACAUUACUUUAUUUUUACAAAAGUAUUUAAUAUUGUGCAAUAUAAAAAAAUAAAAAAAAAUAAAAAUUAGCACUCCCUCCGUCCCUAAAUAAAUGACCUAGUUGACUCUGACACAUCUCAAUGCAUAUGUUUUAUCUUUGAUAUUUUCAAUUCUCUACUAAAAAAAAUUAUAAAAAUUUAAUAUUUUAAAAAUAUUCAUCGAGACGACGAAUCCAACAACAUCUUACAUGAUAUUAUUUAUCUUUGUGAAUUAGUAUAAAAGUAUAGUCAAAGUAUUUCAAGUCAAUUAUGUAUAUUGUCAACUGGAUCAUUUAUUUAGGGACGGAGGGAGUAUAAUUGUGUAGCCUAAAAAUCAUUAAAAAGGGAAGCAGGUUGAAAGAGAACCUGUUGCAUGGAACUUUUUUAGAUGUAUUGAGUUUGUCAAGUUGACAGAUGUUUCCCCCACGCCAUUUCGCUGGAAUUGGGCCAAUUCCUCUGUCGCUAAAACUCUUAGAUUCGGGCCAAACACCUGAUCCAAACAAUAGGAUAAUAAUAUAUUUUGAAUAAUUAAGUCAUCUAGGUUUAAUUAAAUCAUUAAUAAAAAAAGAAACAGAUCAUUCACAUGGAAUUUUUUUUUUUUUAAGAAAUUCACAUGGAGAUUAUAAUAUUGAAUCUGUCAAUGUUAUAUUCACUUUUUCAUAAAAUAAUUGGAAUUCUUGUGAACUGUGAGCUACUUGACUUAAUUAUUUCAACGUGUGUAAUCAUCCCUUUUGCAGAUUUCAAAUAAGGAACAAAGCACAAGAUAUUGGGGUAUAAUAAAAUAUAAUUUUUUUAUAUUGAUUGAGAACCCAAGAAAGCAUCUUGCCAACUCAAAGAAAGCCUGUAGUUUUUGUCUCCAAGUAGGUUAGUCUGAUCUAAGGAAAAAACGAAAGAUAUAAAGCAUUUCAAUUGUUCUAUAAUAAACAUUGUGUCAACGUCGACGGUCUAUCAAGUCACUAAGAUUAUACUAUUGGUUAUGUCAAAAAAGGAAGAUAAAGCAUUACAACUGUUCUAUAAUGAAAGGUUUAUUCAAAAAAAUAAAUUGUUCUAUAAUAAAAGGUAUGCGUUAAAAUUAUUAAGGGAGUGAGACUAAUUUUAACGAAAGUUAUGUGUUGUCCUCGUAAGCUUAGCUUGAUACAGAUUGUAGAAACAUUGCAUAUUAUUAUAUAUAUGCAUCGGAAUUCAAAUCUCAAACAACUUACUUAUUCAUCUUAAGAUGUGAUUUUUUUAACCAAUAAACUAUUAGCCUAUGAUAAAAAAAAGUUAUUUGUCAAAUCAUACGAUUUUUUUUUACAUUUAAAUAAAAAAAAAACGACAGAUUUGACGAACCCCAUGCACCCGAUGAAUGAACGUGGAUGCUAGUCUUUUUUUUCGUACAUCUCUUUCUUAUUCUCUAUCUUUAUAAUACUGCUAUCUCUUUUCAAAAAAAAUUAAUAAAAUAACUAAGAGAGUAUGAAGAGAUAUGUAAAAAGAAUAAGGAGAUGAUUUUAUUUCCACACAAACAACCACCAAAGUUUGACCAGAAAGUGCAUGACAAAACAUAACAGUAAAGGAAAAUGGAGGAAUUUAAUUUAUAAGCAAAAACAAAAUGUAUUAAUCAGAACAAAAAAGUAACCAAACCCGAAGAGAAUAUCACUCUAAACUUUAUAAGCAAAAAAUAGACUCUAAACUUUAUACAUAUAAGAAGACAUAACUCGUUGUGCUGGUUAAGAUUUUAUUGCGAUUUUAAUAAAUUCCAUUUUAACUUUUUCAACAAAAAAAAAAAAAAGACAUAACUCUAAAAAGUAUAUAAAAAACAAAUAUAGGCAAGAAAAUUCGUGGAUCAGGUUCCGUGAAGUCACAGAAAAUAGCAAUCAUGUAGACAAAGCUAUGCGAUUAUUCGAUUGAGUACGAACGAUCCAGAGUUCAAAGUCAAUAAUUCUAAGUUACGAAAAUACUUCCUUCAAAAAAAAAAUGUUGAAUGAGUGUAUAAAAUUUUGAGAUAGUAAUAUGAUAGAAAAAUAAAGAUAAUGAAUAAAAUAAAAUGUUGAAUGAUCGUAUAAAAUUUUGAGAUGCUCAAAUAUAAGAGUUGUUAUUGAAAACUUAAAAAACACCGUAAGAUUUCUCAAUAGAUUUUUGGCAGUGAUAUCAUGUAUAUUUAAUUUUUUUUAGCAAUAUUUAAUUUUAUUUAAAACAGUAAAUGUUAUUGUUAGUAAUUUUAUGAUUAUAGGGAACCUUUAGCUCAUUUAAUCAUUUCAUUCUUUAACUACACUACAUCACGCCAGCUACCAAACCAAUUUUAUAUCCCCUUCGAUGAUCAUUAAUUAACAAGAAUGUUUUUCUUAUCCCGUGAGUUUAGCUCAGCUGGUAGGGAUAUCACAUAUUAUAUAUAAGGGUCGGGGUUCGAACCCCGAUAACUUCAUUUCUUCACAAUUAAAUUGUGUGAGCUCUAACCACUAUGUUACUAGAAAAAAAAAAUGUUUUUUUAAAAAAUGUACCAAAUAAAAGAUUUUGUUUGAAAUAUAAAACAUAGGAUGUGGUAUAAAGUUAUAAAAUUUAGUACCUGUGUCAAUGUUACCGAUGAUGGUAUUUUCACCAAACCUUCCCUUUUGCCAAGCUGAGUUGAUAUCAUUUCCACGCAAUCCAAGAAAUUCCCAAGAACGUGUAGUGUGCAGUUUAUGCUCUUUGCUCAAAAACACAGAUACCACCUUUGGAUUUUCUGCAUAUAGGUUGAAAAAAAAAUAUAAAAUGAGAAUUAUUUAAUUGAAAAAUUACAACAUUAGUUCUAUAAAAUGCUUAUGACAGUGGAAACAUGCUAAUUGUGUUACUUACUUGCAAUUUGUGCAGCUUCUUCCUCUUCAAGCAUAGCUGCAAAGCCAUUAAUCUGUUUAUUAUAUGAAUAAAUUAUUGCUUCUUUUGCAUUCUCCUUGCUGUGAAUGAUCAAUAUAUAUUAGUUAAUAAAUUUGUUCUAAAUAAAAAAAAAAUUAAGUUGAAUUUUGUAAUGGUUAAAUUUCUUAUUUCAUGUACCUUCCCAAUAUUGAACCCAGUAAAUCAUAAUGAGAAGAUGUAGCAGUUUCAAGGUCAACAGAGGAAGGAGUUGGACCAUGUGAAUGUGCUCCCAAGUACACAAUAUAGCACUAUAAAUAAAUAGGAAAUCAAAAACCAAUAGCUUACGAAAAUAAUGAAAAGUAUAGAAAUCAUCAUCUUAAUUACAAUUUAUAAGUUCGUUACAAAAUAUAUGUGUGUGUGAUCUUACAAUGUAUAAUUUUGUUACAAAAAAUUUGAGGCUAAAAUCAUGUUUUCUUUUAGUGGAUUAAGAAGCAAAACUGGCUUUACCUCUUUGCUAGCAUGAACAUCCUUCAGCAACAAAGUGAAAAUAAGAAGAGAUGAAACAAAAAGGUGAUGAAAUAAAAUGGAGCCACCCAUUUUUCUGUUUAUGGAAAGUGCUUAGCUUAAUCUUGGGGAUCUAUGCUAAUUGCUCUCCUUUUAUAAUGAAAGCCAUAAAUAAUGGCAUCUGAGAUAAAAGACAGCUUGAGAGUAUUUUAGUUUUAUUCAUAGCUUUUUGGUAAGCUAAACAUAUUAUAUUAUUUAUAAAUAAAGAAAAGGAGACGGAACGUAUCAUGUUAUCCAAGAAAUGUGACCUGUGCUUUUUGGUAGGGCUCCAAAAUUGGAAUGAGCUUGGCUCUUUGAAUGAAAAAAAAAUUAGGACUAUUGACAUUGUGUGUUUCAAGUUUUUUUUUUUUUUUUUCCUUUUAUGAAUAUAAUCACGAUUCACGGCAAUGGAUACUUACCACCUGUCACAAAAUAAUGCCAAAAAUAUGUGAUACAUGAGUUUUUCAAAAUCGAGAAAAAAAAAAAAAAAAUGUAAAUAUCCAGACUUCAAAAAAUCGGGAGCAGACUACUAAUCUUCAGCAGAGUGGGUUAUUUCACAUCAAUCAAUACAUACACACUUUCUUACCAGAUGCUGAUUACAUAAUUACUUUACAUGUAAAAAGUUAGAGCUCAUAUGCUUUUUGGUAGUACUAAUUUCUUUUAGAGUAAGAAUAUUAUUUACUAAUAAUAAUAGUUUCUUCCUUUUCCAAAAUUUUAACAAUAAAGAUAAAAUUUUAUAUGUUCUUGUCAAAAAACAAAAGUGUAGGUCGGAGGAGUUGAGAAGCUGCUUCAACGCUGGUUCGCGAUGGUUGACAAUAGUCGACAUUCAACAAUGCAGAGGGAGUACCAGCAAAAACACUUCAUUGCUUAAGUCAUGUUUUUAAGGUGUUUUGAGAAUAUAUUUCAAAAUGUGAAUGUGUAACUUGUUUCGAUGUAAAUCGCCCGAUUUAUAUACUUGUGGCAGAUAUGUAGAUUCGACCAUUAUGACUCGAUGGUCGAAUAACCAUCUGAUCAUAUAAAGAGCUCAAAUGGGAACUAAGCGAGUUCUUUGGUGCACGAUGGCUCUUCGCCGGUGCAUGAACAACACUAGAUAGACGUUUUAUUGGGCCUAAACUAGGAUUAUAGACACGGUGAGAAUUGGUCUAAAUCAGAUCGUGUCUAAAUAUAUAAAUACUUUCAUUUAUCCUUGAUAAUACAUCCUCUAUUUCAACAUAUUAUUUAACCUUAGAGCAUCUACAAUAGUAGGUGUUUCACCUAUUUAGCACCGGAAUAAAUAAGCACUCCUAUUGUGGAGAGAAGAUGUUUGGUGCAUAUAGAGAAGGGUGAUUAUAUAAGGACCAUCUCUCUCUUUACUUUUUGUGGGUCAUACGUAAUAAAUUAUACACAAAUCAAUAAACUUGUGUUGAUAUAACAUUGAGCUAUUAAUAUGACCUAUUUAGUAACUUUUUUCUAAGGUGAUGAGUUGGAGAAAUUGGAUGUUUAUUAAGUAAUAUCAUUGAAAAUUAUAAAAUAGAUUAUGUGUACAUGCAUGACUCACUUAAGUACCUAAAAUAUAGUGUUAUGUUGUAGAUGGUCUUAGUCUCAAUUGAAUGUUUCUAAAUCUCAUUGAUUACAACGAAUGUGAGUUCUAGCUAAUACCAUAAAUGUGUCAAAAUGUGUGUUUGACGUUUUUCUUUCAAAGUACACCAUCUGGUCACUAUUAUAAGCAAAGAUUAACAUUUUAGAUUCAUCCAUUAAAUGAUGUAUAUAUUCUUUAUUAUAGACCACAUACAUAAUUUAAUGAAUGAAGCUAAAAUGUUGAUUUUUGCUUAUAAUAGUGACCGAAGGAUGUAAGAGUUUGAAGGAAGUACUAUGGUACUCUACCUAAACCCUACUAAUUAUAUCAUAAUAAUGGAUGUUGUAUUUUUUUUUUUAGACAAAAUUACACUUUUAGUCCCUUAACUUAAUUUCAGGUAACAAUUUGGUCAUUUUCAUAUGAAUUUUGAAGUUUAAAAUUCAUGAUUUUAUUUUCUUAUGGUCUUUCAAUCUUCAAAUCUAUCAUCCUCGUCUAUGUUUGCAUAAGAAUAUUAUAUUUGAAGCUUGAAAAUGUAUAUAAAAAUUGACUUUUUAAAAAAAAAAAAAAAAAAGACCAAACUGUUACCUGAAAUUAAGUUAAUGGACUAAAAAUAUAAUUUUGCCUUUUAUUUAUUUAUCAUGAUAUUGAUAUGAAGUCUGUUGGAACAAAAUGUGUUUCACAAUGAACCUUAAUGAGUUUUGAUGAUAACAAGGUAUUAAAAAUUGUCAAUUGGUUAUUGCUAAUAAUUGUUCAAGUGUACAGGACCAAAGGCUAGUCAAGUAAUUUCAAUAGGUCUUGGAAGAACAAUGGAGAGCAAAAUGAUUCUAAGCAUCUGAAGAAAACUGCGUCUGAAGCUUAAAGUGCGUCUGAAGCUGAAAUGCUUUUGAAGUGAUGACGUCAUCAGAAGCAGAAGGUCAUCAGAAGCAAGGUUUUCAUCAGAAGCGAAAUCAUCACCAGAAGCUACAUUUAAUCCGUAAAUUCAAACUAAAGAUCCAAAGUAGCUGUUUCUCAUUUCAACCUUAUCUAAGAAGAACGAAGAAUUGAAAGGGAGGUAUCAACGGUCAUUUGGAUAGCACUAAGUAUUUGUCCUUCGUUAGCAGAGUUGACAAAGUACAAGUGUACAACCACUACCUCCACUACUCUGUUUUUGUCCACGCUACAAGACAAGACAACAGCUAUGCCUGCAGAAUUUGUGCCUUCAAGAUGGGAAUGAAUUUGAAGCUAAUUCUUCAAAGGACUACACCCAAAUCAAGCAAAGGAUUACUGGUGAAUGAUCAAAGGAUUUCAACGACUCUUUAGACGUGCUAAUCAUCUCAACGUCUCUUUCACGCCUCUAUAUAAAGGAGUGAAGACUUGAAGAUUGUAGAGAGAGAUACACUAGUUAAAAAGCGCCAAAACUCUGUCAAUUUGAUUCUACAAAGCACACUGAAUUUCUGCACUGAUUUGAUAUAUCUUAGAAAUUCAAAAGUCUAGAGUCUUUAACGUAUUGUAUUGAGAACACCACUGAUUGUAUAUCAAGUGUUCAAGUCAAACUUAUUUCAUUGUAUUUUUGUUUGAUCAGAAGACUCUUGCCUGCGCGCUUGAGCAUUAGAAGUCUCUUGCUUAUUGCUUGAGCAUUGGAAGACUCUUGCGUGUGUGCUUGAGCAUUUUUGUGAAGUCUCAUACUUAGAGAGUAUUGAGCAUUUGUAAUCUUUGUGAUUAUAGUGAAAUCUCCUUGGAAGUGCAAGGGGGACUGGACUACUUCCGUUUUGUGGAAGGAACCAGGAUAACUGCUUGUGUCUCGCUUUUCUUUUCUCUGCUUUGAUCUUUUCCGCUGCAUAUCUGAUUCUGAUCAUUUCAUCAGAAGCAUUCACAAACUGCUUCUGAAGUUUUAUCAGAAGAAGAAUUUUUAGAGAGAAAAAGAAAACACAAUUCAACCCCCCCCCCCCCCCCCCCAUCUUGUGUUUUUCUCACCUUCAAAAUCUUCCUAAUAUCUAAUUUUUUUGUUUUAUCCUUCAUUUUUCUAUUUCAUUUCAAUUUUGUCCUUCUACUGUUAUCUCACAUCUCUACUUCACCAUUAUAAAUAUAGAGCUUUGGUGGUACACUUUAAAUUGUUUUUGAUCUUUCACACUUGUCUCACAUCUCUAUUCAGAAUCAUACAUUAUAAAUCUAUACGAUAUAGAUUUAUAUGAUGUUCAAUCUUCUCUUACAAAGUAGUCAAUAGAUAUUUUUUUUAAUAAACUUUCCAUUUUAUUUGCACUUUAACUGAUUUUCUCUAUUCACCAUUGUUAUACCCUGUUUUUGGACCUAAAAAUACUGGGCCCAAUUUCAUUUCAAACUUUGUCAAUUAUCAAAUUUCAACUGCACAGUUCAAACUGUCUCUGCCUCGCAGUAUUUUCAAUCACAAUUUUACCUAUGUUUUUCUUGCAUAAAACCUUUCGAAAUGUCUUUACUUGUCUUGUAAGUCAUUUAAAAGUGUCUCUGAAUCAUUACAUUGCUUUUUCUACAGUUUAUUUCAAAAUUUGCAAAAAGUCAUACAGAAGGGUAUUUUGGUCAUUUCCUGCAGUGGGACCCAUUUUCAUCCUUGUGACUGUCUCUGAGUCUUUUCAAAUUCAUUUUUAACUUUCCAUCAGUAAACCUUGCUAAUUUCAUUUCAAACUUGCAUCUGAGUCAGUGUCGAGUCAAUUUGGCUCUGUUUAGGUCAUUUUUAGCCCUAGGGGCAUUUUGGUCAUUUCACAUAAAAUUUUGGCAUGGGGAGGUUACUUUGAAGUACCUCAUUUAAGCCAUUGGUUCGUUUUAGUCCGUUUUGUCAGCUUUAUUUUUUGUUUCACUUUACGUUUGGUCAAAUUUUGUUUUUUAUUCAAAUUUUAUUUUUAAUUGCAUUUUGGUCCCUCAAUUGAGGUCCCAAAAUUGCAUUUUUGUCCAAACUGUUUUUUUUAUUAUUUAUUUCAUUUCAAGUUUUUUUUAAUUUUGCAGUCCAGUCCUUGUCAUUUUCACAAUUUGCAGAUUGGUCCUUAAAAUAGCAAGCAGCGCCCAAGUGAGCAAGUCCAGGGUACGUGUCACAAUUUCAUUGGCUCAAGUGUACACAUGUCAACUAUAUAAACAGUGAGUCAGAUUCAAAGCCAUUAACCACACGCCAACUCAUAAACACAUUUCCAAUUUUCUCUUUCUCAAGUAACUAGAUCAAAACAGAAAAUCACAGAGAAAUCACCAAGAACACGAAACCCUAACCGUUUUUUCAGAAAUCAAAUUCAUCAGAAUCAACAGUUUUUGGAUCAAUUCUCAGAGAUUCUGUUGAAUCUUCAUCAUCGAAUUGAUCAUUCUCUGCAAUUCCAAACGCGAGCUCGCAUUAAAGCAAGCUCAAGCGUUGAUCACAGAGCGUGAAAAGAAGAGGGAAAGAAGCGAAGUUCUAAACCGGCGAAGAAGAUGAAGAAACGGAAUCAGUGAGAAAAGGAGAAUCACCGAUUUAUUUUCGGUCCCAGAACAAGCAAAGGAAUCAAAAACCAGCAAGAACAUUCAAGUUUUCCCAAAGAUUUCCUCCAUUAAAGGUUUCAACCAAAACCUUAGGUAAAACUCAGAAUCUUUUCUCAAAAGUAAUAUCACUGUUAAACCUGUAGAAAACAAUCACGCAAGCAAAGCAUAUCAAAAAAUUUCCAGAAUUCAAAGAAAACCGUAACCGUAAACACGAAACCUAGAUCCAUAAGGAUCUAAGUUUUGAAGGCAAGAACGAGUACUAGAAGCGUAAUCAAACAACGAAACGAUGUAGAUCUUUAAACGAUCUAAACAUUUCUUUUCAAAAACCAAAAAAUCAGUUUCAAAAACCGUACGGAACUUUUUAGAUCUACAACGUUUCAAACCGUAUUUGAAAAAACAGCUGCUGGAUUCGUGUUUAGGGUUAAAGGACGAAUCAAAAGGAGUAAGAAUCUUUGAAAUCUGGAAAUUUAGGUCACCGGAAACUGCAUGAACUCGCCGGAGAAGAUGAAGUUUCCGGCGGACCUUCAAGGUCUCCGCCGUAGCUUCAUCCUCGCCGGCGGUGAGGUUAGAGAGAAGUGAGAGGAGAGGGAAACUUAGAGAGAGAAGGAAAUGAAAGAAAUGGACUGGACCGGUAUCCAUGUCCUUAUAUAGACGCGUGAACCGGUCCGGUUUAUUUCGUUUUCAUUUUGAACCGUAGGAUCUAGGGUUUUCUCCUUUGAACGGUUGUGAUGCAUUGUUACCAUAUGCUUGAUUUAUGUUGCCAUGCGCUGUGUGUUCUAAACCGUCAGAUCUGAAUCUGGAUCGAUCCAACGCCUCUGAAGCCUUUGGAUGAUCCAGGCCCAGUCUGUAUUGGAUUUUGGUUUGGGCUGGAAGUUUUUUACGUUUUUUGCUUUCUCUCUUUGCUACUUGCACCAUAAUUGCCUGCUGUUUGCACCCUUUGUUCAUGCUAAUUUUCACCAAUAAAUUCCAAGAAAAUUACCAUGACAUUUUACUAUUUUUUCUUGAUAAUUUUCAGUGGUAUUUUACUUGGAAAAGUUGGUAAAAUUUUGGUGUUGAUUUGUCAAGGGUUUUUACUAUUUUAAGUCACUUUUCUCGCAUUUUUACCCUUUACCUCGUGCUCAUAAUGUUCGUAUUCGUCAUGUUUAAUUUGCAUACUAUUUCAUAUGAAUUUUGCUACUGUUUGCUAUGCAUAUGUCACUGUUUUGAUGUGUUGGGUUUUAUUCUUGCAUCAUACGCAUUAUUCAUCACAUGUGUCCGGCUUAUUUUCAUCGUCACUCUACCGUCUUAUGCCAUACUUUCUUCUAUCGCUUUAUGCCAUAUUCUUCUUUUACCACUUUCUACUAACAUUUCCUUUCAUGUUGAUCACUUCAUAGCACUUCAUUAUCUUCACUAUUGUCCCCGUUAGUUUAGUUUUCUUUUUUUUGCAAAUUGUAAUUCAUUCGGUGAUGCAAUAUUUUACUAUUGGUUUGUAGCUUGGCAAAGAGGCCAUAGAAUGUACUUAGGCAACGUUGUAAUAUGGACUAUGGACACUAUGGCGCACCGACACGCACACACUCACCUUAGAUGUAUGCAUAGGAUUGUAUGGUUAGAUAAGCGCUUAGGUUUUAAACACUUAGAGAAAAUCCAUCUUUUUUUUUUCAAAAAAAACAAUUGAACUUCACUUCAAAAAUUUUCAUAAUAAGUAUGAAGUCAACACUUCAUUUUUUUUCCUUUCUUUUUUCUUAAGAAAAAUUCAAUUCAUCUUAAUCAUUUAGACUUUCUUUCUAAUCACUAAUCAAACCUCACUUUUUUGCUAAAUCUAAUGCUCAUGAAGCCUCCCAAUCUCCUUCUUCAAAACUUUUUUUUUAAAACUUAAAAUCAAACAAUUAAAACAAAAAACAAGUCUUUUUAGCAAGAACUACGCCGGUUUUGAUCCCGUAAAACGGUACGUAGGCAAUGAGUCAAAACUCAUCCAAGCCGAAAUAAAAUCAAAGUCUUACAACUUCUCUCCCCCCAUUCUUAACUAAAUAAACCUCCCAUUUUCAAAAGUAAGUAAAAAUAAGCAUGAAUAUAGACUUAGGAAAACGGCUCCUAUAGAGGACUAUAGUUACUCCGGGUGCUUAACACCUUCCCGUAGUAAAACCGACCCCCGAACUUAGAAUCUAAGGGUUUUUCUCAAUUUUGCCCUUCCCAAGAAAAAAUAGAGAAUAUCAACGGUCAAAAGGUUCAAGUCCAAUUAAUGGCUUGGCACCCAAAAACCAUGAUAACAGAAAUGGCGACUUCACUGGGGAAUCUUUUUAGCGGGUCGCGCCUAGUUUUCCUUAGUUUAUAUUUAUGCUUUAUUUUAUUGCUUACAUAUGUGAAUACUUGUUUACCUUCAUUUGACGUGUGGGGUGAGAAUAUCAAAAGUCCUAACCCGGGCUGAGUGAACUUAUGUUUAGGUAGAGAUAUAAUCGACAAUUCGAUCCGGGGGUUGCCUCGUGUAUUGGAUUAUGCGAUCAAUCUCACAUAGCUGAGGCAUUUUGAAGGUGAUAUUGUCGGCGUGUGUUGUCAUGCUUAGGCACUUCACUUUCAAUUGUUCGACGAAGCUAUGAACCGUAGUUACCAAACCCAUCCUAGCCUUUUUAGGACGUAGUGCGGUGGCUAAAUUGAGUGUUGUCUCAAACUUUAGUCGUCACGCGAUACUACACUCAAACUAGACCUUCUCACAAAUAAUCAUGGAACGGGUGUCGUCCUGUACUACCAUGAUAUAUGUGAGAGAGGUUGCAGUUUGGGAACUGUGUUAGAACCUUGGUUACUACCAUCCAAAGCCUUAGUUCACCGGACGCCGUGUCCAUCCGUGGUCUUGUUACUUUGAACCUCAACCCACAUUGUAACUAAACAACACAAUCAUGCAUACAUGCAUUCAUGCAUAAACAUUUUUCAUGCAUUCAUCGAAGGGUUUAAACAAAUGGAAAUUUUUGUAAAUAAUCACAGGUAUGAAGAAGACUAAGUGCUACAAGUUCAAGGAAGUGGAUUUGGUCAGUUUAAGAGAGUUGGCACUCAAGGUCAAGAGUCAAACAGGGUUCCGACUCCGGUAUGGGGGAUUGCUUACUUUGCUCCGAACCGAUGUGGACGAGAAGCUAGUGCACACUCUAGUGCAAUUUUAUGAUCCAAGCUUCCGUUGCUUCACUUUCCCGGACUUCCAGUUGGUUCCUACUCUCGAGGCUUACUCCAAUCUAGUGGGUUUACCUAUAGCCGAGAAGACGCCUUUCACCGGUCCCGGGACUUCUCUUCCUCCUCUGGUUAUUGCUAAGAAUCUCUACCUCAAGACUUCCGACGUCUCCAACCAUCUUAUUACCAAGUCUCACAUCCGGGGUUUCACUUCGAAGUAUCUUCUUGAUCAGGCUAAUCUUGGUACUACUCGUCAGGAUACACUCGAGGCUAUUCUUGCUUUGCUUAUCUACGGGCUCAUUCUCUUUCCGAACCUCGACAACUUCGUGGACAUGAAUGCUAUCGAGAUCUUCCAUUCCAAGAACCCGGUUCCUACUUUGCUAGCGGAUACCUACCACGCCAUUCAUGACAGGACUCUCAAGGGCCGUGGGUAUAUUCUUUGCUGCAUAUCUCUUUUGUAUAGGUGGUUUAUUUCGCACCUUCCGAGUUCCUUCCAUGAUAACUCGGAGAACUGGUCCUACUCGCAGCGGAUUAUGGCCCUCACUCCUAAUGAGGUCGUCUGGCUCACUCCUGCCGCUCAAGUGAAGGAAAUCAUUAUGGGUUGUGGAGACUUUCUCAAUGUACCUCUUCUUGGUACCCGUGGAGGAAUCAACUACAAUCCCGAGCUUGCUAUGAGACAGUUUGGUUUCCCUAUGAAGUCGAAGCCCAUCAAUCUUGCUACAUCUCCAGAGUUCUUCUUCUACACGAAUGCUCCUACCGGACAAAGGAAAGCUUUCAUGGAUGCUUGGUCCAAGGUUCGAAGGAAGAGUGUGAAGCAUCUAGGUGUGAGAUCUGGUGUUGCUCAUGAGGCCUAUACUCAGUGGGUGAUAGAUCGAGCUGAGGAGAUUAGUAUGCCUUAUCCAGCUAUGAGAUAUGUGUCUUCAUCUACCCCAUCUAUGCCUCUACCUCUACUCCCCGCGACUCAAGAUAUGUAUCAGGAGCAUCUAGCUAUGGAGAGUCGUGAGAAGCAAGUGUGGAAAGCUCGGUACAAUUAAGCCGAAAAUCUAAUCAUGACUUUGGAUGGUAGAGAUGAGCAGAAGACUCAUGAGAAUCUGAUGUUGAAGAAGGAGCUAGCUAAAGCCCGGAGGGAAUUGGAAGAGAAAGACGAGCUGCUUAUGAGGGAUUCCAAGAGAGCCAGAGGACGGCGAGACUUCUUUGCCAGAUACUGUGAUUCAGAUUCCGAGUCCGAUGAUCUUCCGACUACUUCCUAUGCUUGAGAGCUUCAUUUGUUUACCUUGUUGAAAAUGUUGUGUAAUUUUGUUUAUUUGCAAGAUUUCUAAUUUGUUUAAAAAUCCUUCGAUGAAAAAUGAGUCUUUUGCAUUUGCAUUUGCACAUCAUGCAUCAUAUGCAUCAUGCAUUGGUCACAAAGGCUUCCAAGUGCUCACUAGCUCCUGGUUUCUCUGCCGCAGUGUGAAAAGUGGCUCGUGCUCAGAGAAUUUACGAACCUGAUAGAACCGAUCGAACCAGAGAGUACAGAAGAAAGAAAAGGGCUAUGGAAGAAGAAAACACACAGCUUCGUACCGAAUUGGCAUCUCUAAGGGAGGAAUUGGCCAAAGCUCAUGAUGCUAUGACUGCUCUGUUGGCUGCUCAGGAACAACCAGUUCCUGUGGUUUCUACAGCUGCAAAUGUGACUCCUACCGUAACAACUGAUCCCCGCUCUAUCAUGCCAUCCGGGUAUCCUUACGGGCUUCCGCUGUACUAUACUGCUAAUACAGGGGCAGGGACCUCUGGUACUACCAACAAUGGCCCAAUCCCAGGGGCAAACUUAACUCCUGUUAGUACCGCCUUGACUCAAGCUGCAACAACUGUUACCGAGCCCAUUGUGAAUGCGGUGCCUCUAUUUGUCCAUGCUAAUGCGCACCACGGGAGUAUUACCACAACCGGAACUAUGGAAGAGAGAAUGGCAGAACUUGCCAAAGAGCUCCGACGAGAAAUUAAGGCCAACAAGGGAAACGGGGACUCCAUUAAAACCCAGGAUCUCUGCUUGGUAUCGAAGGUAGAUGUUCCAAAAAAGUUCAAAGUCCCGGAGUUCGACAAGUAUAACGGGCUGACUUGCCCUCAAAAUCAUAUUGUCAAAUACGUCCGGAAGAUGGGCAACUACAAGGACAAUGAUUCCCUUAUGAUCCAUUACUUCCAAGACAGUCUGAUGGAAGAUGCUGCGGAGUGGUAUACUAGUCUGAGCAAAGAUGAUGUCCAUACUUUUGAUGAGCUAGCCACUGCUUUCAAGAGCCACUACGGGUUUAACACUCGUUUGAAGCCGAAUAGGGAGUUCCUCAGGUCCCUAUCUCAGAAAAAGGAGGAGAGUUUCCGUGAAUAUGCGCAAAGGUGGAGAGGGGCAGCUGCCCGUAUCACUCCUGCUUUAGAUGAAGAAGAAAUGACCCAGACAUUCUUAAAGACCUUGAAAAAAGAUUAUGUUGAGAGGAUGAUCAUCGCUGCCCCGAACAACUUUUCGGAGAUGGUCACCAUGGGAACCCGUCUUGAGGAAGCCGUCAGGGAUGGAAUCAUUGUGUUUGAGAAAGCUGAAUCCUCUGCGAAUGCAUCGAAGAGAUAUGGUAAUGGACACCACAAGAAGAAAGAAACGGAAGUAGGGAUGGUGUCAGCUGGAGCCGGUCAAUCAAUGGCUACCGUUGCUCCUAUCAAUGCAGCUCAAAUGCCUCCGUCAUACCCAUAUAUGCCGUAUUCUCAGCAUCCGUUCUUCCCACCGUUUUAUCAUCAGUACCCUUUGCAACCGGGCCAGCCUCAAGUGCCCGUCAAUGCAAUUGCCCAACAGAUGAAACAACAGUUGCCGGUUCAACAACAACAACAACAACAACAGCAGCAGUAUACUAGACCAACUUUUCCUCCUAUACCAAUGUUGUAUGCAGAACUUCUUCCAACUUUACUCCAGAGAGGACAUUGUACAACUAGACAGGGCAAGCCACCACCUGAUCCGUUGCCUCCAAGGUUCAGGUCUGAUCUCAAAUGUGACUUUCAUCAAGGUGCCUUAGGACAUGAUGUCGAGGGGUGUUAUGCUUUGAAGUAUAUCGUGAAGAAACUCAUCGAUCAAGGGAAGCUGACUUUUGAGAAUAAUGUUCCACAUGUCCUUGACAAUCCGCUACCAAAUCAUGCCGCUGUGAAUAUGAUCGAAGUGUGUGAGGAAGCUCCUAGACUUGAUGUCCGCAAUAUUGCCACUCCUCUGGUGCCUCUACACAUCAAGCUGUGCAAAGCUUCUCUGUUCAGCCAUGAUCAUGCCAAGUGUCUAGGAUGCCUUCGUGAUCCUUUGGGUUGCCAUGCUGUUCAAGACGACAUCCAAAGUUUGAUGAAUGAUAAUCUUCUGACCGUCAGUGAUGUUUGCGUGAUUGUGCCAGUUUUUCACGAUCCGCCUGUCAAGAGUGUACCUUUGAAGAAGUGUGCUGAGCCUUUGGUGAUAAAGUUGCCAGGACCAAUUCCUUAUGUUUCGGACAAGGCAGUGCCAUACAAGUACAAUGCUACUAUGAUAGAAAAUGGAGUAGAGGUGCCUCUAGCCUCCUUUGCCACAGUAAGCAAUAUUGCCGAAGGGACUUCUGCAGCGCUAAGAAGCGGGAAAGUCCGUCCGCCGUUAUUUCAGAAGAAAGUAGCCACGCCAACCAUUCCACCAGUUGAAGAAGCAACUCCAACCGUUGUUUCACCCAUUGCUACAGAUGUGAACCAAUCAGGCAAAUCUAUAGAGGAUUCAAAUUUAGAUGAGAUUCUGAGGAUAAUAAAGAGGAGCGACUACAAGAUCGUUGAUCAGUUGCUGCAGACUCCUUCAAAGAUAUCUGUCUUGUCGUUACUCUUGAGCUCCGAGGCUCACAGGAAUACCUUGUUGAAAGUGCUGGAGCAGGCGUAUGUUGACCACGAAGUCUCGGUAGAUCGUUUCGGUGGCAUAGUGGGAAAUAUUACUGCUUGUAACAACCUCUGGUUUAGUGAAGAAGAGUUGCCGGAAGUGGGAAAGAGUCACAAUCUGGCUUUGCACAUCUCGGUGAAUUGUAAAUCAGACAUGAUAUCAAAUGUGUUGGUGGAUACCGGUUCCUCUCUCAAUGUAAUGCCCAAGACAACUCUAGAUCAGUUGAGCUACCGAGGGACCCCUUUGAGAAGAAGUACUUUCUUGGUCAAAGCUUUUGAUGGAUCUCGAAAGAAUGUGCUGGGAGAGAUAGACUUGCCGAUAACUAUUGGCCCUGAGAAUUUCUUGGUUACCUUCCAAGUGAUGGACAUUAAUGCAUCCUACAGUUGCCUGCUGGGAAGACCGUGGAUACACGAUGCAGGUGCGGUUACUUCCACCUUACAUCAGAAGUUGAAAUUUAUGAAGAAUGGAAAACUCGUUACAAUCCAUGGUGAAGAAGCAUACUUAGUCAGCCAGUUGUCUUCUUUCUCUUGUAUUGAAGCAGGGUCUGCUGAAGGGACUGCUUUCCAAGGUUUGACCAUUGAAGGUGCAGAGCCUAAGGAAGCUGGGGCUGCUAUGGCUUCAUUGAAAGAUGCUCAGAGAGCCAUCCAAGAAGGUCAGACUGCCGGCUGGGGCAAGGUGAUACAGCUCUGUGAGAACAAGCGUAAAGAAGGUCUCGGGUUCUCCCCGUCAUCAAGGGUUUCCUCGGGAGUCUUCCACAGUGCAGGUUUUGUUAAUGCUAUCUCUGAAGAAGCCACUGGAUCUGGUCUCAGGCCUGUAUUUGUUACACCAGGAGGCAUUGCGACAAAUUGGGAUGCCAUUGACAUUCCUUCAAUCAUGCAUGUUUCUGAGUAAUGUGUCUUGUUGCUUUAGUGCUUUGUUUUCAAAAUAACAACCCUCUCGCUCUGCCCAAAGCGAGAGUGAUAUUUUCUGUAAGGGCAUGUUUGUUUCGGCAUUGCCGUUGAUUAAUAAAAUUUUGUCGUUUCUUCCACGACUACUUUUUUUUUAGUGCUUUUUCCCUUGGAAACAAUGGUAAUGCCAGAAAAAACCAAAACGUCUGUAUUUUCUUAUUAAUUUCAAAAAUCUGCAUGAAAAAAAGACUCUUUCUAAAAUCAUUCAACCAUUCUAUGCAGUUUGAACCAUAAUAAACCCGUUGAACACAGUAAUCCUACGGUUCUUCCAAAUUUUGAAUUCCCUGUGUAUGAAGCCGAAGAUGAAGAGGAUGAUGAUAUACCAUAUGAGAUCACUCGAUUGCUUGAGCAAGAAUCAGCCUAUUGUAUGGAACGAUGAAUGCCAGGAAGCUUUUGAUAGCAUCAAGAAUUACCUGCUGGAACCACCUAUCCUUGUCCCUCCCGUGGAAGGAAGGCCUUUGAUUUUGUAUUUGUCAGUGUUUGAUGAAUCUGUGGGAUGCGUGCUUGGUCAACGAGAUGAGACUGGAAAGAAAGAACAUGCUAUCUACUAUCUGAGCAAGAAGUUCACCGACUGUGAAACUCGGUAUACAAUGCUUGAGAAGACUUGUUGUGCUCUAGCUUGGGCUGCCAAACGCCUGCGUCAUUAUUUGAUGAAUCAUACAACUUGGUUGAUAUCCAGAAUGGAUCCGAUAAAGUAUAUCUUUGAGAAAGCUGUUGUUACUGGGAAGAUUGCACGCUGGCAGAUGCUUUUGUCUGAAUAUGAUAUUGUGUUCAAAACUCAAAAGGCAAUCAAAGGUAGCAUUCUUGCCGAUCAUCUUGCCUACCAACCUCUUGAUGAUUAUCAACCAAUUGAAUUCGACUUCCCCGAUGAAGAAAUCAUGUAUUUGAAAUCAAAAGACUGCGAAGAACCGUUGAUUAAUGAAGGUCCAGAUCCCAAUAGCAGGUGAGGUUUAGUCUUUGAUGGUGCUGUCAAUGCUUAUGGUAAAGGAAUUGGGGCAGUCAUUGUAUCCCCGCAGGGGCAUCACAUCCCUUUUACCGCCCGAAUUUUGUUCGAAUGUACCAACAAUAUGGCUGAGUAUGAAGCAUGUAUCUUUGGGAUCGAGGAAGCAAUUGACAUGAGAAUCAAACACCUCGACAUCUAUGGAGAUUCUGCGCUCGUCAUCAAUCAGAUAAAGGGUGAAUGGGAGACCCACCAUGCUAAGUUGAUUCCUUAUCGUGAUUAUGCGAGACGUCUUCUGACAUAUUUUACAAAGGUUGAGCUGCACCAUAUUCCUCGUGAUGAGAACCAAAUGGCUGAUGCUCUUGCUACUCUAUCCUCCAUGUUUCGAGUAAACCAUUGGAAUGAUGUGCCAAUAAUCAAAGUGCAACGCCUUGAAAGACCUUCACAUGUGUUUGCUAUUGGGGAUGUGAUCGAUCAGGCUGGUGAAAAUGGGGUUGACUAUAAACCCUGGUACUACGACAUCAAACAGUUCUUGCUGAGCCGUGAGUAUCCGCCGGGUGCUUCCAAACAAGAUAAGAAGACCCUGAGAAGAUUGGCCAGUAGAUUCCUGUUAGAUGGAGAUAUUCUGUACAAGAGGAACUAUGACAUGGUAUUGUUAAGAUGUGUUGAUGAACAUGAGGCGGAGCAGUUAAUGCAUGAUGUACAUGACGGUACCUUCGGGACCCAUGCUACAGGGCAUACUAUGUCAAGGAAGUUGUUACGAGCAUGUUACUACUGGAUGGCCAUGGAGCAUGAUUGCUACCAGUACGCCAGAAAAUGCCACAAAUGUCAAAUCUAUGCUGAUAAGAUUCAUGUGCCUCCGCACGCUCUCAAUGUUAUUUCAUCCCCAUGGCCGUUCUCGAUGUGGGGCAUCGACAUGAUUGGAAGAAUUGAACCGAAGGCUUCAAAUGGUCAUCGUUUCAUCUUAGUGGCAAUUGACUACUUUACCAAAUGGGUUGAAGCAGCAUCUUAUACCAAUGUGACCAAGCAAGUGGUAGCUAAGUUCAUCAAGAACAACAUCAUCUGUCGAUAUGGUGUUCCCAGCAAGAUUAUUACCGACAAUGGUACCAACCUGAACAACAAUGUGGUGCAAGCUCUUUGUGAAGAAUUCAAAAUUGAGCAUCAUAACUCUUCUCCCUAUAGACCUCAGAUGAAUGGUGCAGUUGAGGCCGCCAACAAGAAUAUCAAGAGAAUUGUCCAGAAGAUGGUAACCACUUACAAGGACUGGCAUGAGAUGUUACCCUAUGCUCUGCAUGGCUACCGCACUACCGUGCGCAGUUCAACCGGGGCAACCCCUUUCUCUCUUGUAUAUGGUAUGGAAGCAGUUCUUCCUUUGGAAGUGGAGAUCCCAUCUCUCCGUGUGAUAAUGGAAGCAAAGUUAUCUGAGGCUGAAUGGUGCCAAAGCCGGUAUGAUCAGUUGAAUUUGAUUGAGGAAAAACGUAUGGAUGCCACGGCUCGUGGACAGUCAUAUCAAGCAAGAAUGAAGACUGCCUUUGACAAGAAAGUCCAUCCUCGAGAAUUCAAGGUAGGGGAACUUGUAUUGAAAAGGAGGGUAAGCCAGCAACCCGACCCAAGGGGCAAGUGGACGCCUAACUAUGAAGGUCCUUAUGUUGUCAAGAAGGCCUUCUCCGGUGGUGCUUUAAUCCUUACACACAUGGAUGGUGUGGAACUUCCAAAUCCAGUGAAUGCCGAUAUAGUCAAGAAAUACUUUGCCUAAAAAUAUGAAAAGAACAGCGUGGUAGGUCGAAAACCCGAAAGGGCGGCCUAGGCAAAAAUGCGCUUCCCGGUGGAUGGUAAACCCGAAAGGGCGGUCCAGGCAAAAAUAAGGGACAAAAAACAAAUAUGAAAAGCUCGCUGAGAUUGUACACAACUCAGGCAAGAAUGAGCGUCUCGAUGAGCCGAAAACCCGGAAGGGCGGUUCAUGCAAAAAUGAGAUUGAAACAAAAGGCAAGUAACUAUAUCUGGCCAACCACCGUCCCCCUUGGGGCAUCUGCAGCUGUUAAUGACCAUUUUCAUCAAAAGCUCUUAUGCUUGCGAAUUCAAAGUUUCUAGGAGAUGUCAUGAUUACUGUGUUCAAUGUACCACCAACCAAUAAAAUUACCAUUUUCCAAGCUUUGUAAAUCCGUGGAGUCACGCCUUCGGCUGACCACCACUCUUAUACAUCUAUUUGAGCUUGUGCUUUUGUUUGAAACUCUGCUUUCUUUUUACUUUCAAAGCUAUAUACAAAACAUUUUCUUUCUAUUUUGAUAAUGAUAAUGCUCGAAACAAACAUUUUGAAAAUUGAAAAAGUUUUUUUUGAAAAGCAAACCUGAGCAACAGGGUACAUUCAAAUGAGACAUGCAUGAGCGAGAGUAUGUUGAUGUCUAUUUCAAUAUAUGUUACAAGCAGGUUCUCCUCCAGGAUAAUCUGUGGUCAAUGGCAAGAAUGAAAAAACAGAAUGAAAAUGCAUGAAAAUGAAUAGGCUCGCUAAGUUGAAAACCCGAAAGGGCGGCUUAGGCAAAAAUGAGCACCCCGCUGGAUUGACAACCCGAAAGGGCAGUUCAGGCAAAAAUGGGGCAUUGAAGAGAAUUUAUUUCCCCGGUGGAUCGAAAACCCGAAAAGGCGAUCCAGGCAAAAAUGGGAUGCAAAAAAAAAAAAAAAAAUGAAAAUGAUGAAAAUGAGAAUAUAACAUGCAAAAAGCAUUGACCACAGAUGCAAUGUCUACAACAUGCCCAGCACAACGGCAUUUCCCCAGUAAAGUCUCUCAAGAUUCUAUCCCCAGCAAGUUGCAUAGCUACCUGCCCUCAGCCAUUGGUUCCAAUACGUCUCCCAACGACGUCAUCUCCAAAGAGGAUUUCCAAGAAUGUGUAAUAUAGCACGAGCCACUACGUGCCCAAUACUCUGAUGUCUUGUCUUCCCCGUGAAGUCGUGCCUACAAACUGCCAACAGUCAUGCAUUACAAGCAUUCAUACAUGCAUAAUCAUGCAUAUUACGUGCCCAUGCAUUUAAUAAAACUGUUAUAUCAUCCAUGCAUAUCGCAUUUCCAAUAACAAUAUCAGUCUCAAUUCAAAACUCAUGUCAGGUUCUCUGUCAAAACCUUGUGAGCCAAUAAUAUCGAUCAAAUUUUACCUUUCAAACCAAAUCGACGUCAAGUCAAUCUCAAUCUAUAUUUUGUCAACAAACCAAUCCCCAGUGAAUAUGUUUCUGUUCGGUCAAGUUACUAGUUCGCAUCCAAGAACGACUUGCAUCCGUUUACUUUUCAAUGUUAUCGGUCAAGUGACUAGCUCAAUCCAAGAGCAGCUUGUACCUGUCUAUCUGUUUCUGUCCGGUGGAGUAACCAGUUCGCAUCCAAGAACAAGCUCGCACCUGUCUAUUUGCCUUGCUUUCAGUCGAGUAACUAGUUCGAAUCCAUAAGAACAACUCGUACCUGCCAAUUUUACAUGUUUUCAGUCGAGUCACCAGUUCGCAUCCAAGAACAAGCUCGCACCUGUCUAUUUGCCUUGUUUUCAGUCGAGUCACCAGUUCGAAUCCUUAAGAACAACUCGUGCUUGUCAAUUUUCUCUUUUUUCCAGUCGGGUCACCAGUUCGAAUCCAUAAGAACAACUCGCACUUUCCAACAUCCCCAAGUGAGUUACCAGUUCGGAUCCAUAAGAGCAACUCAUGUUUGUCCAGUAACCUCUAUCCCCUGUGAAGUGACCAGUUCGAAUCCAUAAGAACAACUCGCAGUUGUCUGUUUGUUUCAUUCCCGGUCAAGUGGCUAGUUUGAAUCCAAGAACAGCUUGUACCUGUCCAACUUGUUUCUAGUUUCCCGUUACUCUGCUAUUCACUAUCUUUGUCAAUGUCUACCAAUCCCGCAAUGGAUACGACAUAUUUUGUUAAUUCCAAUCCCCAUGAGGUCUUGCAUUCAUAAUCCAAAUGAUGCAUGGCAUGCAUAUUAUUUGAAAAUGGGUAGGCGUAUUUUUACGUCCAAACACAGUGCAAAUGCUAAUAUUUAAGUAUCUUCGUCCUGUCAAGCCAAAGACUCCGUCUCUUGACUCUUCAGACAAAGAAACUUAAAUAGGGGCAGCUGUUAUACCCUGUUUUUGGACCUAAAAAUACUGGGCCCAAUUUCAUUUCAAACUUUGUCAAUUAUCAAAUUUCAACUGCACAGUUCAAACUGUCUCUGCCUCGCAGUAUUUUCAAUCACAAUUUUACCUAUGUUUUUCUUGCAUAAAACCUUUCGAAAUGUCUUUACUUGUCUUGUAAGUCAUUUAAAAGUGUCUCUGAAUCAUUACAUUGCUUUUUCUACAGUUUAUUUCAAAAUUUGCAAAAAGUCAUACAGAAGGGUAUUUUGGUCAUUUCCUGCAGUGGGACCCAUUUUCAUCCUUGUGACUGUCUCUGAGUCUUUUCAAAUUCAUUUUUAACUUUCCAUCAGUAAACCUUGCUAAUUUCAUUUCAAACUUGCAUCUGAGUCAGUGUCGAGUCAAUUUGGCUCUGUUUAGGUCAUUUUUAGCCCUAGGGGCAUUUUGGUCAUUUCACAUAAAAUUUUGGCAUGGGGAGGUUACUUUGAAGUACCUCAUUUAAGCCAUUGGUUCGUUUUAGUCCGUUUUGUCAGCUUUAUUUUUUGUUUCACUUUACGUUUGGUCAAAUUUUGUUUUUUAUUCAAAUUUUAUUUUUAAUUGCAUUUUGGUCCCUCAAUUGAGGUCCCAAAAUUGCAUUUUUGUCCAAACUGUUUUUUUUAUUAUUUAUUUCAUUUCAAGUUUUUUUUAAUUUUGCAGUCCAGUCCUUGUCAUUUUCACAAUUUGCAGAUUGGUCCUUAAAAUAGCAAGCAGCGCCCAAGUGAGCAAGUCCAGGGUACGUGUCACAAUUUCAUUGGCUCAAGUGUACACAUGUCAACUAUAUAAACAGUGAGUCAGAUUCAAAGCCAUUAACCACACGCCAACUCAUAAACACAUUUCCAAUUUUCUCUUUCUCAAGUAACUAGAUCAAAACAGAAAAUCACAGAGAAAUCACCAAGAACACGAAACCCUAACCGUUUUUUCAGAAAUCAAAUUCAUCAGAAUCAACAGUUUUUGGAUCAAUUCUCAGAGAUUCUGUUGAAUCUUCAUCAUCGAAUUGAUCAUUCUCUGCAAUUCCAAACGCGAGCUCGCAUUAAAGCAAGCUCAAGCGUUGAUCACAGAGCGUGAAAAGAAGAGGGAAAGAAGCGAAGUUCUAAACCGGCGAAGAAGAUGAAGAAACGGAAUCAGUGAGAAAAGGAGAAUCACCGAUUUAUUUUCGGUCCCAGAACAAGCAAAGGAAUCAAAAACCAGCAAGAACAUUCAAGUUUUCCCAAAGAUUUCCUCCAUUAAAGGUUUCAACCAAAACCUUAGGUAAAACUCAGAAUCUUUUCUCAAAAGUAAUAUCACUGUUAAACCUGUAGAAAACAAUCACGCAAGCAAAGCAUAUCAAAAAAUUUCCAGAAUUCAAAGAAAACCGUAACCGUAAACACGAAACCUAGAUCCAUAAGGAUCUAAGUUUUGAAGGCAAGAACGAGUACUAGAAGCGUAAUCAAACAACGAAACGAUGUAGAUCUUUAAACGAUCUAAACAUUUCUUUUCAAAAACCAAAAAAUCAGUUUCAAAAACCGUACGGAACUUUUUAGAUCUACAACGUUUCAAACCGUAUUUGAAAAAACAGCUGCUGGAUUCGUGUUUAGGGUUAAAGGACGAAUCAAAAGGAGUAAGAAUCUUUGAAAUCUGGAAAUUUAGGUCACCGGAAACUGCAUGAACUCGCCGGAGAAGAUGAAGUUUCCGGCGGACCUUCAAGGUCUCCGCCGUAGCUUCAUCCUCGCCGGCGGCGAGGUUAGAGAGAAGUGAGAGGAGAGGGAAACUUAGAGAGAGAAGGAAAUGAAAGAAAUGGACUGGACCGGUAUCCAUGUCCUUAUAUAGACGCGUGAACCGGUCCGGUUUAUUUCGUUUUCAUUUUGAACCGUAGGAUCUAGGGUUUUCUCCUUUGAACGGUUGUGAUGCAUUGUUACCAUAUGCUUGAUUUAUGUUGCCAUGCGCUGUGUGUUCUAAACCGUCAGAUCUGAAUCUGGAUCGAUCCAACGCCUCUGAAGCCUUUGGAUGAUCCAGGCCCAGUCUGUAUUGGAUUUUGGUUUGGGCUGGAAGUUUUUUACGUUUUUUGCUUUCUCUCUUUGCUACUUGCACCAUAAUUGCCUGCUGUUUGCACCCUUUGUUCAUGCUAAUUUUCACCAAUAAAUUCCAAGAAAAUUACCAUGACAUUUUACUAUUUUUUCUUGAUAAUUUUCAGUGGUAUUUUACUUGGAAAAGUUGGUAAAAUUUUGGUGUUGAUUUGUCAAGGGUUUUUACUAUUUUAAGUCACUUUUCUCGCAUUUUUACCCUUUACCUCGUGCUCAUAAUGUUCGUAUUCGUCAUGUUUAAUUUGCAUACUAUUUCAUAUGAAUUUUGCUACUGUUUGCUAUGCAUAUGUCACUGUUUUGAUGUGUUGGGUUUUAUUCUUGCAUCAUACGCAUUAUUCAUCACAUGUGUCCGGCUUAUUUUCAUCGUCACUCUACUGUCUUAUGCCAUACUUUCUUCUAUCGCUUUAUGCCAUAUUCUUCUUUUACCACUUUCUACUAACAUUUCCUUUCAUGUUGAUCACUUCAUAGCACUUCAUUAUCUUCACUAUUGUCCCCGUUAGUUUAGUUUUCUUUUUUUUGCAAAUUGUAAUUCAUUCGGUGAUGCAAUAUUUUACUAUUGGUUUGUAGCUUGGCAAAGAGGCCAUAGAAUGUACUUAGGCAACGUUGUAAUAUGGACUAUGGACACUAUGGCGCACCGACACGCACACACUCACCUUAGAUGUAUGCAUAGGAUUGUAUGGUUAGAUAAGCGCUUAGGUUUUAAACACUUAGAGAAAAUCCAUCUUUUUUUUUUCAAAAAAAACAAUUGAACUUCACUUCAAAAAUUUUCAUAAUAAGUAUGAAGUCAACACUUCAUUUUUUUUCCUUUCUUUUUUCUUAAGAAAAAUUCAAUUCAUCUUAAUCAUUUAGACUUUCUUUCUAAUCACUAAUCAAACCUCACUUUUUUGCUAAAUCUAAUGCUCAUGAAGCCUCCCAAUCUCCUUCUUCAAAACUUUUUUUUUAAAACUUAAAAUCAAACAAUUAAAACAAAAAACAAGUCUUUUUAGCAAGAACUACGCCGGUUUUGAUCCCGUAAAACGGUACGUAGGCAAUGAGUCAAAACUCAUCCAAGCCGAAAUAAAAUCAAAGUCUUACAACUUCUCUCCCCCCAUUCUUAACUAAAUAAACCUCCCAUUUUCAAAAGUAAGUAAAAAUAAGCAUGAAUAUAGACUUAGGAAAACGGCUCCUAUAGAGGACUAUAGUUACUCCGGGUGCUUAACACCUUCCCGUAGUAAAACCGACCCCCGAACUUAGAAUCUAAGGGUUUUUCUCAAUUUUGCCCUUCCCAAGAAAAAAUAGAGAAUAUCAACGGUCAAAAGGUUCAAGUCCAAUUAAUGGCUUGGCACCCAAAAACCAUGAUAACAACCAUUAUAAGUAUCAUCAUGGUAAUAUUGCUCGGUAGGGUCAUACAUAUGCUCCUCAAUCACAUGUUUUCCCUUUAUUUGUUAAGCAGUUUCCUUUCUAUUUGAUCUGGUUAAAAAUGGUUGUGAAGCUUUAGCAUAGCGGUUUGUAGGCAUGGGGUUCUGUAUUCGUGUUGGCAGUCUGUUUAGCUCGAAAGAGACGUUAUGUUUGUUGCAAUCGCAAGGAGUUGUUGGUUCUUGAAUCCAUUUCAUGUUGACGGUUGGUCUAUACACCACACGUUAGACAUUCACCAAUGUUAUUCUUAUUUCUUUGUAUCACCUGAUUGGAUUGGCUUACAUUUGUGUGGAUCGACUGAGUUAGGUUUAUGUCCCCCCAGUUCUUUUUUGUAUUUUUUUCCUUUUUAUAAUAAAAAAUAUGACCCCCUGACAUAGACUGAAAUUUGCAAGACAUUUCAACUUUGUUGAACUGUCUUCUAUUCCUUUUUUAUGUGCUCAAAUUUUCUCUUCUCAUCUCUUAUUUUAGACGCUUGAUAUUAUUUUGUUAGUCCAGUGCCUAAUAUGAAAAUCAUUGGUUAAGCCUUAAAGGAAAUACAAUAUAAGAAUAGUACCAAAUGUUUUUGGAACAUUGGUUAUGCAUUAAAAUAGGUAAUAUUUUAUAGGAAAAAGUUUUAUUUACAAAAUUACAAUGUUUUAUCUGUAUUCUCGAAACAAAAAUUUACUUUAUGUAUUACUUAAUCAAUAGUUCAUCCGUCCUAAAUUAUAAGUCGUUUAUACUAUUUUACGCAAAUUAACAAAUGUAAUUAAUUUUAGGGGUGUAAAUGGUUCGGACGAAACCGAUGACACCAAACCAAACCGAAAAAGUAUCCGACCUUGUUUGAUUCGGUUCAAAACCGAACCAACCUAAACCAAUAUAAUUUGGUUUGGUUCUUGGUUUCAAAUUUCGAGAUCCAAAGAACCGAUGAACCGAACCGAUGCUAAACUCACUCAUCAUUAUAGUAAUAUUAUCCCCCUCGCACACAUUCAUAAUUAAGCUCAAAAUUAAAGUCCAACAUAAAAUACUCCUUAAUUCAUUCACUUUCUCCUAUCAUCAUCUUAUCUCAUCACUCACACUCUAUUCCAUUUCUACUAAAAAAAAUACUACCUGUCAAUCACACCUAACCUAUUGUUCCUCACCAUCACAGGAUCGUCCAUAUCUUGUUAGUUUUUUCAUGCAAGUUAUACAAAGUAGUUUGAAAAAUAGAGAACAAGAAAAACAAAGUUCUAUGAAAUAUUUGAGUAUGUUGUAUGCAUGAAAUACAAAUUUGUGAAAAUAUGAAUUUUUAUUUUAUUUUAUUUUCAAACAAACCGAUCAACCGAACCAAUCCAAGCGGACUAGUUUGGUUCGGAUUCUUUUUUGAAAAAUAAUAAAAACUGAACUAAACUGAACAGAUGAAGAUUUCAUUGGUUCAGUCAUUUUUUUUGACCAAAAACCGAUCCAAAUCGACUAGUUUUGUUCGGAUUCUUUUUUGAAAAAUAGUAAAAACCGAACCAAACUGAACCGAUGAAAUGUUCAGUCAUUUUUUUGACCAAAAGCCGAUCCAAACCGUUACACCCCUAAUUUUGUAUGGGAAAGAGAAGUUUUGAAUUAUUUUAUAUAUAACAUCACCCUGCCAUUAAUAGUAUAUGAAAGAUAAAUUAAUUUUUUUUAAAGUAAAGCGAGUAAUAAAUAUUUAAAAAUAUAAUAGAAUAAAAUAGCAUUAAUGACUCAUUUACAUUAUAAAAUGAUUUUUUGAAAGGAUGUUAUAAAAUACUACCUCCGUUCCUAAUUAUAGGGACCUUUUUGAAAGAAGAAGAUAAGGGAGCUAAGAAAAUUAAAAGGGGUAAUAAAUUUGUUUGUAAUUGUUAUUUCUUUUACAAUUUUAUCCUUUAAGAGAGAGGGUUGGUGUAUGUUUUCAACAUAGUACUUAAUGCCAAAAAUUUGUUAAUAUCUUUUUUUUACUGGAAAAAAAAAAAAAAAAGACAAACUUUUUUCCUCAAAAGGAUCUAUAUUUAAGAACGGAGGUAGUAACUUAUAAAUUUGAUAAUUUUUUUCUUCCAAUGUGACUAUAAUUUGGAACAUAAGGAGUAAUAGUUUUAGGACAUUCGUUAGCAAAAUUUAUCAAAUAGUCUUAUUUUUUCCAAAAGACAUCUGUCAUUUAAAUAAAGGUGUUUCUAAAAAGUGUUCUAAAGGUAUUAUUAAGAAAUCAAUAAAUAAAAAAUUUGUUUUGAAAAUAUAAGUUGUUAUAUUUGAUAAAAUAAUAAUUACACUACCUUCAUUAAAAACUUAGUUUAACCAAUACACCUGAGACACGGUUCUUUUUAAAUAAUUAUAAGAUUGAAUAGAGAAAAAUUAUUACUCAUGUGAGUGGAUAAUUUGACUAAAAAAAAGAAGGGAAUAUAUAAUGACAAUUGAAUGACAUAAUCACUAAAGAAUGUGGUAUUGAGCUCCAAAUUAGCAAAGUCCACAUUUUCAGAAAACCGAAAGGUUAAAAAAAAUGUACGUCGUAUUGAGCUCCGUCCAGAAAAUAUUUACAUAAUCAUGUUUUCAAAUUGACGUGUUGAAGCAGACUCAAAUGGACUACCAAGUGUAAUCGCAUAACAUUUUUUCAAAGAAAAAAUAUAAUAACAUUAUUCACACAUACCCACCCACUACCACCAAUAUAAAAUUAUUCACACACAUACCACGUUGUUAUUCUUUAUUUAAAACUCAAACUUAUAUACAACAACAGAUCCAUGAAAAACUCAUUAAUCCUUUACCAAUAUUGAUUAAAAAAAAUCCAGCUAGCUUCUUGAAUAAGGGCAGUAUCCACUUUCAUUAUGAUCAUGUUCAUUAUUCUGUUCAUGAUUUCAUGGCCACAAGCUGUAGCUGAAGAUAGUGAAGCACAAGCUUUGUUAAAAUGGAAACAUAGCUUUGACAACCAAAGCCAGUCUCUCUUGUCAACUUGGAAAAAUACCACAAAUACAUGCACAAAAUGGAAAGGAAUUUUUUGUGACAACUCGAAAUCCAUUUCUACCAUAAACCUUGAAAAUUUUGGACUAAAAGGUACACUUCACUCUCUCACUUUUUCUUCAUUCUCAAAUCUCCAAACACUAAACAUUUACAAUAACUACUUUUAUGGAACCAUUCCCCCACAAAUUGGUAACAUCUCAAAAAUAAAUACAUUGAAUUUUUCUCUAAAUCCUAUUGAUGGUUCCAUCCCUCAAGAAAUGUUCACAUUAAAAAGUUUACAAAAUAUUGAUUUUUCCUUUUGUAAACUAAGUGGAGCAAUUCCUAAUUCCAUAGGAAAUUUAUCCAACCUAUUGUAUCUAGAUUUAGGAGGCAACAAUUUCGUUGGCACUCCUAUUCCUCCUGAGAUUGGAAAAUUGAACAAAUUAUGGUUUCUAUCAAUUCAAAAAUGUAACCUUAUUGGUUCUAUUCCAAAAGAAAUUGGGUUUUUGACAAACCUUACUCUUAUUGAUUUGUCAAACAACAUUCUUUCUGGUGUUAUUCCUGAAACCAUAGGGAACAUGAGCAAAUUAAAUAAACUCUACCUUGCUAAAAACACCAAGUUGUAUGGACCAAUUCCUCACUCCUUGUGGAACAUGUCUAGCUUGACCUUGAUCUACCUUUUUAACAUGAGUCUUUCUGGUUCAAUCCCUGAAUCUGUCGAAAACUUGAUUAAUGUGAAUGAGCUUGCACUUGAUCGCAAUCGCCUUUCUGGAACCAUUCCUUCCACAAUUGGAAACUUGAAAAACCUCCAAUAUUUGUUUUUAGGAAUGAAUCGUCUGUCAGGAUCAAUUCCUGCCACUAUAGGAAAUUUGAUCAAUUUGGAUUCCUUUAGUGUCCAAGAAAACAAUCUCACAGGAACUAUUCCAACUACAAUUGGAAAUUUGAAUCGGCUCACUGUCUUUGAAGUAGCUGCCAAUAAACUUCAUGGUAGAAUUCCAAAUGGACUUUAUAACAUAACCAAUUGGUUUUCCUUUAUUGUGUCCAAAAAUGAUUUUGUUGGCCAUUUGCCGUCUCAAAUAUGCUCUGGUGGAUUGUUAACGUUAUUAAAUGCUGAUCACAACCGUUUCACCGGUCCUAUACCAACAAGUUUGAAAAACUGUUCUAGCAUUGAAAGAAUCAGGCUGGAGGUGAAUCAAAUAGAAGGUGAUAUAGCACAAGAUUUUGGUGUGUAUCCAAAUUUGCGAUACUUUGAUGUCAGUGAUAAUAAACUUCAUGGACACAUUUCACCAAACUGGGGAAAGAGUCUUAAUCUUGAUACUUUCCAGAUAUCCAACAAUAAUAUUUCUGGGGUUAUACCAUUAGAACUUAUUGGUUUAACCAAGCUAGGUAGGCUUCAUCUUUCUUCAAAUCAAUUUACUGGGAAACUUCCAAAAGAAUUAGGAGGCAUGAAAUCAUUAUUUGAUCUCAAGCUUAGUAACAAUCAUUUUACAGAUAGCAUCCCAACAGAAUUUGGAUUGCUACAAAGACUUGAAGUGUUGGAUCUCGGAGGAAAUGAGUUAAGUGGCAUGAUACCGAAUGAAGUCGCAGAGCUACCAAAGUUACGAAUGUUGAAUUUGAGCAGAAACAAAAUUGAAGGAAGUAUUCCUUCUCUGUUUCGUUCAUCUCUGGCUUCACUUGAUCUUAGUGGAAAUCGUUUGAAUGGAAAGAUACCAGAAAUUCUUGGAUUCUUGGGUCAGUUGUCAAUGUUGAAUCUCUCACAUAAUAUGCUUUCAGGCACCAUUCCUUCAUUUUCUAGUAUGAGUUUGGAUUUUGUUAACAUAUCAAACAAUCAGUUAGAAGGGCCGCUUCCGGACAAUCCAGCUUUUCUUCAUGCUCCGUUUGAAUCAUUCAAAAAUAACAAAGACUUGUGUGGAAAUUUCAAAGGCUUGGAUCCUUGUGGAAGUCGAAAGAGCAAAAAUGUCCUCCGAUCGGUAUUAAUUGCUUUAGGAGCUCUAAUUUUAGUAUUGUUUGGUGUUGGAAUUUCGAUGUAUACUUUGGGUCGAAGAAAAAAAUCAAAUGAAAAAAACCAAACUGAAGAACAAACACAAAGGGGAGUACUAUUUUCCAUUUGGAGUCAUGAUGGGAAAAUGAUGUUUGAAAAUAUCAUUGAAGCUACUGAGAAUUUUGAUGACAAAUAUCUCAUUGGAGUUGGAAGUCAAGGAAAUGUUUACAAGGCAGAGUUAUCUUCAGGUAUGGUUGUUGCUGUGAAGAAGCUACAUAUAAUAACAGAUGAAGAAAUCUCACAUUUCAGUUCGAAGUCUUUUAUGAGUGAGAUUGAAACCUUGUCAGGAAUCAGACACAGGAACAUCAUAAAGCUUCAUGGAUUUUGCUCACAUUCUAAAUUCUCAUUUUUGGUUUACAAGUUCUUGGAAGGAGGAAGCUUAGGUCAAAUGCUAAACAGUGAUACACAAGCCACUGCAUUUGAUUGGGAAAAGAGGGUGAAUGUUGUUAAAGGUGUGGCCAAUGCUUUGUCCUACUUGCAUCAUGAUUGUUCUCCUCCUAUUAUUCAUCGUGAUAUAUCAAGCAAGAAUGUCCUUCUUAAUCUUGACUAUGAAGCUCAAGUCUCCGACUUUGGAACGGCUAAGUUUCUAAAGCCAGGUUUACUUAGUUGGACCCAAUUUGCAGGCACUUUUGGGUAUGCAGCUCCAGGUUAGAUCCAUUUCCCCUCUCAUAUUAAAAUUGAAAUGAUUAUAUCACUUUUCGUAUAGAGUCAUUUCCAUGCACUUAUGGUGAAAACUUGUUUAUACGUGCAUCCAAUCAAAUCACUCCAAGUAAAUGAUAUUUUAUAGAUAAUUUAGGAAUUAACAUUAAAAAGUGGCAUCAUAGUGAGAUUUAACUGGAUGCAAGCGUAAUUUUUUUUACAGUGUUGUAUAAUACAAAUUAAAUCCCUUCAUAUGAUAUUGAAACUCAUAUUGAGUUGAGCAAAAUAUAACUUAUAUAAGUACAUUUGUUUUGUUGCAGAGUUGGCUCAAACAAUGGAGGUGAAUGAGAAAUGUGAUGUAUACAGUUUUGGAGUACUUGCUUUGGAAAUCAUAGUAGGAAAGCAUCCUGGAGAUCUCAUUUCAUUAUUUUUAUCACAAUCUACAAGGCUAAUGGCUAAUAAUAUGUUGUUGAUAGAUGUUUUAGAUCAAAGACCUCAACAUGUUAUGAAACCAGUUGAUGAGGAGGUUAUCUUGAUUGCAAGGUUGGCAUUUGCUUGCUUGAAUCAAAAUCCACGUUCUCGACCAACCAUGGAUCAAGUAUCUAAAAUGCUUGCAAUAGGAAAAUCACCUUUGGUGGGAAUGCAACUUCACAUGAUCAGACUAGGGCAACUUAACUAACUCAAUAUAAUAACUUAUUGUACUACUUGCUCCAUCCCAAAAUGACCCCAAAAUCAAUGAUCCUUUUCAAUAUCUUUCACAUUUGUAACAAAAAAAAAAAAAAUCACUUUGCAUUUAUAAUGAAGGCAUGUAUAUGAUAACAGUACUUUAUUAAUAUUCUUGUUAUUUCUCUUUUAUUUAUACAUUUUUCUCAGAUCGUUUGAAUAGGUCAACUGCGUCAGUUAUUUUGAGACGAAUGGAGUAUAUAACAAUAACAUCCGGUUUUUUUCUUAGGCAGACUAUACUUACCUCACGACCGAACUCAGAAUUAUCAUCGUCCCUUCCUCUAAAAACCGAAGGGUUAACAACAACAAAAACCGUGUAUUUUUCUUGCACAAUACUAUCAAUCAAUUUAUUUGCUCUUUUCAUAGGAAUCAAGGAUGAGUCUCUACAUCUAUCUUAUAUCUGUUCAUUUAGGAUUAAAAUGGCUUUAGGAAGACAAUGAGAUCUCAGACUUUCCUGAAAGCUUAGUAAGGGAGUCCUAAGUCAAAUAGCCUUAUUCAAUUCAAUGAUUUUUGAGUGAAUACCCGAAAGAAUGGACAAUCCACGGGGUCACUCUGUUCUUAAAGACUCAUGUUAUCAUUCACGCUUCCUGACCAGGGAUUCAAUACCUAUAAGGCAGCUACAUAUCUGCUAUUUAUUCAUACUUUAGAUUAGAAAUGAAGGACUCUCUCUAUCCUGAGUUACUUAACCAGACCCGGACCUGAGUAUAUACUAAAUUCUAAAUAAAAUGAGAAAAGUAGGAGACAACAAUGUAAUUGAUGAAAUUUCUCAAUGAGAAAAUUAUAGCAAUGGAGAAAUAUUAAUGAAGAAAUUUAAAUUUACAAAACAUAUCUAAAGAAUGAGCGAAUAAAAUUGAUCACACAGCGAAGAGUUUCUAACCUUCUUGGAGACAAGGUUUGGCGAGUGGUAGUCCACGCAUAGAUUCUGUGGUUUUGCUUAGAGUUAGGGAUAAAGGUAAAGAAGGUGUAGUAUUCCAUGUUUUCAAAUAUAUUAAAUGUUAAAUAAGUUUUUGAUGUUAAGGUUCAACAAUCAUUUAUUCGUGUAAAAGGCUGAAAUUUGUUUGUGAUUCACUGUAUAGUACAUACACAGUUAUGACAUGUUAUAAAUUUGUUUGACUUAAUCUCCAUCUGGUACAACAACAGAGACUGGAGUUAGUAACACUUUACAGUUGUCACUAAUUUGAUUUAGCAACAUUUGAUCGUUAAGUAUCAUUCAUUUCACCGUAACAAAAUAAAUAAGCUGAUGGGAAGUUAUGCUCAGAUGAAAAAAACAACAAUCAUCCUUGCUAACAAAGUGUUUCUACAAGGAUGAAUGGAUGUUUGACCCAAAUACUAAGCCCAAGUUCUAUGAGCCCUUGAGUUUAUUUGCAUGAUUCAUCAUGAAAAUAUUCUGUAUGUUUCUUCUGUCUUAUGAUGCAUCAUUGUUAGUUUUAGGAUUCUACCAAGUUUUUGAAUAACUUUUUAAGAAUGGUUUCUUGAGUGCUAUAUAUGUAACCAUAAAAUAUGGGAAUUAAGCAGAAAACAACAUUCAAAGAAGAUAGUUUGUUAGCAGUUUAGAUAUAGACCAGAUUUAUUCUUACAACAUUUCCUUUACCCUUCACGGUACUGACAAAAUGUGAUACAUUACAAGAACACAUUUACAUUGAUCGUGUAUAAAAUUUGAUAUCAUCUUUUACUAGGAUUUGAGUAUUAAAUGGAGCCAUCAAAAUGUGGCACAUUUUAUGGUUCUGCACAACAUGUAGUUGUCACAGGACUCCCAUUUAUCAAUUAUUACAACACAGAUACUUUAACUAUCACAACUUAUUACACUACAAUACCGAAACAACAACAAUGAAAUCGAUGAAAUAACAAAAGCAUACUAGUAUAAACCAAUAAUAACACUUUAAAUCAUUUCAUCUGCGUCUAACAGUAACGGGACUUCACACAAUGUUUCCCAUUUGUCCAUCACAGUUCUCCAAAUUCGUAUUUUCCCUUCGAAGAGUAAUGGGACUCCUUACAAUGUGUUUUCCAUUUGACCAUUGCAGUUCUCCAAAUUCGUAUUUUCCCUGUGGAGUCACACUUGUUGCUUGCACAGUAACUUUAAAUGUCUUCUUUUCACCUAUUUUCUUGAAUUUCAAGGAACUUGGUACAACAACAAUUUUAUAUCCAGGCAAUUGGGCUUUUGCAGUAUAUGUACUUCGUGGCCCAACAUUGGUAACUGUACGAGUGACAGAAACAGCAUUUAACCCAAGAUUUGGUAAUGUGAUUGAAGGGUAAUUCAAGUCAUUUAUGCUUUGAGUUCCAUAACAAGUGAAUGUCAUGUUGAAAAUAAGUGAUGAGAUGAGUUUUUGAUUGUAUCCAGCAGCACAUAAGAAGUUCAAGUAAUCCUUAAUCCCUAGAUCAUAAACAAGUCCUGGAUCUAUUGCACUGUUGGGUUGAAUAUGUCCUGAACCAUAAGCAAAUGCAUUUGCAGUUGUGUUUUCGAAUGCAUCUUCUAUCGGCUCGUUGGUGUUAUCUCUUGUGGUUGCUGCAAGGUCACAUUUCUUCGUAAGUAAGUAAUCAUCUUAAGUAUUAGACAAAUACGAUUUUUCUAUGACCAAAUCUAGUGAUAUAUCUUAUAAGUAUGUGAUUCCAUUGGGAAAAAAUUCUAGCUAUAUACUGAGUUCUAUAACCAUUUAAAGAUGUUAUUUAUAAAAUUUAUUAAAAUGUUACUUAUCACAUAUAAAAGUCACUUCUAUUUAUAUAGCACAUAUUGAGUUCACGCAAGCGAAAGGAGUGCAUCAUGUAACUCAUUUUUUUAUGUCUCUAAUUUCCUUUGAUGAUUAAUUUGUUAUAUGUACUUAGUUAUGAUUUUAGUUAUAUGUAUGAUUAGGAUUUCACUAAAUUAAUCAUAUAUUAUCUUGAUAAAUAAUCAUACAUGAAUAUUAAAAAUUAUGAACUUCAACUUAAAUCCACCAUCAAUUAUGAAUGUAUAUGUGACUAGCUAGCAUUUGCUCCAUAUAGUUUGUGUGUGUGUGUGUGUGUGUGUUGGGGUUGAGAGAAAAAAUACCAGUGGUCAUGAUAGCUGAUUUAAUAGCUGCAGGACUCCAAUUAGGAUGAAGUGUUUUGAUAAGUCCAGCAGUGCCAACAACAUGAGGACAAGACAUAGAAGUUCCUUGUUGUAUAUUGAAUGGAAAACCUCGACGAUUGUCUGUUACUAAAUUAGACACACUUGCAAGCAAUGAAUAGGCAGCAAGUAUGUUCACACCCGGCGCAGUUACAUCAGGCUGAAACAAAAAACAAAAGCAAUCUCCUUAACAUAUCAACAAAAAUUAAUGAGGAUUAUUAGAUAGUAACUAACAAAUUCAAGUGUAGUAUAAACACCUUGAGUAUAUAUGGUUGAACUUUAUUUGGUCCUCUAGAUGAGAAUGAAGCCAUAACUGGAGCUGGCUUUCUUCCAUUCAAAGCAUUUGCUGGUGACAUUCUUAUUGUAGCAUUCGUCUUUAUAUCUCUGCAAAAUAAAAAUAUAUAGGAUUAUGUAUAAAUGGUACCCUUCAUUUGUAACAUGUAAUUUAAUUAAUAAUAGGCUGAACUGCACUUUUCGCCCCCUAAGUUUCAAAAGCUUGUUACAAGAAAGAUAUGUAUAAGGAAUUAUUACUCAGGAGUUAUCUCUGAACCCUUUGGCGUUGUGAUUGAACGUGCAUCAUAAUAGUUGAUAGUAGACACAACAUGAGGCUCAGCAAGAAGUGUUUUUCCAUCAACUUCUGGUUGAUUUCUCAUAAUCACUCCCACUGCGCCUGCAGAUAAAGCUUCCUGACCUUCAGCAAUUGAAUUUAUUUUCCCUUCUCGAUCACACGCCACUACUUUACCAUUCACUUUUGAAGGAUCAAGCGUUCCUGGUCUACAAAAUUGACUGCAAAAAUAUGCAUAUGAAAAAAUUGACAAUCUUAGCAUCCUUUAUUUUUCACAAAUUUAAUCUCCAUGCAAAUUAUUUCUCACAACUAUCAACUCUGUUAUUGCAGUUUUGAUCUCUCAAAAUCGUGAGUGUUUGAAGUUUUAGUCUUCAAUUUCCCCAAAUUGGACGGUUUUAUUUUUGCAAUCAAAUAGUUUUUAAAGUCGACGAUUUGGAGAGAUCAAAACUACAUUAUGAAAGUGUGGGGACCAAAUUUGCAAUAAAAGGAACACCAAAAAUCAUAAAUUUUAAAAAAUAGUCAAUCAAAUAUACAAUUAACUUUUUCAUCAAUAUACAAGAAAAAAAAGUUUUGGAAUUCACACUUACGCAUCUACAUCUGUCACAUUGGCAAAUUUAGCAUCAGUAGAAAUUAUUAUAAGAAAGUCUUGGUUAGGUGGCAAGUUUACAAAAAGACUGGCUCCCUAGUAAGACAAGAAAAACAUAACACAAUUAAUUUCAAUGCUACAAUAAGUAUAAAUUAAUAACAAUAACAAUAAUAUGUAACGAAUAUAAACAAUAAGAAGAAUAUGAUAAAAAAAAACUAUAAGUUAAGGAUGAUACCGUGAGUGUUUUGUUAUUAAUAGUCAUGACACUGCUGAAGUCUCUGUCUAAUGUACUAGCAGCAACAGUGAACACCCAUGGAGCAACAUUAGUAACACUUCCAGGGGUAGGUCCUUCAUUUCCAGCCGAUGCAACUAAUAAUAUAUUUCUAGCAAGUGCAUGAAAUGCACCUAUUGAAAUCUCAUCAGUAAAAAUAACUUCAGGAUUUGUAUUAGGUUUGCCUCCAGCCGAAACAGAAAUCAAAUCAGCACCGUCGUAAAUUGCUUGAUCAAUAGCAGCUAAUACAUCGGCACCAAAGCAGUCUACAACAUCUGUUAGAGACCAACAUGCUUUGUAGGUUGCAACUCUUGAUCUUGGUGAACCACCUUUUAUGGUACCGUUGCCAAUACCAAAUAUGGUUGCGUUUUGUACGAAGUUUCCACCUGCUGUUGAUAGUGUGUGUGUCCCAUGGCCUACAAAGUCUCGCGCUGUUUGUUGUGAACUAGGGAGUUUACCGUGAAAGGCCUCGUAAGCUUUGUUGAAAAAUCUUGCUCCGAUUAGCUUUCUAGGUAGUCCAUUCAAAUAGACAAAAUGACUGUUAGAAUUUAUGUCAUCAAUGUUUUAAAACCGGACUAGACCGGUUUGUUUAUUUGAUUAAACCAGAAAUCGGUUACUCAUACUCUAUUAAUUGACAGAUUGGUUCAACCAUGGUUCACCUGUUGUUAGUUAAACUGGUUAUUUUAUUUUAUUUUUUUGCAUUCUUAAAACAAUUUUUAACACUUAUUUAUUAGUCAUCUGACUACUUGAUGAUAAUUUCAGACGGCCCCAAACCGCCAAAAUCAUUAUAGUAAUCUGAUUCCUUCGUGAUAAUUUCUGGCGGCCCCAAACUGCCUGAGUCAUUUGAUUCUUCACGUUUUGAGACUCCGACCGUCGGUUUUUCCAAAAGUUUUCAAUAUUAACUUCAAGUAGAAUUAUGAUUUUCAAUAUUACUUAAAUUAAAUUGUGCAAUAUACAAAAUAAAUUGACAGUGAAGCAAGUUGAAAGAGAACCUGUUACAUGGAACUUUCUUAGAAGUAUUGAGUUUGUCAAGUUGACAAAUGUUACCCCCACGCCAUCUUAAUGGAAUUGGACCUAUUCCUCUGUCGUUAAAACUCUCCGAUUCCGGCCAAACACCUAAUACAAACAAAACAAACAAUAGGAUAAUUAUCUUUUGAGUAAUUUAGUCAUCUAUUCUAGGUGUUUAUUUUAAGGGAUUAGUCAUCUAUAAUUAAUUAAAAAAGAAAUAGACCUUUAACAUGAAGAUUAUAAUAUUGAAUUUGAAUCUGUAAAUUUUAUCUUCACUUUCUCAUAAAAUAGUUGAAAUUCUUGUGACUUGUGAGCUACUUGACUUAAUUAUUACAUCGUGUAAUCCUCCCUUUUUUCAAUUUCUAAAUAAGGAACAAAACACGAGAUAUUGUGGCAAAUUAAAUAUUUUUUUUUUCUUCAUAUUAAUUAAGAACUCAAGGUGUCAAAAAAGAAAAGAAAAGAAAAGGGAACUCAAGAAAACAUGUUACCAAUUCAAAGAAAGUAUGUAGUUUUUGUCUCCAUGUAGCUCAUUAUAUCUAAGAAAAAAGGCUGAUCAUCCGGUUGUUCUAUAACAAACAUUAUGUAAAUUUUUUCUUUCCAUAUUAUAUCAUAGUUUUUUGUCCAAGAGGUGUCUUAAAGCUUAACUCUAUAACCACAAUUGUUAAUAAAAUUUCCUCUUCACCAAUUUUUUAAAAGAAGAAAAACAUUAUGUCAAUUUUGGUAGUCUAUAUCAAGUCACUAAGAUUAUACUAUCUGCAAAGACUUCUAUGCACAAGAUAACAAGACCAUAAAUAUUAAUAUUCACAAACAAAAAAAAAACCAUGAAUAUUGAAUAAUCAUACACAAGACCAUAAAUAUCAUAUUGUUAUUUAUUUUUCUAGUGAUAGGGAUUGACUCAUUUUUUUAGGGGACCAGUAUUAAAGUUAUUUAUAUUUUACUUAUGUUUCAUGAUUGUAACAUAACAACUCCAAUCAAGUACAAAAUAAUGUAGCACUAGGAUCUAGUUCAAGUGGUUGAUGCGUGCGUGUAUGUGUUGUAAAUCUGGAAUACCAAGCCUGGUUGUGCUAUUAAUAAAAAGGGCUUUUAUACAUGAACCAUCUUAGGUGGCAUACACCCUUUUACACCCACACACAUUUGUGACACAUGGCAAAAACAUUGAAAGAAGAGAUGAAAAUGGGUGAUGAUAUGAUGUAAAAUUACUAAAAUAAGCCUAACAUAUGGGGUGUGUAUAAGAGGUGUAUGAAAAAGAGUGUCUACCUAUCUUUUUCCUAAUAAAAAUAUCCAAACUAAGUUGCAAAUGUUUUUUCUAUAAGAAAAGAUAUUAAAAUAAAUGGGAACACUUAUUCACAAGUAUGCGUUAAACAAAAGUACACAGUUUGAAUAAAAGACAAAGUGGCAGAUAUGAAAAACACUACACAAAAAGGCACCAAAAAUUGACCAGCAAGUGCAGGACAAAACAUAGCAGUUAAUGAAAAUGAAUGAAUAUUAUUCUAUUUUAUAAGCAGAAACAAGUUGUAUUUAUCAGAAAUAAAGAAAGACUAUAAACCCCGAGUAAAAAAAGACAACACUGCAUAAGACAUAAAUCCAAAAGUAUAUAAAAACAAAUAUAUGCAAGGUACACAAGAUGCCGUUAUAAUUGACAUAAGAAGAGAACUAGGACAAAAAGUACACAGCUAUACCAUGCACCCAUGUAAACAACUAAUGAUGUGUCAUGUUGACUAUGUAAAAAAUUAUGUUUAUUUUGUCUAACAGAGAAUGUUGUUCUAAAUGUUGGAAAUUCAGCUUUUAUUGCAGUCUGUCGCCUAAUUACUACCAUUUGAGUUGCUUUGUGUUGGCUUUGAGGGGUGGAUUUAGUCCUACAUCAGAUAGAUAAGACUCUCGAUAAGAGUUUACAAAGAGGAGGCACUCCUCACCUUAUAAGCCGAUUUUGUGAUUUUGUAAGGAUGAAUUAUGCCCCAAAUUUCAAGACGAAUAUUAUUUUUUUUUAGGAAAACACUGAAUAUUGUUAUUAUAACUAAAUAAACGAUUUUUAUUGGAUUAUAGAACAUAGAAUGUGGUAAAAUUAUAAAGGUGUGUACCUGUAUCAAUGUUAGCUAUAAUGGUAUUUUCACCAAACCUUCCCUUUUGCCAAGCUGUGUUGACAUCAUUUGUACUUAGUCCAAGGAAUUCCCAAGAACGUGUUGUGUGCAGUUUAUGAGAUUUGCUUAAGAACACAGAUACCACCUUUGGAUUUUCUGCAUAUGUUGGAAUAUUGUGUAUCUAAUUUAAAACCAAACAUAAAAUGAUAUGUAUGAUUUAAUGUAAAACACUUGGCCAGUUGGGAUAAACAAUUUAAAUAAGCAUUUAUAGCAUGAGUGGUUGUGAUGUAAGUUCUUAUGUAUAAGCUUAUUAUUAUAACAAAAGAUAAAAUAAAGUAAAAUUAUUUUCAAAUAGUUGUUUCCAUAACUUAUCUUAGAAAGGUUAUGGAAAUAAGCUAAAAGUGGGUUAUAAAUAUGUCAUAAGUUAUUUUCAUAAGCUCUCUCAAAUAUUUUCUUAAGUGUUUAUGUCAUUUAAAAACAUCAAAUAUGCUAAUUAAUUAAGACAGUGGAAGCAUGCUUAUUAUGUUUCUGACUUGCAAGUUGUGCAGCUUCUUCCUCUUCAAGUAUAGCUGCAAAGCCAUUAAUCUGUUUAUUAUAUGAAUAAAUUAUUGCCUCUUCUGCCUCCUCGUGGCUGUGAAUGAUCAAUAUAUAUAUAUAUUAGUUAAUCGAUCAAUUUCCUCUAUAGAAAAGCUUAAGCUGAAUAUUUUAAUUAAUAGUUUUUUAUCAUUAGUAUAUAUAUAUACCUUCCCAAGAUUGAACCCAGUAAAUCAUAAUGAGAAUAUGUAGCAGUUUCAAGGUCAACAGAGGAAGGAGUUGGACCAUGUACAUGUGCUCCCAAGUAUACAAUGUAGCACUGUAAAAAUAAAUAGGAAACCAAAAACCAAAAGCUUAUGAAAUUAAUGAAAUCAUAAUCUUAAUUAUAAAGUAUAUAUGCAAUUAAGAAGCAAACUAGCUUACCUUUUUGCUUGCGUGAACAUGAUUCAGCAUCAAGAUGAAAAUAAGAAGUGAUGAGAAAAGAAGAUGAUGAAGAGAUAAAAUGGAGCGACCCAUUUUUCAGUCUAUGGAAAGUGUUGAGCUUAGCUUAGGGGAUAUAUGCUAAUUCAUCUCCUUAUGUAAUGAAAGGAACAAAUAUUUAUAUGGGUUAAAAGACAGCUCAAUAGUGUUUUGUUUUUUUUUGGACAGUUCAAGAGUAUUUUUAUUCUAAGCUUUUGGUAAGCUGAAUAAGAUAUUAUAUCAUAAAUUAAUAAAAGAAAGAUCAUAUCAUAUCAUAAUUCAAAUAAAGAUUUUGACAAACUUAGAUUUGUCAUCUUGGCUCCUUAAGAUGAAAAAAUUUGUUUUUAAAUUUGCUUAAAAUUUGGUGAUGAAAGUUCUUCAAAAAUUACGGCACGGUUAGUUGUAAACAUAGCGCAGUUUGGGUGCUUGAAGAUUGGUUUUGCUCGUCCAAAAUCACGGCGCGCGCGAUUUCAUGCAAUCGUGUCGUGAUUGUGGAUAAGGUUGGCAAUAAUGUUGUGUACGAGUUGAAGAUCGCGACGCGAUCCAAGAAAAUUGCGGUGUGAUAUUGUCUGCGUAUGGGCACUACAAAAGCCUCCAUUAAUCAAUUUUUGGUGAGCCUUUAAGAGAGAGAAUUUUUACAAACCAGUGGAUGCAACUUAAAGGCUAAGGGUUAAGUGUCUUUUGUGAGAUUCUUGGGUUGGGAAACACUUCACAAAUACCUUGGGUAGUGAGAUUUAAUUAAUAGAAAGAUCCAAAAGCUUUAUCUCUUGUUUUCUAGUUAUGAUUCAUUGUGAGUUUGAGUGACUUGGAAAAUGGACAAAAAUUAAGAUUUGUUCUUUCAUGGUUCGCGGGAUCUAAAUUCUUAUAACCUCUUUGUAUAACUCAUCAUCAUAGUAGAUUAUUGGAGAGUUGCUCUCUCCCCCAGUCAGCCGUAGAACAUAUUAAUCCGAACUGGAGUAAAUAAAUAUUGGUGUGUUGGUUUUCUCUACUCUCUUAUCUUUGUUGUUUUGGUUAUUCUUGUGGUUUUACUUUACACUUAAAUUUAGGUCUAUUAUGUUUUGUUAUUUUUUUAAGCUACUUUAAUUUAGUUACGAUUUCCUUUUGCCACGGAGCUAAAUUUAUUGGUGUGAUUUACAGUUCAAAUGCACAACAAUUUGGUUAGUAAAGACUAUUCAUCUUGUGUACUACAAGUUUUCCUUUGAAGUACCACCAUUAACAACAAUUAAUGGAUGUUUAGUACCUUUCACAAAAUAAUGCCAAAAAAUUGUGUGUUACAAGAGUUAGAGCCACAUUAGUACUCAAGACAUGCGUUUUAUUAGAAGCUACAACUUCUAUCUUUUAGAAACCACGGUGAAAAUAAUCUUGGAACUCGAGAAUUGCAAGUUAAAUGUAGUUCGAAAGAUACACUUAUUCAAAAUUUAGGAAAAAAUUAUGUAAAACCUCCACAUCAAACAAUGAAGGGAAUACAAAGAGUCAAAGGACAAAACAGAAUUGGACUCCUUGCCACAUAUUCUUAAUCUGAGGUAAAGUGGAAAUUUUCAAAUCAAUACCAACGUAAAUUAGUGGAAAAUUUCAAAUCAAUACCAACACCCUUUCAUACCAGCAGCAGUUUUUAUUGGUGGUGUCCGGAAUUCGAACCCAAACCUUGCAUAUAUUAUACAAUAUCUCUAUCAACUGAACUAAACUCACAGAAUACGAGCAGCAUGCCAGCAGCAGUUGAUUACAUACAUUACAUUCUUAAAGAUAGUAGCAAAUAAAAUAUUAUUAAUUUUUUCCACUUGCUCUCCCCUUCCAAAGUAGUUAUAUAUGAAGAAAAAAUUAACUUUCAAAGUCCUCCCCUUUUAAUGUCUUCUAUUUUUUUUCACUUGUUCCUUCUUUUUUUUUUCGAAACCCUCUCCUCCCUUCUCUUAAAAACUCGCAAACAAAGCCUAAAAGUGUGUAUUACUGUGCAUAUUCGUAUCUUUUAGAAAACCUUGUGUAUGAAGGCAAGUGGUAUAGUACCUACGGUGACCCUAAUAAUUGUCGUAUCUGAAAAUGAGUGCUCUAUUUCUUGAAAUGGUACUAUGAUGGCUUUGUUAUUUAUGAACUAUAAGAAAAUGUAUACCCAAAAUCAUGCAUUGUGAGUGGUUUUGACAAUAAAAAAAAGAGAGAAAAUGGUUUAAAGACAACUUUUACUAUUAAAAAGAGAAUAAGAAAAAUGAUAGAAGAGAUACAAAAUAUUGAUUAUUUUACAUUGAUUAUAAACUUGCGUAUAUGAUAGUUGAAGUUGAAAAAUGAAAUUAAAAUUUUAUUUUAUCCUUGUAAGUUAUAGUUGGCUUGUUUUUUUAUCUCUGGUGAGGCCUACGUUACCCCUUCAUGAAUUGGGGGUAAUUGAUCCCUAAUGACAAGUCUAAUUUGAUUACAGAAUGAAGAAGAUGAACAUUAGAUGUUUAGAAUGAAGAAGAUGAAAAUUAGAUGUUGAAUGAAAGAAAUGAAGAAGAUUGAUGUUUUUAAGAUGAAAAUGGUAAUUGGUUGUAUGAAAAAACCAAAAUGAUGAAGUCUACAUUAUCACUUGAUGAAUUGGGGGUAAUUUACCUAUAAUAACAAGUAGGAUUCGAUUAUGAAACGAAAGAGAUGGAGAUCACAUUUUGAAUGAAACAGAUGGAGAUCACAUUUUGAAUGAAACAGAUGUAAUUCCUUCUCAGUUUCGUUCAUCUCUUGCUUCACUUGAUCUUAGUGGAAAUCGUUUGAAUGGAAAGAUACCAAAAAUUCUUGGAUUCUUGAGUCAGUUGUCAAUGUUGAAUCUCUCACAUAAUAUGCUUUCAGGCACCAUUCCUUCAUUUUCUAGGAUGAGUUUGGAUUUUGUUAACAUAUCAGACAAUCAGUUAGAAGGGCGGCUUCCGGACAAUCCAGCUUUUCUUCAUGCUCCGUUUGAAUCAUUCAAAAAUAACAAAGACUUGUGUGGAAAUUUCAAAGGCUUGGAUCCUUGUGGAAGUCGAAAGAGCAAAAAUGUCCUCCGAUCGGUAUUAAUUGCUUUUGGAGCUCUAAUUUUAGUAUUGUUUGGUGUUGGAAUUUCGAUGUAUACUUUGUGUCGAAGAAAAAAAUCAAAUGAAAAGACCAAACUGAAACAAACACAAAGGGGAGUACUAUUUUCCAUUUGGAGUCAUGAUGGGAAAAUGAUGUUUGAAAAUAUCAUUGAAGCUACUGAGAAUUUUGAUGACAAAUAUCUCAUUGGAGUUGGAAGUCAAGGAAAUGUUUACAAGGCAGAGUUAUCUUCAGGUAUGGUUGUUGCUGUGAAGAAGCUACAUAUAAUAACAGAUGAAGAAAUCUCACAUUUCAGUUCGAAGUCUUUUAUGAGUGAGAUUGAAACCUUGUCAGGAAUCAGACACAGGAACAUCAUAAAGCUUCAUGGAUUUUGCUC